rnacentral:lncRNA from 1 species
UAUCUGCCUUGCCUGAAGGGAUUGGAAAGUUGGAAAAUUUAGAAUUGUUGAGGCUAAGAUCCUGCACAGAACUGUCAAAGCUUCCAACCUCGUUGAAGAACCUUGGAAAGGUAAACUUUCUUGAUAUAUCUGAUUGCUUCAGCAUCAAGGUGUUGCCCGAAGACAUUGGUGAAAUGAGUAGUUUAAGAAAGAUCAACAUGAGGCAAUGCUCAAGGUUGCAAGAGCUACCUCCAUCAGUCAUGGAUCUUGAGCAGUUAGAGGAAGUGGUCUGUGAUGAAGAGACAAAAGAUUUAUGGGAAUCUUUCUCGUCGUGUCUCAACAACGUAAGGAUAAUUGUGGACAAAGAGAAUAUGAACCUAAAUUGGCUCCACAAGACUCACUUCUGAUAUGUGUAUCCUCAGUGAACGUUGUUCUUCAAACUCUGGUGUGUGUUUUUAGUGGGACUUGUGUAAACUCGACUGUAACAUAGUUUCUGUUGGUGUAUAAAUUGUAUCUGAUGUGACAGUUAUAAUUCUAGAUUAUAUUGCUAGAAUAAUUAGUUAAGUGCUGAUUUGGUUGUAUCUUGUUUCUGUUAGUGUGUAAAUUGUGAUUUGAUGUGACAGUUAUAAUUCUAGCUUAUAUUGCUAGAAUAAUUAGCUAAGUGCUGAUUUGGUUGUAUCUUGUUUCUGUUAGUGUGUAAAUUGUGAUCUGAUGUGCCAGUUAUAAUUCUAGCUUAUAUUGCUAGAAUAAUUAGCUAAGUGCUGAUUUGGUUGUAUCUUUCUUAUUUGAGUCUCACAGGUCUUAAAUAAGUAAGGUGCAAAGUGUCUACAUCUCAUAGGGUGUAAGAUGGAAGGUUGAGAUUGCUUUGAUGUAUUUUGAAUACCACCAAAAGUGUAUAACUGUUAGAAUUCGAGUGAUAUUCCUUCACUAUCUCUCUAGCGAAUGUCAUGGUGAAUGUGUGUGAAUGAAAUCUUAAGAGUCAUAUUGACGCAGGACAGAACCAAAGGUCUCGAGAAGAAGGGGAUAGAUAACUUGGGAUUCGCUCAAUUAGGGGUAACAGGGCUCGCUCACGUCGCUAAUUGUGGAUUCAUACACACGAUCAAGCCAAAUGCUUGAUUUUAGAAGGAGAAAUCACUCUCUUCAAAUGCACAAGGCAAAUACAAAUUUAAUUCAUUCAUGUCUCCCUAAACAUACAUACGGAGUCCCUUAAAUAGAGAGAUUACAAUACAUUGGUAGGAUACAUAUAUAUAACUAACGAUUAUAGUUACUAGAAACCUAAUAAAACAUAGCCUUGAAAGAUGAAAAGCUACAAACAAUCAAAUUUAAUAUAAAAACUAUAUUUAAUGUCGUGCAUUGCAUCAUACUCCUCUUCUCGAAAAAAACUCGUCCUCGAGUUUCAGUUGACUUUUGGUUUUCCCUCAAUCUUUUGGAAGGCCUUUCAAACUUUUCCAUAACAGGUACAAUAGCACAAGAAAUUUACGAGUGUUCGUAGUCUUGAUCCAUAUUCUUUCUUCAAAUGAAUAAGCUUGAAAUGGCACAUGACUCCAAUGGUGAGCAAUGCGUUUUUGCCCAAUGUAGAAGUUGUGCAUUAAUUAAGUUUGAAUUUACCACCUCGUUCAUAAAUUGUAAAGUUUCCUUCACAUCCACAAUCUUUACUUGGUGCUCAACAUUCAAGAAACUACCUUCAAGAAUCUCAUUGAUCACGUGAAUAACAAUAUCAUCUUUUAAGAAAUUAUACAAACUUGAGGAGUAUAACUUGCUUACCUCACUACCAUCCUCAUCAACUUCAUUCACAAAACGAUUAUUGACUUCAUCUUCAUCAAUGUACUCAUCAUAAAUUGGUGGUGAAUCCCAAUUGACGAAACUAUUUCUUUGAUAGUGUGCUCUUCAAUCAAAUUGUAAAUCACAACCAUAGUCUUCAACUACAGCGGAAAACCUGCUCUGAUGCCACUUGACGCAUGACAGAACCAAAGGUCUCGAGAAGAGGGGGAUAGAUACCUCAUAUUUGCUCAACCAUGGACAACGGAGCUUACUCAACGUCUUUACGGGGAUAUCCCAGGUUAUCAUCCCCCGUCUCCCCAAGACUCCUUUGGCUUUUGUCCUGCAUCAAGUGACAUCAGAGCAGGUUUUUCGUUGAAUAUGAAGAUCAUGGGUGAGAUUUUUCAUCUGUUUGAAAAUCAAUUGGUUGAAGAGACUAGCUCGGUCGAUUGAAAUUUGCCGCCAAUUUAUGACAAGUACUUUGAUGACGACGAAGAAGUCAAUAAGAACUUUGUUGAUUGGAGUUCUACACCAAUCUUUGACAAGAAAAAUGAUUAUUAUAAGUAUUUGAUUUUAGUGGCUAAUCAAGAGUGUUGUAGGCAGCUUGAGGUCACUUGUUCUCCAUAUUGGGAUUCUGCCCCAAUUUUUGUUGACUGCCAUGUAGACGCAAGUAAGAGUUCAUGGGUUGAACAACGAUGUGGACAAAUUAUAAAGAAUGUGAAGCCUCUUGCAUUAUGUUUUCAUGAUUAUAUUUGGGAUGAAUUCAUUGAUUGUGCUUUGGUUAAGAGAAAAUGCUUGGAUAAGGAACUACCUUUUGCUCAUUAUUGGAGUUUUCUUUUCUCAUUCAUGAGUAUUUACGGUCUCUUAGAAGCAAUAAGUUUGGAAGCCUAUAUGCAUCGCAAUUCUUUUGGAAGAAAAAAGGGAUUAGUCUAUACACGAUCGAAACAAAAAAUAUAUUAUGAAUUUUGUGGUCUUUGCAAUGUUGUACGAAUUGUGAUUAUCUUACUAAAAUCUUUACUUUGGGAAACAUUGGUUGGGCAUCCAAAAGAUCGAGGAAGACCAAAUGAAAUUCGAGGACGAAUUUUCUUCGAGAAGAGGAGAAUGAUGUGGGAGGAAGACUCAGAGAAAACAAUUUGAAACUAUUAAUAUGCUUUGGAAUAACAAAGGUUUUGUAUUUUAAUUACUUAGGAAUUUGUUAAGUUAUUUUGGGAGUUGUAAGGGUGUCAUGGAAACUUGAGGUCUAUUAAUUUGUAAACGCUUAUAAAUAUUGUACUAGAGAGCUUUGAAUGACAGACUUGAAUGAAUUAAAAAAUUGUAUUUGCCAUGUGCAAUUGAAGUGAGUGAUUUCUCAUUCCCCAAUCAAGCAUUUGGCUUGGUCGUGUGAGCGAAUCCACGAUUAGCGACGUGAGCGAGCUCUGUUGCCCCUGGUUGAGUGAUUCCCAGGUAUCUAUCCCCCGUUCUUUCUAUUUCCCUCGGUCCUUUGGUUCUCUUCUGAAUCACAUAUUCUCUGUUGCUAUCUUUCUCUUCUCUCUAUCAUCAUCCUUCAUUUUUGUACUGGAUUUUCAUCUAAAUUCUGUGUGAAUCUAUGAAGUCAUAGCUCACAGUGUACCAUUCUCUGCUAACUUUAACAUGGCCUUAGAGCCAGGUUGGGUCUGAAUCUCUGGGCGUCGAUUAUGUGAGUGGUAGUGAGUUCAUCCUCGCAACAUCUCGUUGCAAAGAAACUAGUGAGAGAGAGGUGUGAUCUUAGUUUAAUAUGGCUGGGUCUGGCGGAGGGGAGCUUCGAGCUCCGAAAUUCAAUGGAGAAAACUUCGAUUUCUAGCAAAUUUGAAUGAAGAUGAUUUUUCGAUCUCACGAGUUAUGAAGUAUUGUUGAGACGGGUUUUACUUCUCCAGCGAAGACUGAGAAAGAGAUAACAGAGGCGGAGAUGAAGCUACAUCGUGAAAAUUUGGUCAAGGAUGUAAGGGCUCUUGAAAUCAUUCAAGGAGCUGUAUCGGAUUAGAUGUUUCUACACAUAACAACUCUAGAAACUACGAAAGUAGUAUGGGAUAUUCUGAAGCAAGAGUUCGUACGAGACAAACAAGUACGAUCUGUGAAAUUACAGGGUCUUCGUCGUGAUUUUGAGUAUACACGUAUGAAUGAAGGUGAAUCUCUAGCUGCAUAGUUGGAUAGGUUGUUUGAUUUGAUAAAUCAGAUAAAGAGUUAUGGAGAAGAUCUUAGUAAUCAGAUAAUUGUGCAAAAGUUAUUGAUCAAUUUACCCAAAACAUAUGAUAGUAUAGCUUAUGUUAUAGAGAAUACUAAAGAUAUAGAAGUAAUUGAUGUUCAAGAUGUGGUUGCUAUAUUGAAAGGGUAUGAACUAAGGCUAACUAGACAUGGAGAAAGUAGUAUUGAGCAUGCAUUUGCUAGUUUGAAUAUCUCACCUAAGAAUGGUAAAUUUUGUAAUCAAAAUACCAAUGCUGGUGGAACAAAAUUUCAGAAGAAUUUCAAGUUUAAAGGGAAACAGUGGAAUAACAGGUUCAUUCUAGGUGUAAGAAAUGAAACGAGCAACACUGUUAGUGCUUGCAAAUACUGUGAUAGGCUUCACUAUGGAGAGUGUUAGCUGCAUGGGAAGAUCAAAUAUCCCAAAUGUGGCAAGCUUGGCCAUAUUGCCAAGGUUUGUAAUCUCAAUAAGAAUGUUCAGCAAGGGAAUUUUGCAAACAAAGUGGAGGAACCUGGAAAUCUAUUUCUUGUUAAACAAACAAGUGGAGUGAAAGUUGUGAGUGACAUUUGGUAUAUAGAUAGUGGAUGCAGCAAUCAUAUGACCUCCAUAGAGGAUCUGCUUGUGGACAUUGACAGAAGUAUUAAAGCAAAAAUGUAAGUUGACACAUGGGUUCUAGUUGAUGUGAAAGGCAAAGGAACUCUUGUUAUUGACACUGAGAAGGGAAAAAGAUAUAUCAGAGAAGUCAUGCUAGUACAUGGACUUGCAGAGAACUUACUCAGUGUUGGACAGAUGACUGAACAUGGGUAUUUUCUUGUGUUUGGUGAUUACAAGGUGGAUAUCUUUGAUGACAGAACAUUGACAAACUUGGUGGUUAAUGUGAAGCAAAAGGGGAACAGGUGUUUUCCACUAAUGUUCAAAUCCAAUGAUCAACUAGUAUUAAAAGUUAAUAUGCAUCAGUGUGCUACAAUGUGGCAUAGAAGGUUUGGACACCUAAAUUAUAGGAGUCUGAAGUAAUUGCAGGAACAUAAUAUAGUUCUUGGAUUACCUGUGAUGCAUGAUAGUGAAGGUGUGUGUCAUGGAUGUGCAUUGGGAAAGAAUCACAGGGAGUCUUUUUCAAAGGAAUCAACAUCGAAAGAAAAGAUGCCACUUGAGCUAAUACACUCAGAUGUGUGUGGCCCUAUGCAAACACCAACAAUGAGUGGAAAUAGGCACUUCAUUACAUUCAUUUAUGACUAUUCAAGGAUGUGCCAGAUCUAUUUCUUGAGACACAAGUCAGAUGUCUUCCAUGUGUUCAAGAAGUUUAAGGCUAUGAUAGAGCUUCAAAGUGGUUAUUAUGUGAAGAAAUUAAGAACUGAUAGAGGAGAAGAGCUCACUUCAAAUGAGUUUGAAAAGUCCUGUCAAUCUUUGGGGUUAGAGAGGUAGCUCACUGUUGCAUAUUCUCCACAACAUAAUGGAGUUGCAGAAAGGAAAAAUAGAACCAUAGUGGAGAUGGCUAAAUGCAUGCUUCAUGAGAAAGACCUUCCAUAUAAUCUCUAGGGUUAAGCAGUGAACACAUCUGUGUAUCUCCUAAACAAGUGUCCGACAAAAGAAUUGGAGAAUAUUACACCUUUUGAGAAGUUCAGUGGAAGAAAACUUGGAAUUAAACACCUGAGAAUGUUUGGCUCAUUGUGUUAUUCUCUCAUUCCAAGAAAUUUGCAGCUUAAACUAGAAGAAACUAGUGUCACUGGUAUCUUCAUUGGAUAUGAUACUUGUGAGAAAGGAUAUAGAGUGCUUAAUCCUGAAACACAGAAGGUGAUGCUCUCAAGGGAUGUGAUCUUUGAUGAGAAUGGAAAAAACAUAAAGUCAAGGAAGUGUGCAUCCCAUUUUCUGCAAAUGAAUAUCUAAAUAUGAGUGAAGUUGAUGAAGGUUCAGAUUUCAUGGAACAUGUUGUAUCUGGAGGUUCUCAAAUCCAAAUUGAAGGCUCUCCAACUACUGUCUCUGGUGAAUCAACCAACUCUGUCUUUAUACCUAAGUAUGAUGAUACUCCACUGAAAUAUAGAAACUUAAGUGAGAUUUGAGAGAUGCCAUUUCUGUAUUAUUGAACCAUAAUGCUAUGAUGAAGUUGCAUAGGAUGAAGCAUGGAAGAAGGCAAUGGAAGAUGAAAUAUGUAUGAUUAAAAAGAACCAAAUAUGGGAAUUGGUAAGGAGACCAUCUGAUAAACCUGUGAUUGGGGUAAAAUGGGUGUACAAAAUAAAGUUAAACUUAGAUGGCUUAGUUCAAAAGAAUAAAGGUAGGCUUGUUACAAAAGGCUAUGCACGAAAGCCUGAAAUAGAUUAUAAUGAAAUCUUUGUACCUGUUGCAAGGUUAGACACAAUAAGGACUCUCAUUGCACUGGCUACAAAGAACAAGUGGAAGCUAUUUCAAUUGGAUGUGAAAUGAUCUUUAUUAAAUGGUGUACUUGAAGAGGAGGUGUAUGUAGACCAGCCAGAUGGGUUCAUUGUGCAAUGAGAGGAUGAUAAGGUUUACAAACUGCACAAAGCCUUGUAUGGUUUGAAUCAGGCACCUAGGGCUUGUUAUGGAGAGAUUGAUUCACAUUUUGCAAAGUGUGGUUUCAAAAGGAGUACCAGUGAGGCAACAUUGUAUACCAAGUGUAGAGAAGACUCAGAGAUGAUUAUAGUAUCAAUUUAUGUUGAUGAUAUAAUCUACACUAGAAGCUAUCAAGAUUUAAUGGAUGAAUUCAAAGCUGAUAUGAUGCAUAAAUAUGAGAUGAUUGAUUUGGGACUUUUACAUCAUUUUCUUGGUAUAGGAGUUGUGCAAACUGAAGAAUGCAUUUUCAUACACCAGAAAAAGUAUGCCUCAUAUUUGAUGAAGAAAUUUGGACUCCGGGAUUGUAAACCUGUGAGCACAUCACUGGUACCAAGUGAUAAAUUGAGAAAGGAAGAUGAAAGUGGAGCUGUAGAUGAAGCUCAAUAUAGAAAAAUUGUAGGUAGUUUGUUGUAUCUCACAACAACUAAACCUGACAUAAUGUAUGCUGCAUGUUUGUUAGCAAGGCUCAUGCAUUGUUCUUCUAACAAGCAUUAUGGGACAGCAAAUAGGGUUCUAAGAUAUGUUCAGGGGACUCUUGAUUUUGGCUUGGAGUACAAGAAAGGCGAAUGAGCAAUUCUGAUAGGAUUUUGUGAUAGUGAUUAGAGUGGUUCAGAAGAAGACAUGAAAAACACAUCUGGGUAUGCUUUUACCUUUGGCAAUGAAGUUUUCUCUUAGGCUUCAAUCAAGCAACAACGUGUUGCUUUAUCCACAGCUAAAGCAGAGUAUAUUAGUGCAUCUGAGGCAACAACUCAGGCUACUUGGCUAAGGUUUGUACUGGAAGACUUUGGUGAAGUGCAAUCUGUUGCAACACCAAUGAAUUGUGACAAUAUUUCAGCCAAAGCUAUCACUAAGAAUCCUAUUUUCCAUCAGAAAACCAAGCAUAUAAACAGGAAGUAUCAUUUCAUAAAGGAGGCAUUGCAGCAAAGAGUGAUUAAUUUGGUUCACUGUCCUACAAAUGAGCAAGUUGCUGAUAUGUUUACAAAGGCAUUAGCAAGAGAGCAAUUCACCUAUCUCAGAGAAUUUCUUGGAGUGAAAUCAGUUCACAGUUUAAAGGGGGCUGUUAGUGUGUAAAUUGUGAUCUGAUGUGGCAGUUCUAAUUCUAGCUUAUAUUGCUAGAAUAAUUAGCUAAGUGUUAAUUUGGUUGUAUCUUUCUUAUUUGAGUCUCAUAGGUCUUAAGUAAGUAAGGUGUCAAGUGUCUACAUCUCAUAGGGUGUAAGAUGGAAGGCUGAGAUUUCUUUGAUGUAUUUUGAAUACUGCCAAAAGUGUAUAACCGUUAGAAUUGGAGCGAUAUUCCUUCACUCUCUCUCUAGCAAAUGUCAUGGUGAAUGUGUGUGAAUGAAAUCUCAAAGUCAUAUUCUCUGUUGCUAUCUCUCGCUUUUCUCUAUCAUCAUCCGUCAUUUUUGUACUGGAAUUUCAUCUAAAUUCUGUGUGAAUCUGUGAAGUCAUAGCUCAUAAUGUACCAUUCUUUGCUAAUUCUAACAGUUUCAAAUUCAAUCUCUGUACAAUUCCUUGACUUUUUUGUUUGAAAAUCAAUAUCUUCAUGCUCUCCCAAAAUAAAUUCAACACCAAGGUUGAAGAGUCUCAUAAGAUAAGAACUUUCAUGUCACGGGUCAGGUGUUAAUCUCGUUGUGGAUAAGUUUCAAAAUUCAACACCACAAGGUUGAAGAGUCCCAUAAGAUAAGAAUUUUCAUGUCAAGGGCCAGGUGUUAAUCUUGUUGUGGAUAAGUUUCACUAGUAUCUAUGCUAAUUUCUACUGGUCAAGUUUCCAGAACUGUUCAUAAAUAAUCUAGAUGAUGUUGCACCAUAUAGUUCACAAAGUAAAAUAUAUUAAUAAGAAAAAAGAGAAAAAUCUCUACAACCCUCACAUACGUGGACCUCAAUGUGCGACAAGUUUGAGUUUCUGUAUGUAUGGAACUCUCCCAAAACUCUCAUGUUCUCCACUAAGUGAUGGCCUUCUCUCAACCUCUCCACAUCCUCGAAAAGUGGCACACGUAAUAGAAUGGAAAAGGAUCUCUGAACUACUCUUUACGUCUAUAAAAAGACGAAGGCUAGGUUCAAAUAAAAGGAGGAGACAUACAGCAAAAAGCUCUGAGAGAGAGAGAGAGAGUAAAGAGAGCAGCGAAUGAGAGAAAAAUGAAAGUUGCAGAAAUAGAAAGAGAGUCUUAACAGAAAGAGAAGAAAUGAGCAAAUGGCUGCAAUUAUGCAGAAUGUUCACGGGGAAGAAGAAUCAAAGGUAAAAGUUUUAUUCUUAUUUAUCAUUUCUUUCCUUGCACUAACCUCCACUUCAUGGCGCAUGACCUUCGAAGCAAAGUUAGUUUCCCACAUGCUCCUACAAAGAAAUGCUCCAGUGAAGGACCUCUCUUUAUAAUAAAUCAAAAUGGUGCCAAUCCUUUUUUACUCUAGAAGCAAUCUUCCGGUGAUCAAAGCUGUUGGGCAAGAAAAAAAAACUAGAAGUAACAACCCUUCUCCGCUAUCAAAGUGCUCUUCGAAAUUAGACCAAUAAGGUUAGCUUUCAAGUGAUUGUAGCAGUUCGGCAUGCAAGAACAAAAAUGGUUCCUACCACAAGAAAAGCACUUAAAUUCUCGCCUUUUUUCGAAAGAACGUAACCAAUCAGCAUAGAAGGAUGGUCGAAGUCUUCUCGUCAAGACUUUCUCGGCACAGUAUAUCUGCACGCAGACGCAGAGCUGCAGGAAAGUCAACUUCUUCAAGAUGUUCAUCUUUAGCGGCUCGGAUUUACUCAUCAAGCAUUUUCUCGGCACAUCAUGUCUCCACGUAGACACGGAGGUGCCGGAAAGUGAUCUUUACGGUGAAGGUCAAAAUCUACUCGCCAAGAAUUUUCUUGGCACAGCAUGUCUCUAUGUAGACAAGAAGGUGCGGAAAGUGAUCUUUAUGUUGAAGGUCGAAAUCUACUCGUCAAGAAUUUUCUUAGCACAACAUGUCUCUAUGUAGACACGAAGGUGCCGGAAAGUGAUAUUUACAAGAAAAGUCGAAAUCUACUUGUCUAGAAUUUUAUCGGCACAACAUGCCUCCACGUAGACACGGAGGUGCCGAAAAGUGAUCUUUACAAAAAAGGUUGAAAUCUGUUAAUCUAAGAAUUUUCGGCACAGCGUAUCUAUACGUGGAUAUAGAGGUGCUAGGAAAUUAACAUCUCUACACCAAGACAUUUGUACGCUAACACUAUGAAGAAAUUCUGAAGACCAUGAAGGUUUUGAAUACUGCAUAUCAUGUAGAACAAGGAAGCAGUAGCCAAAUGACGAUGUCAUCGCCAGUCCCCACUGUAGCAACGAGGAACAGUAGUCGCCAUCUCGUUCGAUUCCAAAUGAUGAUGGCGGCAUGUUCUUCUCUAGAUCACCAACUGUGCAGAAGAAAGAACGUUCAGAUCAUUCCCGCCAAAUACCAAGAUAAAGCUGAAAUGGGCUCUUAUUGGAACAAAUGAAGAAAAAUAAGGAAAUUUUUUGGAGGUCAUUUUCAAUGGCAAAGCCAGAAUUUCAUGAGAAGAGGCAUUCACAAAUGUAAAAAAAAUGGUGGCUAACAAUUAAAAAUCUACUAAACGUAGGGGUGGAAUUUUUUCCCGAAAAUCCUGAACCGUCCCGAACCCGUCCUGAAAUUUGACCGAAAAAUGCCCGAACUAAAUUUCCAAAAAAAUUUGAUACCUGAAACCGAACCCGUCCUGAAAGUUUCAGUUUGGGAUUCGGCCACAGCUUUGAACACGUUCGGUAAUCCCGAACCGAACCCAAUAUUAUAUAUAUAUUUUUUUUAAUUUUUAAUUAGAAAUUACUCGAAUCGUUGGAUUUGUUAAGAAGAUCUAAUCUAACCAUCCAUUGAGUUAGGCUAUUUGUUAGGUCUCUCAGACUCUCUCUCAGUCACUCUCGCUCACUCUCUCAGUCUCUCUCACAGUCACUCACACUCUCACUCACAGUCUCGCCGCUCGUGCUCUCUUCGCUCCACUCCUUCGUCGAAUCCACACCGUUCCUCGUCCUCCAUCGACUCACGCCGCUCCUCCUCCUCUAUCGACUCACGCAAACAUAGGAAUGAAGUCUCGAGUCUGACACCAAUUGAAUCCCAAAAUCCAGGUAAGGGUUUCUGAUUUUCACUGGGGUUUUGUUCUUUAGUGUUUAGGGUCAAAUUUCAUGUUGAUUAACUUGAUUUCUGAGUAUUUUGUCGAAUGUGUGUGAGGGUUUGAGGACUGUGGGUUUCGAAUUAGGGUAGGUAACUGUAGGACCUGCAUGCAGGAUAUGGUUCUAUGUGUUUUGUCAAAAUAUCUUCUCUCCAAAUGUUUUGCAAUGGAAAAUGUAUAAGAUAUGGUUCUAUAUUAAUUGCAGGAGCAUUCUCACCAAUAUUCAAAUGAGUUAAGGAAGAUCUGAAACAUAAAUUUUGUAGAAUGAAGUAGACCACAGUAGAGCUUUCCUUGUCUAAUUCCAGCAACAUAGCAGCAUCGGAUAUACAGGUAACAGGCAUAUCUGAAGUGGUUAGUUCUUAACUAGAAGAUAUUGAGCAACAAAUAUUUUUGUUUUUGCAUGCACUUUUUUUUCCCUCGUAAUCUCCGGUCCAUUUUUCUCAUCCCCUUGUAGUUUUCCCAUUGUUAUGUAUAUCACACUCGUAAUUGAUUGCAUUGACUUGAACACAUCUUGUGCUGCUCUUCACUUCACUUUGUGUUGUAUUGUAUGCCAUACUCCUAACAUGAAUAAAUUAAUGUGGCUGACAUUGCUUUCUUUCUUUUAGAAAAGUGAUAAAAUUUUCUUCUUGGCAUUCAAAAUUAAUGCCAUACUUCUAACAUGAAUAAAUUAAUGUGUUGAUUUUGAAGAUCUUUAUGCUGUCUUUGGACUCCGUGGCAUGCUCAAACUUACAUUUGGAGAGAAAAUACUUUAAGAUAGAAUAUUUUGAUUAUAUUCUGAGAUAAACAUGUGUUUGACUUUGAUAUAUAUAUUUGUUUAUGGAUUAGUUUAUGGAAUGUGCACUCUGUCAGUUUAUGGAUCAGUUUAUGGUUGUGAUAUAUAUGUGAUAUAUAUGUGUUUGAUCAGUAUAUGAGAUGAGAUAUGUGAAUCUUAUAUAUAUGUUGAACUGUGUUGUGAUAUAUUAUUGUGCAUUGUCAGGAUGGACGGGUUUGGUAAUGGUAGUGGUAGCCAAUCACAAUCUACUAGUACACCUAGGAUCUUGGUUUUAGUAAAACGAAAGCCACAGUACAUUCGAACUGAAUACUAUGAAGAUUAUUGUGAUGAUGAUAUGGAUAUGGAUACUGAUAUAAGGUUAGAAGAAAUAGAUGAAGAAAUAGAGGAAGAAGAAGGUGAGGAGGAUAAUGUUGAAUUGGACAAGUGGCAGAUGCCUUCGGUGGCCACAUUAGCAAGUAGGGUGGGUCAACGAAAAAAAGUAAUAGGACUAAGGGGCCAAGUCCGGCUUGGAAUGAUGCCACUAAGGUAAAUGUGACCGAUGAAUUUGGAAUUACACGAUUAUGGCAGAGUGCAAUCAUUGCAAAAUGCAAGUGCAGGCGGAGUCCUCUAGACAUGGGACGAAAGGUAUUCUUGAUCAUUUGAAGAAAUGCCCGGAUUCUAGUCUCUACGAGGCACUGGAUUCGAAACAACCAUUGUUGUCACAAGGGAUGAUGGGGGGUCAAGUUGUCGUUCACACUUUCAAUAAAAAAAGACUUGAUAUGAAAUGUGUGAAAUGGAUAAUAAAAACAGAGAUGCCUUUUAGGGUGGUUGAUCAAGAGGACUUUAGAGAUUGGAUCUAUGACUUGAAUUCAAAGUACAAGCUUCCAAAUAGGCAUAAGGUGGAGGCGGCGGUUUUAGAAUUGUAUUUUACAUAGAAAGAAAAAAAAUCAAGAGGGUGGUUGAUGGUUUAAGGGUGAGUAUCACUACCGAUACUUGGACCUCAAUCCAAAAUAUUAAUUACAUGGUGGUGACGGCACAUUUUUUUGGACAAUGAUUGGACUUUGCAUAAGAGGAUCCUAAAUUUUGUUCAAAUUACGUCUCACAAGGGUGAUGAUAUUGGGAGGUGUCUAGAGGUAUGCUUGAAUAAUUGGCUCAUAGACAAGGUAUUUAGCAUUACCGUUGACAAUGCUAGUGCCAAUGACACCGCCAUUGCAUACAUGAAGAGAAGGCUCAAGUCCAAUGGUACUCUUUUACUUGAUGGGGCUCACUUGCACAUGAGGUGUGCUUGUCACAUCCUCAAUUUGAUAGUUAAAGAUGGAAUGACGGAGCUUAGUCGUGAGAUUGAAGGGGUAAGGAAUUGUGUCAAGUUCAUACACUCAUCUUCCGCGAGGUUGGAGACUUUUAGGGAGUAUUGCGUCUUGAUGAGAUUUGAUAAGAUGUCGAAUAUUCCUUUUGAUGUUGUCACAAGGUGGAAUGCCACCUAUGAAAUGCUCAAUAAUGCCUUCAAAUUUAAGCAAGUGUUCUCAAGGAUGGCGGAUGAGUGCAACAUUUUCAUCUCUUACUUUCAAGAGGAGGUAUUUAAAGAGAUUAAUGGGGUCACAACCAAGGUGAAACAGGUGGGUCCUCCAGUGGUAGAAGCUUGGGAGAGGGCUGUGAGUUUUGCUCACUUUGUUAAAAUGUUUUAUGAUGCCACCUUGACACUUAGUGCAACCUUAACUUCAACUUCAAACUUAAUACUUGGCAUGGUGAUUGCAUUGCAAGUGGAGAUAGAAGAAAAGAUUUGCAAUUCCUCUAAUGCCACUUUGCAAAGUGUGGCAACUUCCAUGAAGCUUAAGUUUGACAAGUAUUAGGGGGGACAUUGAAAAGGUUAACCCUAUACUCUUUAUAGCCCAAGCACUCGACCCGAGGUACAAGUUUGAAAUGUUGGAGGCAAGCCUCCGCUAUUCAUGUGAGGCAAUCUUGGAUGUGAAGAUAAGUAUUAAAAAAAACUUGACAGAUUUGUUUAAGGUGUGUAUAAGGAGGGAGAGGUUUCUAGUAGUAGUAGUGUUACCGUGGAUCAAAGGCCAAGUGUUGUGGUAGAUGAUUCUUCGGGGUUGGAAGAUGAUGAUGUUGCCACAAGAAUGCAAAGGAAAAUCCAACAAAAAAAGCUGCGGCCCAACAAAACGAGAUAUCCAAUGAAGUGGAUAUGUAUUUCAAUGGUCCUCACCAAAGCUUAACAUAUGAAGGUUUCAAUAUUUUGGAUUCGUGGAAAGUCAAUUGUGGAACAUAUCCAACUCUUAGUAAGGUUGCUAAGGACAUUUUUGCUCUUCCUAGUAGCACCGUUGCUAGUGAGAAUGCUUUUAGUCUUGGUGGAAGAGUUGUAGAUCUUUUUAGAGCUUCCCUAACACUAAGAACAGUUGAGGCUUUGGUGUGUACAAGUGAUUGGCUGAGGGGGAAUGAAAUGUCCUUCUACAAGGAGCCUACAAUUGAUGACCUCAUGUUCUACAAGGAACUUGAAAACUUGGAGAAGGGUAAGUGAAGUAUUUGAUUUCAUGUUUUUAUUUUCUUAGUUUUAUAAUUUAUGCAUUCACAUUCUAAAUAUAUUUUGUGUUUUAUUGUUUUUAUCGUUUUAGAGUUGCCUAAUAUGGGAGGUGAGGAGAAUCCCACACAAAGUGAAAUGCCACCUCCUCCACCACCUCAAGUUCAACGCCGCCCGUCACCACUUCCGCGACCACCCAUUUCAAGAGCAUCUACACCAACAAAAGGAGGAUUCAAUUAUCAAUAAGAGGAAGGGGUCCACCAUCAACGGCAACGGGUCAUUCAUCAACAAGGGGAAGGGGCCGAAUGGGCUAAAGGGAAUGAACUUACUUAAGCUUCAUUUUGGUUGCAUGCACUUUCUCGUUUAUAAACUAUGUUUUGCUUUUGGUUUGUAACUUAAUCUAAAUUCAUUCGGAAGUUUGGUUUGUAAAAUUUAACUUAUUUCAUUUUGGUUGUAUGCACUUUUAAUUAACUAGUUUGGUAGACAAUUGUAAACUUAAGCUUAACUUGUUAGUUGUUGCUUCCUUGGUAUGAAAAUUGAAACUGGUGGUAUUGUGAAACUGAAAUUGUGAAGCUUUAUGUGAUAUUGUGGUGAAUUGUGAAACUGAAAGUCUGAAACUAGUGGGCUGUGCGUGCAGGCAGUGGGCUGCAACCUCCAAGCCUGCAAUUGUUCCUUUUUUUUUCUUUUUUCUUUUUUUUUCUGAAAAAUGGGUGGGCUUACUUGUUAAACAGCUUAAAAUUGUAAAAAGUUUUAAAAGCCCAACAUUUUGGGCUUCAAGGCCCAAUCCCAAAGUGACCCGAAAAUCCCGAAACACUUUCAGGAAUCCCGAAUUUCGGGAAAUGAAUAGUUUCGGUUUGGUUUCGGGAUAUAAAAUCCCAUCCCGAAAUGUUUUGGUUUGGGAUUCGGGUUAGGGGUUUCAGUUCGGGAUCCCGACCCGAACCAACCCUAACUAAACGAAACAUCAUAAUAACAUAUUCAUUGUCAAUGGUGUGUUUGAAGGUGUUUUGAAAAUGACUGAAGAUGUUUUUAAUGAAAGUGUUUAUAGAACGAAUCCUUAAUUAAAGUGUAAAGUAAAUUCGAAAAAGAACUUGAAGUGCUUACAAGAAGUACAUAAUUGGUGAUUAUUCCAAACUUUUGAAACCUAAAAACACUUUCACCAAAAGCAUACUGAAUGUACUUCCAAGCAUGCAAAAUAUUACUUGUUUCAUGGUAACUUUGUCAUCUAUACUAUUAACUUUGUCAUCCACACACCUCUUUUUAUUUCUCACACACCACUCUUAAUUUAAAUAGUGCAAAUCAAUAAAAAAAUUCUAAACACUAACACAGUAACACUUAAAUAAGGGGUAGGAUAGAGGAUAAACAAUAAAAAGUUACAGACAAUAAGAUAGAUUUUACAAAUCUUAUUGUUCGUUGAAUUAAUUUGAAUUUGGUAUGACUAUAUAUAUAUAUGAAAUUUCAGAAAAUGAGAAGAAGAAUAACUUUGUAGAUUUGGAGUCCCAUUUUUGGGUUCUACCGUGAAAGAGAAAAAUUUAAGUAGAUUUUUUUUUUCAUUUAAAAGUGGAGGUUUAGUGAUAAGUUUUUUUUUUAUCAAAUGCUAAAGAUUAUUAAUUCUAUAUGAUAUAUAUAAUAAAGUAUUAGAGUUAGUGGUGAGAUGUUGGAAGUUGAAAUUUGGAAUAGGAAGAAUAGAUUUGAAUUGUUGUACUAUUGACCAAUAAGAGGAGGAUUCUAAAUGAAGGAGGCACAAUACCAAUUUGAGGAGGGUUGCAAAGAAAAUCUCAGGAUGAGCCUAGGCCCAUCCUUGUCUCAAGGUCCGUCCGCCACUUGUUCACGUGGUCCCCCGCAACCCAGGUCCUGUCUGCAGAGUAAUUAGGCUCGCAGAAGUCCAAAGUUUACUGCAAGCAUGGUCUCUCGGAAAAAAAAAAAAAGGGAGAAUCCAUUAGGGCUUAAUUUUGGCAGUCCGAAGACUUCCAUUCAAUCAUGAUGACGUGCAAAAUUUUGCACAACAUGAUUGUGGAAGAUGAGUACAUCAAAAUUGAAGAAGAUUCAAACGAAGAUGUGAAUGAUGAUCAACCAACACAUGCGAGAGCUAUUGCAAGAGAUGUUGAAUAUUUCGCUCCAACCACAUAUGAGACCAAAUAGGAUAGGGUCACCUUGAGUGAGUAUAUGAGAUGUUUAAAUAGAAUUCAAGCUCUUCAAUGUCAUGACACACUCUGCAAGGAUUUGGUUGAGCAUGUAUAGCGCCGAGAAGGUGAACGUUGAUGAUGUUGGUUAAGCAUUUAUGUAAUAAUUUUAAGUAUACUAUGUUGUUAUUUUCUAGUAAUAAAUUUAAGUGUCUUCUUGUGCAAAAUAUUUUGUCUAGUACGUUGGAUAAAUUAUUGAAUGGAGGUUGAAUUAUUGAAGGCAUCUAUUCUACAUCAAAGUGUGGAAUAAUAAGUACAAUAAUUAUUGAAGGCAUCUAAAUUAAUAGAAACAAUACAACCAAUAAUACAUAAACUUAAUACAACCGAUAAUUCAUAAACCACAUAAUUAAUAAAUUAAUAAACUUAAUUAAUAAAGCACAUAAUUCAUACACUACAUAAACUUAAUAAUCAUAUUCACCAUCUUCACUUGGUGAUGGACUUCGUUGAAAUGUUGGGAUAUAGGGUUCAAAUGAUUCAUCAUCUUGAAACAUACUCCUUGAGGCAAACUUUCGCAUAAUUUCCUUUUGCUUACCACGUAAGAACUUCUUCCUCUCUGGAGUGUAUUUGCUGAGGUCCUUCAUCAUGAAUUCAAUUUCAAACCUAUUUUCAUCCCUAUCCAAGAUUUCCUUCAUUUGCAAACGCAUUCGGGCCGUUUCAUCUUGGCGAGCGCUAUGAGUUUCAUUCAAUUUUGCAAUUCCGGUAUCAAAGUGUCAUCGGAUCUUGGGACUUCCCUUUUCUCUUUGCUUCAUUUUGUUUAUCUCUUCCCGAUGGCCUUGCAAAAGAAUGAGAUGGGGUCAUUUCAUCGACACCUUCAUCUCCGACAUUUGUCUGUGCGGCUUCACAUUGAAAUAAUUUUCCCCAUUGUUGGUCCGCAUCGGUUCCCCACCUUGGACAAUCCUUGAGGACGUCCCAAGCAUGUUGCAACUUAAAAACUUGAUUUUUUGGUGUUACUCUUGUCUUGUAAAUUUCGAUUGCUUUGUCACCCUAUGCAAAAAAUACAUAAAAAUAAUUAGUUGCAACAUAAUAUUAUGUAUAUAACAAAUAAAAUAUCAAGAACAAAACUCACAAUUUAUGUGGCACUCCUUCCACUAGCCAUGCCAACCACGGCUCUCUCCAAGUUUCCCUUCCAUAAAGUGCAUGUUUUGUUGAUAGUCUUCCACCGAUCAUAAACACCACCACCAUCCCACCCGCCGCCAUUGCAGUUUUCUUGAAACUUUGCAAUUAUUUUAUCCCACAAAACCUUCUUAUUUUGAUUUGUGCCAACUGCACCAUCUUCGCUAACAGAAACCCAUGCCAAGCAUAAAGCAACAUCUUCCUCACAUGUCCAAUUAUGACCUCUAAUAUGCUAUCUUGCCAUGUUGAACAAUUUGGAAAUGGAAAGAAUUGGUAGAAAGAUAAAUUGGAAGAAUUGUAAGAGAAAAUUGAGUUUUGUGUGGAUUUGAACAAAUACAUAGAUAUUUAUAGAGUUUUUGGGUGAAUUUUGAGUUAAAUAUUUUUUUAAUUAUUUUAGCCGUUGGAUUUAAAUUUGGGCCGUAAGAUUUUUUUUUUUACCGUUAGAUUUGAUUAUAUUCAAUCUCAGCCAUUGGAUUCAAUGUAUUUUAAAAUAACAUAUUCUAAAAAAAAUUAAAUUUGAAUCUGGACCGUUGGAUCAACCAACGGUCCUUAAAGCCCAGCCAUAUGAUCAAAAUUAUAGCCGUUGGGUUUUUGUGGGUGGCCGACAUAAGCCUGACAGCGGGGCCCAUCGCUGUCGGGAAACCUUUGCAAGUGCACCGCGUGGUGCGCGUUGGAGCGUGGGCUGGCCGAGACUGACCCAACAACCCGCGAGUCCACUCGCAUGGGGGGGGGUAUUUGGCCCAGCUUUGGCAUUUGACAUUUAGCCUAAAGUUUUAGCAUGGGUUGGAGAGUGUUUAGGGGGGAAAUGUGGGGGGAAAUUUAGCAUUUAGCCCACCAUUGGAGAUGGUCUUAGGAGGGGUUUAUUUGAAAUCAAGAUCUUUAGUUCUUCUGCUACUCAGUACUAUGGUAUGAUAAUAUUUCUUUUCAUUUGGAAGUGAGAAGUCUUAGGUUCGAAUCUCCUAGAUGGCGUCUUUAGUUCUUCUGCUACUCAGUACUACAGUAUGGUAAUAUUCAUUUUCAUUUGGAAGUGAGAAAUCUUAGGUUCGAAUAUCGUAGAUGGCUAAUUCGAUACCAAAUUAGUUUACGCAUUGUGUGGUCUAUCCAAAUUUCCCCUUCUCUUAGUAUAAAAAAUAUCAAUAUACUUCAAAAAAAAAAAAAAAAAGAAUUUGGUUCCUCUUUGAUGCCGUGACAAGUAUGCAAGGAAACAAAAUUCCCUGUGGCAAAAUAAAAGCAUAGCGAGUAGAAUUCAAAAUGAUCAAAGAAUACCGCAUCUCCAAAUAAAUAACUAAAAGAUGUUUUAUCUUGUCUGCCAUGUGAAGUCAAGUCCAAGUUCACAGGGAAGAAAAAAGCUUGCUGACAACUUCCCAAAUUAAUUGAUAAAAACACUCACGUGGCAACCCUUAAAAAAUAAGUUUUAACAAACAUUUUGGUACAGUUCACUUUUUAAUAGUUCACUUUUAAUGAAAAAUCAUAUUUUUACAUUUUGGAAUUAAUGAACUAUGUCUGCACAAGCUGAAACUGCACAAGGCACCAAAUCAAACACAAAAUAUUUUUCUUUUCAGUGGGUCUUUCACUCUUUGGAAUUAAUGAAUUAUGCCAGUUUGAUUUCGCUAACGAUAUGUAGGCAAUCUAGAGAUUCAGUCUAGAUGCAAUUGCACAAAGACAAAAACCCAAAAUUGAAUCUCUGGUUCAUCUCAACCAAAUUCACCAUAAAAUCCAAAUCGAGCCCCUUAUUCAUCUCAACCAAAUUCACCACAAAGUCCAAAUUGAAUCCCUGGUUUAUUCAACCAAAUUCACUCAAACAAAUUCGAAGUAUUCAAAUAAACCAAACACAAAACUUUUUUUUAGUGGGUCAUUCACUCACUAAAAAUCUCAAACCAAAUCAUCCAAGAACUACGAAUGGCUUGAUCCCUCCAAAAAGAGUACGUAGUAAUCAAGGGCUCAACCGAGGUGCAGUUGCAAAACCAAACAAACAUCCAAAUCCCCAAGUUAUGAUUUAUUCAUAUUGGAAUCAAAAGGUUAUUUUAUUUUUAAUCAAAGGUUGUAAUUAACAGACGUAUAGUCUAAAAUGGGUCAAACAAAAAUUAAUAAAACCCUCUUCAGAAAAAUGAACGAGAGUAAGAUUGUGUCUGAUAGAUUAUUUGUUACAUUUUUGUACAAUUUUUGCUCAACAGAUGCAUUGCCGAAUCUAGAGAAUUGAUUAGUUAUUGACUAUUGCGAUGAAUUGGUCUCAAACUAUGUUUUUCAACAAAUACAGCUCGAUUAAUCUCAUUCAACGUUAAUAGUUGAAAAAAAAAAAAAAAAAAAAGAAAGGGUCAUAUUUUCUCUUUUGGUUACAAGAACGUGCCAUAUUUUCUUUCUUUUAAAAGUUGUUCUGAUGAUAUAUUUAAGAAAAAAACAAUAGGCUUUUGAGCUUUUCACAGAGAAGUCAUUGACAAAGUAGAUAAUAAAUAAUAUUAUACUUUAGAAGGAAAUACACAAAUUUAAUACUUUAGAAAAUAAAUAACAUCCAUUAUACUUUAGAAAAUAAAAUAUACAAGUUUAAUACUUUGUAAUGGAAGAACGGCACACAAUAGAAAUUUCACAACUAAAAAUUAAUUAGAGCAUGUCAAUAAUUAAAAAAAAAAAGACUUGGCUUAAUGGGAAGGGCUCAAAGAAAUUUCACAGCAAAUAAUCAAUUAAAGCGUGACAAUUAGGUAAAUGAGGAGGUUUUUUUGCUCUAAUUGAGCUCUUGGAAAGUAUUUUUGUAUAAAACUUAUAGCUUUGGAACCAAUAAUUGUACAUUAGAAAAGAUAGCUGAUAUUUUUUUUAUUAAAAAGAGAGCUGAUUUUUAAUUAAUCAAUUUUGAAGUUUUUGUGUAUAUUCUAUGAAGACAUAAGGGAACUAUACUACAGUCUCCUCACAUAAAAUUCUCAGCUUUGUUAUUUUUCAUCAAACUAUGAUUCAUGCAAACGGGAUCAAUUUAUCAGUAGAUAUAUGAUACACGUAAAUGAGAUUGAAAAUCAAUAGAAAUGUUCCAUGAGAUUGUCUACCAUCCAUUAUUUUGAUCAUUCCGUUAAAAACUCCGUUAAGUGUCCCGGAGCUCUUGGCCGAAAGUUUGGGCAAUUUUCAAAGCUUCGUAACUCAAUCGUUUCUUAACCAAAUUAGACCCAUAAUAUAUCAAAAUGAAGAUAGGAAAGUGUAGAACAAGAUUAUACCUAUUUGGAAUCCCAAUGGUUGCCCGAGAUGGCUGGAAAAUAGCCUGAAAGCUGAUUGGUCAGCCGGAACACUGGAAAACUCGCCGGAAACUGGAUAAACUUUAAACAGUCAUAACUUCUUCAAUACUCAACUAAAUCGAGUGAAUCAAAAACAAAAAUCAUACUUCUCAACAGGACGAAGAGUAUGAUACCUUUCUCGACUGCUAAAUCAUAGUGGUUUGGCUGGAAAAUGACUCCAAAGAGCCUGUCUGGUCUCUAGUUAGCCACUUUCGAGCCGUUUUCGGUCAAACCACUGCAAAUUAGCCAUCGCGAAAGGUACCAUUCUCUUUGUCUCGUUGAGAAGUAUGAGUUUUGUUUUGAAUCACUCGAUUUCGUUGAGUAUUGAUGAAGUUAUGAACGUUUAAAGUUUAUCCAGUUUCCUGCGAGUUUUCCAGUUUUCCCGCGGACCAGUCAACUUUUAGGCUAUUUUUCGGCAAUCAUUGGCUUCCAAAUAUAUAUAAUCUUAUUCUACACUUUCUUAUCUUCAUUUUGAUAUAUUAUGGGUCGAAUUUGGUUAAGAAACGAUUGAGUUACGAAGUUUUGAAAAUUGCCCAAAUUUUCGGCCAAGAGCUCCGGGACACUUAAUGAAGUUUUUAACGGAGAGACCAAAAUAAUAGAUGGUGGACAAUCUCAGGGACCAUUUCUAUUGAUUUUCAAUCUCAGGGACCAUUUCUAUUGAUUUUCAAUCUCAGGAGCUAAAAUGAUGUGUUAUACAAAUCUCCGGGACCAUUUGACUAAAAAGCCAAAAAAAAAAAAAAAAAGGGCCAUGUGUUGUCAACUUUGUUGAGGUCGCCCACUACGCCUUCAUUUACCUUACUCGGCAGUUUGUGGGCUCGGAUUGCAGGACGUUUCCAAGAAACGAAACAGUAGAAUAACUGAAGGGUCGGUUAGCGAUUUCGUAACCAUUUCAUAUACAAUUUACAGUGAGCGUGAUGCAUCAUCAGUUUUGUCAAUGCAUGACUUUUAUGAAUGUAUUUUUGCUCAACAAGUGAAGUCCUACCAAAUGACACGAUAACUCCAACAACUACGCACAAUAUAUAUAUAUAUAUAUAUAUAUAUAUAUUUUUUUUUUUUUUUUUUUUUUUUUUUUUUUUGAAAAAACGAAAUUAUCUAUAUAAUAGGAAAGGGGUGAGCUUACAUCACAAUAAGCUAGCAAUAACGUAGUUCAAAUUUGCAUUUGGCGAGAAUCAAACCUAAAACAUAUCAUUUACAAGUGAAGAUGAAUAUUACUAGACUGUAAUACUAAAUGGUAAUGUGCAUAAGAAAUAUUAAAUACAUUUAUUUAAUAACUAAAAUUAAAAAUCAAAAUUAAAAGUCAAAAUUUAAAACUUAAAGAAUUAGCUUUAAAAACUGCAUAAUUAAAGGUAGUUAUCAAAUAAAUUUAAUUUUCAAAAAAGAUAAAACAAAAAUUGAAAAUGAAAUGAUAAUCAAUUGGCCUCGUUGCUUUCAAUUUUCAUUUUCUUCAAAAUAGAAAACUAAAAGCAGUAACCAAACGAUAUCAGUUUUAGAAAAUAACUGUCACCGACCACAAGUUGGAGCAAGGAGUCAUUUGAUAGGCGAAAGGAGAGAGAGACUAGUAGUAGUUUCUAAUAGGAUUUUUAGCUAAAAUGAUCUCUGAAAUUUGCAUAACAUCACUUUGGUUCCUGAGAUUGAAAAUCAAUAGAAAUGGUCUCUAAGAUUGUCCACCAACCAUUAUUUUGGUCAUUCCGUUAAGUGUCCCGGAGCACUUGGCCGAAAGUUUGGCAAAUUUUCAAAGUUUCGUAACUUAAUCGUUUCUUAACCAAAUUCGACCCAUAAUAUAUCAAAAUGAAGAUAAGAAAGUGUAAAACAAGAUUAAACCUAUUUGGAAGCCUAAUGGUUUCCAGAGAUGGUAAUAAAAUAGCCUGAAAUGUGACUAGUCCGCCGGAAAACUGGAAAACUCGCAGGAAACUGGGUAAACUUUAAACGUUCAUAACUUCUUCAAUAGUCAACGAAAUCAAGUGAUUCAAAAACAAAAAUCAUACUUAUCGACGAGACAAAGAGAAUGGUACAUUUCUUGGCGGCUAAAUCCUCGUGAUUUGGCUGGAAAACGGCUCAAAAGUGGUUGUCUUGGUCUUGAGUUAGCCACUUUCAAGCUGUUUUCCGGCCAAACCACGGUGAAUUAGCCAUCAAGAAAUGUACCAUUCUCUACGUCUCAUUGAUGAGUAUGAUUUUCGUUUUUGAAUCAUUCGAAUCAUUCGAUUUCGUUGAGUAUUGAAGAAGUUAUGAACAUUUAAAGUUUACCCAGUUUCCUGCGAGUUUUUCAGUUUUCCUGCGGACCAAUCAUAUUUCAGGGUAUUUUCCGGCCAUCUCUGGCAACCAUUGGGCUUCCAAAUGGUAUAAUCUUGUUCUACACUUUCCUAUCUUCCUUUUUAUAUAUUAUGGGUCGAAUUUGGUUAAGAAACGAUUGAGUUACGAAGCAUUGAAAAUUGCCCAAACUUCCAGCUAAGAGCUCCGGGACACUUAACAGAGUUUUUAACGGAAUGAUCAAAAUAAUGGAUGGUGGACAAUCUCAAGGACCAUUUCUAUUGAUUUUCAAUCUCAUGAACCAAAGUGAUGUGUUAUGCAAAUCUCAGUAACCAUUUUGGCUAUAAAGCCUUUUUAAUAUAUUGGCAUUCCAAGAGUCCAUGCUUUCGAGGUAUAGUAACAAAAGAUAAAGCAAAAACAAUUGUAAUUUCAACAAAGGUCUUUGUACAGAAAAUUGACAAUGUCCGCAAUUGUUGCAUCAAAAUUUCUGAUGCCUGGCCAGGUCUAGAGGAAAUGAUCGACUAUUGCCAUGAUUUGGUGGAACUGCCUGCUAAGCUCUGUGAUCUUGUUCAUAUGAAGAUGCUCAGUGUCACCAACUGCCAUAAGCUAUCUACCUUGCAUGAAAGAUUGGAAAGCUAGAGAAUUUAGGAGUACGACAAAAAAAAAGGACCUUUUGGGACGGUCAAAAUGAGUCACAAAAACAGCAAAAAGCGUCGCAGCAACCCUUUUACAACGGGCUUGCGAGAGCCAAUGACUCGUUGCAAUACAUAGGCGUCGUAAAUGUUGGUUGAUUAUAUCCGACGUUUUCACCGUGUCGCAAAUACUAUUUGCUACAGGUUUGCGACAACAAGUAACGCAUCACAAAUAAUAGGCACUAGGUUUUAAAAAAAUAUUAGGCGUCAAAUGAGACUCCACAAUCACAUUAUUUUUAACAGCUUCACCAAAAUUGUUUCAUGUGAAAUGUUACUACAUAUUUCAAACUAGAAUAAAAUCCAAUACUGAUACAAUUCAUAAUUCACAAAAUGAGAAACACUUGGAUAUCAAAGAAUGUAUUUCACUUACAGUAAUGAAACAUAUAUACAUGAUCAAAACGUUUAUAGGUUCUAUAUUCCUACGUCAAGGUCCUCAUGAUAAUACAAACCAUGUAGAAUUGUCUUCAAACGUCUGCUUCCACCUCUCGUCAUAGACCUCCUCAAAUAUGUCCUUAAACCUGGAGCAGUCAAAUAACUCAACAUUUGUAAGAAUUUCCUUAUUGAACUAAAUGAUAUAGAAUUCAUAGUUGAAUGAUGAAUAAUUCUUCCAAGAAAGGUAAAUUUACCUGCCAUCAUACUUCACUAGUUCUUCAUAAUAGUGUUUUUGGUGCUCAAGUAUAGUGGCCACUUCUUGGAAAGAGCCAAAGACAUUGACAAGUCGGCAAAAGCUCGAAUAGACUACCAAAAAAUAAAGGUUUUUUUAGUAGAGUUUAUCAGCACAUUUGCCUAAACAAACAAAAAGGUAUGCGAUGCCCAUUGUGGUAACACAAACCUCAUCAGCAUUAUACAUAGAAAGGGCCACACCAGGCCCUUUGAAAUUGUGAACAUCAAGUGCAACAAGGGAGACUCCUUCUGGGACUUAGCAUUACAAACAGAGAUGCGAAGCAGAAAACCAUAUUCAAGGGAAAUUACUUCACCAGAACAAUCAUAUGAUCUAGAAUGUUGAGAUUUACUUACCAAAAACCAUUUCAAGUUUUCAUGGCCCUUUGACAACUGUAUCAGGCUCGAUACUGAUCGCCAAAGGCAUGCCUACGAAUACAUAUGGCUUUCUUCCAACCUGUAAAUUGGACACGUAUUGAGCACUUCCCAUAACAUUUUACUUACAUUCAAGAUUAGAAAUGACUUCAAGCUAUUACCAGGAACUAUUCUAGGGAUGUUUCUACAUAGAAUAGUUUCAUGAAAAAAUAGCACCUGUAAAUUAAAGCAUUACAUUUCAAUUAGAGAUUGUUCAAACAGUUAGGUAAUCUUUCAGAUGCUAACUUAAUUUGUAACUUAUGAACGAAAACGAGUAACAAAACUAAGAGUAUUAAAUUUUGUUUUGUAUUAAAAGGAGAUGACGUCUCAGAUACAAACCGUCUAGAAUGUUUCUAAUUGUGCCCUUUGGACUCCACAUUGAUUUCAACCCAAACUCCUUCAUUCUGGUCUCAUCUGCAAGGUAUAUGAGAAAUUGAAAUUAGAUGAGACAACAUUUAAAUGUCCAGGUAGAGCAGAUAGAUCAUCUUAUUGCUAAGGAAAGUAUUUGAGCAGCCAUAAUGUAUAUCGUAAAGGAUUCAAGGUCCUCGUGAUAAUACAUACAAAACAGCAUUAUAGAAAAGCAAAAACAACUAACCAGGGGUUACUGUAGCACAUUACACAACAAAAUUGUGCCUGCAGGGCAUAAAAGGUUAAAAUCAAACAAAUAGAAGAAGCAAAAACUAACGAUUCAAAGGUAAGAAAUGUUGGGAUACGGUCCAGCCCAUGAUGAAUGUUCUAGAUUAUUCUAGUAAACAAGUGAGGUGGCUGGAGCAUGCUAGACAAUUCUAGCAAGUUAUUAAGUUGGUGGAAGAAGCUAGAAAAUAUUAGCUUCCUUGGUUGCAAAUGGAAAGAUCUAGAAGCUACAAUUUUGUGACUAGUCUAUAAUUAAGCUAGAGGUUUGUAGAAUAUACUAGAAACUAGUUCUAGUUUGUAGAAGGAACUAGAAACUAGUAGAGUGCCAAGUCCUCACCUAUAAAUAUGGGUGUGAUAUUGUAGUGAUUUAACCAAUCAAGAAAGUAGUGGGUAGCGAAGGAUCAAGUCCAAAGCUAGAGUUCCACUCCAAGAGUGAGAGUGAGAAUGAGAGUUCCACUACACAUUGUGUGAGAGAAGUUUAGAGUGUCCAUUUUCUACUUUGUGCAUUCUCUAUCUUGUAGUACUGACAUUCUUAACAAGUGGUAUCAGAGCCCGGUUGGCUUAUACUACAAGAUGGAAGGAAGUGGCACUAUGAUCAAACUCACCAACUCCAAUUGGGUAACAUGGAAGCCAAGGAUGGAGGAUAUUCUCUAUUGCAAGGAUCUGCAUGAGCCAAUUGAAGGAGAUGCCACUAAGCCCGAGAGCAUGUCCGAUGCUGAGUGGAAGAAAAUGAAUCGCAAGGCAAUUGGCACAAUCAGACAAUGGGUGGACGAUAGUGUUUUUCACCAUGUGUCUAAUGAAACCAAUGCCCGUGAGUUUUGGACAAAGCUUGAGUCCUUGUUCGAGAAAAAGACCCCAGCCAAGAAAGUCUUCUUGAUCAAAGCUCAUCAAUGUGAAGAACACGGAUGGUUUAAGUGUAGCAGAACACUUGAACAAUUUCCAGAAUAUCAUCAACCGGUUGGCUACUAUGAACAUGACAAUUGAGGACGAGCUGCAAGCGCUCUUGUUACUUGGAUCCUUGCCAGACAGUUGGGAUACCUUUGUGGUGAGUGUAAGUAACUCUACUCCUAAUGGUGUUCUUACUCUUGAUAAUGUUAAAAAUAGCAUGCUUAAUGAAGAAACAAGGAGAAAGGCUUCUGGCACAUAUAGCAGCCAAGUAUUUGUCACAGAGAACCGCGGAAGAAGCAAGAGUAGAGGGCCUAGAGGUCAUGGCAGGAGUUCUAGCCGAUCCAAAUCAAGGUUCAGGGGUGCAUGCCACCAUUGUGGCAAAGAAGGCCAUAUGAAGAAAAAUUAUUGAGUUUGGAAGAGAUAGCAAAGGGAAGGAAACAAUCAGAAGAAAGAUGAUACUGGCAAUACCACCGCAAUCAUGUGGUGAUGUAUCAGAAUAUUGUCUGUUGGUGAAUGUCUGCAUAUGGGUGAUUCUGACAAAGACAUUGAAUGGAUCUUUGACAAUGGAGCUUCCUUCCAUGCUACAUCCAAACGGGAGUUCUUCAGUACAUACAAAGAAGGUGACUUUGGCAUAGUGAAGAUGGGGAAUGAAAGCAAUUCCAAAAUUCUUGGAAUUGGUGAUAUUUGCCUAAAAACUAAUCUCGGCUGCUAGUUGAUAUUGAAAGAUGUGAGACAUAUUCCUAAUAUACGUCUCAAUUUGAUAUCCAUCGAUACCCUUGAUCAACAAGAUUAUUAUCACCAUAUUGGCGAAGGAAAAUUGAAGCUUACUAAAGGCUUAAUGGUGGUAGCAAGAGCACGACUUUGUUGUAUGUUGUACCGGUCAAAUGCCAAGGUUUUGAAAGGUGAGUUGAUUGCUGUGGAAGACUCAUCUCUAGACUUGUGCAUAAGAGGCUUGGCCACAUGAGCGAGAAAGGCCUACAAGUUCUAGCAAAGAAGUCUCACAUUCCCUUUGCCAAAGGUACGUCGUUAAACUCUUGCGAGCACUGUUUAUUUGGUAAACAAAGAAGAGUUAGUUUUUUUGUUCCAUCUACAAAGAAAGGAAAUUUGUUAGAUCUUGUUUAUUCAGAUGUGUGUGGUCCCAUGGAAGUCGUGUCACUUGUAAGAAAUAAAUAUUUUGUUACUUAUAUUGAUGAUGCUUCACGAAGUGUCUGGGUGUUUUUGUUGAAAUCCAAAGACCAGGUGUUUCAGACAUUCCAGGAGUUCAAUGCCAUGGUGGAGAGGGAAACUAGAAAACCUCUCAAGUGCCUUCGUAGCAACAAUGGCGGCGAGUACACAUCUCACCAGUUUAGAGAUGGAAACUAGGAAACCUCUCAGCUGCCAAUGAAGUGUCUGCAGAACCAUAUAAUGCUGAUCAUGGGGAGCCUAAUCCAGACCAUGAAAUUGUUGAUCAGGGGGAGCCUAGUCAAGAAUAGCAGAAUCAAGGAGAACUACAUCAGGGGGAGCCUCCAACCCCGCAAGAGAAUGAAGACCAAGUCAGAAGAUCCAGCAGAAGUCGAAGACUGUCUACCAAGUAUUCUUCAUCAGAGUAUAUCAUGUUGACAAAUUAUGGAGAGCCCGAAACUUAUGAGGAGGCAAAAGCUCAUAACAAUAGUGACAGAUGGAUUAAGGCAAUGGAGUCAAAGAUGGAUUCCUUAUUAAAGAAUGAUACCUAUGAGCUGGUGGAGCUUCCAAAAGGCAGAAAAGCAUUGAAAUAUAAGUGGGUGUUCAAAUUGAAAAGAGACGACAACAUGACAAGGUACAAGGCUCAUUUGGUUGUCAAAGGUUUUGGUCAAAAGAAAGGAGUUGACUUUGAUGAGAUUUUCCCACCGAUGGGGAAGAUGACUUCCAUUCAAGUUAUCCUUGGUAUGGCAACAAGCAUGGAUCUUGAGCUCGAGCAGUUAGACGUUAAAACUGCAUUUCUCCACAGCAAUUUAGAAGAGGAGAUAUACAUGGAGCAACCCAAAGUCUUUGAAGUCAAAGGUAAAGAAAAUUUGGUGUGCAAGCUAAAGACAAGCUUAUAUGGUCUUAAGCAGGCUCCAAGACAGUGGAAUAAGAAGUUCAACUCAUUCAUGGUGAGUAAUGGGUACAAGAGAACUUAUGUUGACUCUUGUGUCUAUAUCAAACAAUUUUCUGAAGGUAAAUUCAUUAUUUUAUUGCUUUAUGUUGAUGACAUGUUGAUUGUCGGUCAAGAUGCUUCUAUGAUUAAAAAGCUCAAAGAAGAGUUAUCUAAGUCGUUUGACAUGAAGGACUUAGGGCCAGCCAAGCAGAUUUUGGGCAUGGUGAUAAUUUGUGACAGAAAAUCCAAGAAGUUGUGGAUGUCACAAGAAAAGUAUGUUGAAUGGGUGCUUGAAAGGUUCAACAUGAAAGCAGCCAUACCGGUAAGCUCACCCUUAGCCAAUCAUAUCAAGUUAAGCAAAGAGUAGUGUCCAAAAACAUAUGAAGAAAAGGAGAAAAUGACAGUUGUUCCCUACUCUUUAGCGGUAGGAAGUAUCAUGUAUGCAAUGGUGUGUACACAACCAGAUAUUGCUCAUGCAGUAGGUGUGGUAAGCAGGUUUCUCUCUAAUCCAGGGAAGGAACACUGGGAAGCUGUUAAGUGGAUUCUCAGAUAUUUGAAGGGGACUUCUAAGAUGUGCUUGUGCUUUGGCGGUUCCAAACCAAUCUUGGAAGGAUUUACAGAUGCUAGCAUGGGAAGUGACCUGGAUGGUAGAAAAUCUACGUCUAGGUACUUGUUUACUUUUGCAGGGGGAGCUGUCUCAUGACAAUCCAAGUUGCAAAAGUGUGUUGCUUUGUCCACAACUGAGGCUGAAUAUAUAGCCGCUACAGAACCAUGCAAGGAGUUGUUGUGGCUGAAGCGGUUUCUCCAAGAGUUAGGUUUGAAGCAAAAUGAUUAUGGCGUUUAUUGUGAUAGUAAGAGUGCUUUGGAUUUGAGCAAGAACACUGCAUAUCAUUCACGCACCAAGCACAUUGAUAUUCGUUAUCACUGGAUUAGAUAGGCUAUUGAGAACAAGUUGCUACAGCCGAAGAAGAUUCAUACCGAUAAUAAUUCCUCAGACAUGUUGACAAAGGUAGUCACAAAAUCAAAGUUGGAAUUCUGCAUUAAGGCUGCUGGGAUGGACUCCAAGUAACUUGGAGUCAUGAUCGAAAUUCCUCCCUCAUGGACUGGAGGGGGAGAUUGUUGGUAUAUGGUCCAGCCCAUGAUGAAUGUUCUAGAUUAUUCUAGUAAGAAAGUGAGGUGGCUGGAGCAUGCUAGACAAUUCUAGCAAGUUAUUAAGUUGGUGGAAGAAGCUAGAAAGUACUAGCUUCCUUGGUUGCAAAUGAAAAGAUCUAGAAGCUACAAUUUUGUGACUAGUCUAGAAUUAAGCUGUUUGGAUUUUGGCUCGUCAAAUAUGUCCUAGUUGGUUUAGGAUUGUUUUAGGAAACCUAGAGGUAUACCGAUUCUUGUCCUAGAGGGAUUAGGAAAGAAUUUCAAUUUCUUUAUUCAAUUUAGGUUUGGAUUUCUAGAAGUCUAUUUGGAUUUGGAUAAGUGUAAUUUCCUAGUCCACUUGGAAAUAAGAAUUCAAUCAGCCUUAGGACAUGUAAGCCAACUCUAUGUCUAUAAUAGGGUGCGGCAAGGCUGAUUUUUAAGAGGAGAGAAAGAAAACAGCCAGACAGCCAAGAGUUUUGAGAUUAGUUUUAGGGUUUGCAAAAGUUCUGUAAUCUUUAUUAUUAAUCAAAGGAGAGGUGAUUUCUCUACCUAGAGAAAUAACAGAUGGACGCAGGCAAAAGUUCUGCCGAACCAGUAUAAUUCUUGUGUGUUUCUAAUAUUUGCUAGUUUAGUCUAUUGCCGUUGGUUACAUUAAAGAACAAGGUCUAGUGUGCGGGUUUUUCAACAUAAGCUAGAGGUUUGUAGAAUAUACUAGAAACUAGAAACUAGUUCUAGUUUGUAGAAGGAACUAAAAACUAGUAGAGUGCCAAGUCCUCACCUAUAAAUAUGGGUGUGAUAUUGUACUGAUGUAACCAAUCAAGAAAGUAGUGAGUAGCAAAGGAUCAAGUCCAAAGCUAGAGUUCCACUCCAAGAGUGAGAAUGAGAAUGUUCCACUACAUAUUGUGUGAGUGAAGUUUAGAGUGUCCAUUUUCUACUUUACUUUGUGCAUUCUAUCUUGUAGUACCGACAUUCCUAACAAGAAAUACAAAGACACUAAACAAAUUCUGAAUCAAACUACUUACUUAAUAGUGGCUUCAGCGCUCUUUACUGUAACUCUGUCAUCGGUUGCAUCACGGUUCAAAAUCCCUAAAGCAUAGUACUUUAUAUCCAAGUCCAGAUAGGGAAAAAUGAGCAGUAAUAGCAUACAAAUGAAAAACUCGGAUUAAAUCAAAUAAAUUCUACAACAAAAGCAUUAAUAAGACCAUCUCCAACAAUGGGCUAAAUGCCAAAUUCCCCCCCCCCCAAACCCACUCCAACCCAAGACAAAUCUUUGGGCUAAAAGCCAAAUGCCAAAGCUGGGCCAAAUACCACCCUAAAUUCCUCCCCCCCCCCCCCAUGCGAGUGGACUCGCUGGAACUUGGGCCACUCUUGGCCCGCCCACACACGUACGCGCCCCACGCACUAGGCUUGCAAUGCUUUCUCGACAGGGGUGGGCCCUGCAGUCAGCUGGUUGUCGGCCAAAAUCAUCAUCCUAACGGCUAUAAUUGAGAUCCAAUGGCUGGGGUUUAAGGAUCGUUGGUUGAUCCAAUAGUCCAAAUUCAAAUUUAUUUUUUUUCGAAUAUGUUAUUUUAAAAUACAUUGAAUCUAACGGCUGAGAUCGAAUAUAAUCAAAUCUAACAGUAAAAAAAAAAGAUCUCACGGCCUAAAUUUAAAUCCAACGGCUAAAAAAAUUAAAAAAAAACUAUUUAACUCAAAAUUCACCUAAAAACUCCAUAAAUACCUAUGUAAUUGUUCAAACAUUCACACAAAUUUAUUUUUUUCAAUAUUUAUCAAAAUUUAAAUAUUUUUAGAUUAAAAUGUUCAUAAAAUUAAUUUACGAUAGUCUACAUAUAUAUAUAUAUAUAUUAAUUUAAUUUAAGAAAAAAAUAGCCUAAGUUCAUUAUUUAAUAAUUCCGGGCUAAAAUUUUAGCCUAGAACGGUUGGAGCAGAAAAACUGUUUCUGGGCUAAAAGCUAAAUUUUCCAGGCUAAAAAAUUUGGCUUUUAGCCCAACCAUUAGAGUUGGUCUAAACUGAAAUUCACAUUAAAAUGUAUAUCACACUUUGCCUUUAAUCGUUUUCCUUAUGAUCCUCGUCCUUACAUCAACUAAUUGACAAAAUAAUACCACAAUUAAUACAGUACACAAUCACAACAUCCAAAAUUACAAAAAAUAGCUCCAAUUACAAAAAAUCUCCAAAAAUAUUAGUAAGUAAUGACGAAGUAAAACCACAGGAAAAAAAAAGGGAAAAACCCUAAAUAACGAUAGAACUUAUGGAGAAUAGAUAGGAUAGGAAUUUGAAGAAAAAUGAUGAAACAACACCAACAAAAAACACAUUAUCUUACCCGAAUGAGAAGAGAUGACGUUGAAUUCGACUUUCUAGAAGCAAAAAGAAAGAACUGAGAUGACGAAAAAAUUAGGGAUAGGGAAAGGGGAGAUUUGUUUGAGAGAGGGAACAAGAACCAUAAACCCUUACCUGGUUCAAUUGUGGCUCAGCAUCAAUGGUUAUGGCGAGAGUGGCAGAGAAGGUUUUAAGCUUUUGAAGAGAGGGAGAGAGGCGGAGAGCUAGAGGCAGGCUCGAGCAUCUGAGUCUCAUUAUAAUUCUUUUUUAUUUUUCUCUUUUAGCGCAGAACAAAGCGCAAAAAUUUUUAGUGAAAUUUAAUAUUUUAUUGCGAGGGCCGCCUUACAGUUGCACAAACGGUGUCGCAAAUGCCAUGUUUUCUUGUAGUCCUAAGGUCCUGUACAGACUUGGUAAGGCUUACGGUCUCGAUUUGAGAAGCUCACUAAGUUGUGCAAUCUUGACAUGUAUAAUUGUUUCGUCAUCAAGGAGUUGCCCCAAGGCAUUGGUAAUAUGAACGGUUUAAGAAAAAUCAACAUGGGGACAAUGCUCAAGUUUGAAAAAGUUGGGUACUUAGACAAAAUUACUUUAAAAUAUUUCAAUAUCAUACAUUAUCUUCAAAUUUAUUGCAAUGCAUACAUUUUAAUAAUUUUUUUUAAAUAGGAGACCCAUCCCUACAAACCCAUCACCCAUUCUUUCCCAUCCACUGUGUCCCUGCCCCCCACCCCAACCUUCCUUCACCACCAAAACCAGAACCCCAUCGCCACCUUCUCUUCCGCCAUCUCCACAUCCCUCCUCCUCCUCCUCCUCCACCACCACCACUAAAUCCAACCAUUCAAAGCAACUCGUCAUUCAACCUUCCAGUUCAAAUAAAAACCAAGUACUCCACAACACUCCAAACCCAAAAACAUCAUCCUAUCCAAAAGGUUCCGAAUCCAACGAACUAAACCCGUCGUCGUUUUGGCCCACUGAAUUAUCGUUCUUUCUCAGCAGUCAGCACACCCUCCAUACACACGUGACUCUCCCUCGCCCUCAUCUUCCCCACUCGAUCGUCUUCUCCACCCAGCCACCUCUGCCAAAUUCCAAUCAAGUCUUCCCAUUUCUGCAACUCCCCAAAAACCCCUAAAUGCCCCUCAAAUCCUAGACUAAUUACUUCCUCCUCCAACUCUUUUCUUCUUCACCUAUCGGUUUUGUUCUGGUGAAGGAACGAGAUGAUGGGCUCUGAGAACCGGGCCUCCGACGAAGCCCACCUCCUCGCACCGAAAGAAGAAAUGGAGGAUCUCGUCCUUGACGCUCAAUUGAAUGGUAAUAAAUCGUACUCAAAUUAUUGCAGCGCCAUGUCGUCACUAUUCGAUACGACACAACCCCUUUCGUCGUCGCCGCCUUCGCUACCACCACCUCAACAACGCCAGCCGACAUCGAUCCCCUUUUGGCGCCCUCACCAUAUCGCGAUCUCCCCCGACAACUCCACGUACAUCGACCCGCCUUCUUACAUCAACGUGACCUUCAGCCCUUUCGAUGCCGAAAUCGCGGCCGAAGGCAACGGCAACGAGAUCCCCUGCAAGAGCUCUGACGACUCGAAUAUAAUAUAAGGUAUGAUAUUUAAAUAUUUUAAUGAUGAGGUAUAAGCUCUGAUAGACCUAAUACUUGAGAUAGUUUUAUGUAAUUCAUCCGAAAAGUUACCUUUAUGUGUGGAUCUUGAUGAGGAGUUGGAGCAAGUGAUUUGUGAUGAAGAGAAGAAACAUUUGUGGGAACCUUUCUUAAUUUAAACUAUAUUAUUAUUAGUCUAUUGUGAAGUUAUAUUUACUUUUAUCUUCUCAUAUUUUAAUGAUGAUAAUAUCAUUUGUUUAAAAAAAUAAAAAAAGACAAAAUAAGGUUUGUGUUACAUUGUUUCUUUAAUUUUCAUCUUCUUGUUGGGUUUUUCUUUUUUGAUUUUGUACAAUUUCUAAGUUUCAUCAAAUCCAUUUGUGGUACUGUUUAGAUCAAACUCUCUUGAGUCUUAAGAAAUUAUGCGUUUUUUUCCUGUGUAAUGUUUUACACAAAAUAAAUAAUGUGUAUUAUAUUUUCUUGUAUUGCAUUUUUAUGAAGUGCAAAAUGAUGCUUUUGGAGUAUCAACACCAAUUCUCUAUAAAUAAUGUGUAUUAUAUUUUCUUUGAAUAUACAAAACAUGUGUUUUUACUAAACCUAAUAUGUAAAUUAUGCAUUAAGUUUCUUUUGUUGCAGACUCCUGUAGGUGAUAGAUAUUGAGAUAUUCUAAGUUACGGUUGAAUGUGUUUUAAGUUAAUGCAAACACGCAAUCGAUAUGCCAUUGAUAUCGUCAAAAUGUAAUCCGUAGAGUGCAACAUAAAAGAAAUGGUUUAAGUAUCAAUCAUUUAGUGUUCAUCGGUCCAAACUUUCGUUUGACUGUCUUUAUGCUUUUGUCUCCUUUAGAAACUUGCCUUCACAACUCCUCCGUGAGAGAUCCUUUCUCCUUGGCGAGACUUCUUCUUUCCUUUGUGUGAGAGUUUCCCGGUUCCGUUCAUCUCCUUGAGCUUCUGGUUUCCCCCCGUUCGCCACUUUCCUCCAACCCCUGUGCCCCUGAUUUCUCUGUCUGUAGCCCCUUCCUCCCCUUUUCCGUUUCCCCAUCCUUCCACCCUCCUUCCGCUCUUCUCCCCUAUUUCUUCCUUGAGCUUCCUGGUACCUAUUUCCUUUCAACCUUUUCCCCCUUUUUCUCCUUCCGUCCACCUUCCUCCACCUUCCUCCCACCUUCCUUCCACCUCACCCCCUUUCUGUCCCUUUCCUUAAACCUUCUUUCCACCUUUUUCCCCCUUUUCCCCUUCUGUCCCUUUCCUUAAACCUUCUUUCCACCGUUUUCCCCCUUUUCCCCCUUUUCUUCCAAGUUAAUUUCCAAGUGCCCCACCACAGCAAUCAGCUACUGCUAAAAGUGACCGCGCUCCAACUCCGAAAUUUCUUUCGAGCUUCAAGAGUAAGGGUUUCUAUGUUAAAACCAACCCAAACUGUAUAUUUGUUUGUCCAACUUUGUAUUGCUUGAUCACCAACAACGUAAGAGAAAAUCCAACUUUGUAUUGCUUCUUUUCUGAAUCUCUUUAUUUUGGGUUCCAUAUUUAAGAGUGUCAAUUUCUAAUCUGAUAUUGUUUUGGGCAACUGCUUAAAAUGGUCCGAGAUCAAGGAGUGUAUUCAAUUGAGAUUUUUAGGGAUUUUAAUUCUUUUAAUGAAUCUAGGGUAUUCAAUUAGAAUUUUGAGUAAGUCUUUGAAAUUCUAGCAGUAUUCAAUUAGAAUUUUAAGAUAGUUUAUUAAAAUCCUUAGAAAUAUUCAAUUAAGAUUUUAAAUGUGUAUUCAAUCAGAAAUUGAUUUUAAAGAAUUUGAGAAAGUUGAGGAAUUACAAGGAAUUGAAGAGAUUUCGUAAUGUAUUUUAAGCAUCCACAAAUCUCACCUUUUUAUAUGAGAUUUCGAGGGAAUUGAAUCAAAAUUUUAUAUGAAAUCUCUACAAAUCAAUUAAACUUCAUUAAAAUCUCUCACAUUCUCAAUUGAAUACACCCCAAAUCUCAAUUUCUCAAUUCCUCAACUUAUCAAAAUCAAAUAUCGAUGACAUAAAAAACUGGUAAUUUAAGAAAUUCGGCCAAUUUCCCCUGUUAUUUUCAAUUGUCGUAAAUUUUACAUUGAAACUUUUGUAUGUUUUUCUGAUUUUCGGUGUUGGUUUUCGUCGUUAAGAAUCAAGGAAUGGAUGGAGCAGACGACCCUUCCGGAUCAGUAUUCAAUGCGCUGCAUGAGGUCCUCAUGGAGCUGAUCGCCAAGAAUGUAAGGAUUAAGCCCCUCCUCAAAGACAUCAAAUCCAGGUUAGACUCUUUGGAACCAUUGUUGAAAUAUAUAGAAAAAGAUAUAGAAAAAUCCAAGAAAUUGGAUCUUCCGGUUGUGGAACUGGAAAACUUAGAAGUGCAUUUGGAAGAGGGCAUAGAGCUCGUUCAAAAGUGCAUAAAGAUUCGACGGUGGACCACAUACAAACGGUACAAAUACUCCAACAAGCUGACUGGAUGGGAUAAAUCUCUUCAACGACUUUUGGAAAAGCUAGACGUUCAGGGAAUAAGGGAUAUGAAGGACAGCCCGGUUUUGGUGAAGAAUAUAGAGAAGGCGGUCAGCAAAAUUCAAUCGAAUCUGGGGAUACCAAAACAACCCGACAGUGAAACUUGGUGUGCAGCACCUGAACUUCCACCGCUUGUGGUUGGGUUGGAUUUUCCUCUAAAGGAAUUGAAGAGGAAGCUUCUAAAGGACGAAAAGGUAUCAAUGGUUGUGCUGACUGCUCCCGGAGGAUGUGGGAAAACCACUUUGGCUACAAAGUUUUGUCAAGACAAGGAUGUCAAAGGUAUCAUAUAUUUUAAGUUAGCACUCGGAGUUGUAUAUUUUUUUUUGUGAUGUAAAAGGUAUCAUAUAUUACAACUAUGUCAGAUUUAAAUGACGCCUCAAUGACAGAUUUAUUAUGUUUUCUUUGGAUAGAUACAUUCAAGGAUAAUAUCUUCUUUGUCACGGUUUCAAAAAAGCCUAAAUUGGAAAACAUUGUUCAAGAUCUAUAUCAACGAAAGGGUUUCCAGGUACCUACUUUCCAAAACGAAGUUAGUACAGUGACGUGGCUGCAACAUUUUCUUAAGAAAGAAGGGCAGAAUCCUAUACUGUUUGUCCUGGAUGAUGUUUGGUCUGGAUCAGAAUCCCUUGUGCAGAAGUUUGAUCAAUUCAAAAUGGAAAAUUACAAGUUUUUGGUGACAUCUAGGUCUGAAUUUCGGGGAUAUGGUUCCCCUUAUUAUUUGCGAUCAUUGGAUCGUGACAAUGCGAUGAAACUUUUUCAUCAUUCAGCAUCCCUUGGAGAUAAGAGCUCUCAUAUUCCAAAAGUUCUUGCAGAAAAGGUACUUUUUAGUUGCAAUGCAGAGCAUGUAUAGUAAAAAAUUAGUUGACUUGGUUUUGGAAAAUUGUCAAGAAAUCAUGUUCACUUUACGCAAAGCAUCCACAAUCAAGUGAAUGAACACGUCCAUUUACCGUAUAAAUUUGUGAGCAGUCAUGCAUCUAAGCAUACUUGUGGACUAAAACUAAAAUUAGAAUACAGUAUAUAGUUAUUUAGCCAUUUUCACAUCAUCGUAACUUGAAUUUUGGCUCUGCAACUUAAAAGGUAACUGACUUUGUUUUGGAAAAUUAUCCUGCAGAUAGUCGAACGUUGCAAGGGAUUUCCGCUUGCUAUUACAGUGGUGGGGAGAUCGCUUUGCGGGGAGCCUAUAGAGAUAUGGCAAAAAAGAGAACUUGAAUGGUCUAAAGGUUUUUCUAUUCUUGAUUCAGAGACUGAAUUGCUGCUCUGCCUUGAACGAAGCUUGGAUGCCAUAGAUAAAGAAAUCAUCAAGGAAUGUUUCUUAGACUUGGGUUCAUUUCCAGAAGACCAAAGAAUCCCUGUUGCUGCCCUCAUUGAUAUCUGGGCAGAGUUAUAUGAUGUAGAUACAGAUAUAGAGUGCAUUGCAAACCUCUAUGAGCUAACCAAACGUAGUCUAGCUAAUCUUGUUGUUACAAGGUGUGCAUGCUUUGUUUUUUCUUGUAUGAUAUUUUCGCUCUAUUUUCCCCUUUAUACUCACGACUGGUUGAUGCUAAUAACUUGUUAUUGCAUUAUGUUGGUUGAAGAAAUCUCUUCUAAGAAAAUUAGUUUUGAUCAUCACCAGGAAGGACAAUAUGGUGGGGGACGGGUACUACAGUGAGCACUUUGUUACCCAUCAUGAUGUUGUUAGGGAGCUGGCUAUCUACAACACAAAAAAAGGACCAGUAGAACAUAGAAAAAAACUGAUUAUUGACAUAUGUGGAGACAAUCUUCCAAAAUGGUGGAGAGAACAAAAGCAUCAGCCAAUGAAGGCCCGCUUAAUAUCCAUAACAACUGGUUGUUCCAUCGCUCCUUUUCUCUUUAGCAAUUAUGUAGACAUGCACAAAUAAAUAGUUAUUCUUGCUCACACGCACUCGCACGUGCACAUGAAGCCUUAAUAGUACUUUCAUUUAGUUUCUUCUCCAGACACUCACAGUUGUUGCUUUGCAGAUGAAGGGUUUUCAACAAAGUGGCACGACAUGCAAAUGCCAGAAGCUAAGGUUUUAGUAUUGAAUUUCCAGACAAAGAAUUAUGCCUUACCCGAAUCUUUGGUGAACAUGGAUGAAUUGAAGGCUGUGAUAGUCACAAAUUAUGGUUUCUUACCUGCUGAAUUGAGUAACUUUCAACUUUUGAGUUCGUUACCAAAUCUUAAGAGAAUCAGAUUAGAACGCAUCUCAAUUCCUUCUAUAACCAACAAUCCCAAACAAUUGGCGGGUCUGAAGAAGAUAUCCUUGUUCAUGUGUAACAUUGGUCAAGCUUUCAACAACGGUUCCAUCUCAAUCUCAUCAGCAUUCCCAAAUCUAGAGGAAAUGAACAUCGACUAUUGCAGUGAUUUAAUUGAAUUGCCCGUCGAGGUUUGUGAUCUUAAUAAACUAAAGAAGCUCGGUGUCACUAGCUGUCAUAAACUAUCUGCCUUGCCUGAAAGGAUUGGAAAGUUGGAAAAUUUAGAAAUGUUAAGGCUAAGAUCCUGCACAGAACUGUCAAAGCUUCCACCCUCAAUGAAGAACCUGGGAAAGGUAAACUUUCUUGACAUAUCUGAUUGCUUCAACAUCAAGGUGUUGCCCGAAGACAUUGGUGAAAUGAGUAGUUUAAGAAAGAUCAACAUGAGACAAUGUUCAAGGUUGCAAGAGCUGCCUCCAUCAGUCAUGGAUCUUGAGCAGUUAGAGGAAGUGGUCUGUGAUGAAGAGACAAAAUAUUUGUGGGAGUCUUUCUCGUCGUGUCUCAACAACCUGAAGAUUAUUGUGACCAAAGAGAAUAUCAACCUAAAUUGGCUCCACAAGACUCAGUUCUGAGGUAUUCUAAGUUGCAGUUUACUGUAUUCUAGCCGAUAUGCCAUUUAUAUGUUGUUGUUAUUGUUGUUAUCAUUGAUAUUGCAAAGUUAGAAUUGUCAAAAUAUAAUUUGUGAUGCCCAACUGUAAGUGCAGUAUUAGGAUGCAUGAUCCUCACACAAACUCCCCUAAAAGUGUGGUGAACUCUUGUUACAAACUCCCCUAUUGUAAGUGAUGAUUUCGUUCAGGUGUGCAACUGUUGGCUAUGACCAACAGAUUGUUUGUUUUAUGUUAUUAAUAAGCCAUUUGCUUGCGCCGCAAGAAACUGGCCUUCUUCUCAAUGGAUUGUUAUUUUGGAGGGGUUAAAUCCAUAUUUAGAUUCUUUUUAAUGCCGUGAGGACAAGGACUUAAUAAUUUUCUUGUGUUAUGUUGGAACCAAAUGGGGGGACCUCCGGGACCGGCAGUUGAGCACAAAUUCGAGUAAACCUAAGCAACUUGCAAAAUAGUAAAACAACCGUAAGCAAACCUUACCAAAGGUUCUUCAACGGUCAAGUUAGUGAAUGAUCUUUAGACUCAAGCAGUGGACAAGAGAAUUCAAGUGUAUGGAUUGCGUUAAUGUAGAUGAACCUUAGACAGGUGUAUUUAUACCUUCGUUCUAAGCUGGGAGAAUCUUAGGGGGAGAAUCUUAGGGGAUAACUAGUAAGUAGAUAUUACAUCCUCUUAUGAGUUAUAAUUACUUACGGCGCAUGCUUAUCCCUAGAUUGUAGGGACUCCAAGACUAAUAAAAUCUGAUUGUGUCCCUACUCGGAUUAGAUCACAUGUCUUGCAGAACAAGUAUGGUCAUUUAGUGGAGUCGCUAGGACUCUUCUGCCUAUUGCCCUAGAGUAGAGUGAUGGUGGCACCCUACUCCCUCUGAUAGAGCUCCACCCAGGGCUGGUAAGUCUAUGACUGGACUUCUGAGGUAACAGUAUUCGGAUCAGCCUUACUCUAGUCCUGAAAAAUCAUGGUCCCGUAAUUUUCCCUAACAAUCUGUCUGAGAGGCAACAUGUUCCCAUUGAAGAUGGAUUGUUAUCAAAGGCAAUGCCUUUUGGAAUAAGCUGGAAUACAUACCGUUUAAUCUUCAUGAAUGCAAGGUGACCUUUUAACACUAAUGUGGCAGCAUUUCAGAUUCAAACAUGUAUCUUCGUGUAGGUGCCAUAAAGUUCGCAAUGAUGAAACAUUGCGUCUGACUCUUGCGCACGAGAAACGAGAAAUCUUCUUUGAUAUCCCUUGUUUUUCCUAGCCGUUGUUAGAUCUUAAUACAAGUCGGUCUAAAUUCAACGGUUAGAUGACUCCCCCAAAUGAUACCUAUAUAUCCUCGGAUCUUGCUUCUCUCCUCUACCAUAAACUUUCAUUGUCCAAAAAGGCUCCAACUUGUUAUCUGUACCUAUUUCAAUAUCCUCUCUCCCUUUUGAAUCUUUUUUCAUGGCGUCUUCAAGCAAGAAGUCUAAAUUGGUCAAGGUUUCCCCUUAUAAUCUUUCUUUGACGAGAAUUUGUAAUCGAGAAGAGGGUGAGUCAUUUGUUGAAGAGCACCAUGAUAUCUUGUAAGACUGCAACGUUUGGUGGGAAUCGACCACGAUAUCUACGCCGACUUGUCGCCAUUGUCUGACCCAUGUCGCCCUUGCAUUAUAAUCUACCCCUGGUUCUUGGACUUAGGCAUUCGCUUUCCGCUUUCUACUUUCAUGAAAGGCAUUUUAUUGUGCUAUGAUAUAGCAAUUUGUAACCUUUUUCCCACCACCUUCAGGCUUCUUACUUGCUUUGAGUUGCUGAAUAAGUGGUUCAGGGACUGAGUUGGAUAUCCCCAAGUUUAGGUUGUUGUACUGCAUCAGACCGAGUUUGGAUGACCACUAUUAUUUUGCGGUUAGAGCUAGCCUAGCUUGGGAGACAUUCAUUCAGGACAUUCCCUUCCACGACAAGGAAUGAUUCAAAGAUAUACUAGUCGUUGACGGAGCUUGUGAAAGAGAUAUUAGCGGAUUCCAAAUCCGAUCUCGUCUUCCAACUGACCCAGAUUUCAAAGGUGGUCUAUCUGGUAUUAGCAUAUGCCGUCUAGACUUGAUUCGCCGGGCAAUGCAAAUUCUGGCCGUUUCCUGCAAUUAGAAGUGGUUGUUUUCCUCUGAGCACUUCAACAGCCGUGGGAAAGAUAUAGACGCCUUUCACUGUUCUAGAUUCCCUAAAAAGAGUCAGAGUGGGUUGAUGCUCGUAGCGUUCAUAAAAUGUCUCGUUCCUUUAAACCAGCAUCAACUCUGUCACCUAUCCCAAAUAAGCUAAAAUAUCCUGGUAGUUAUUCUUCUCACUCAUUGAUUGCGACUCCUCAGCUCUAGCUGGUUAGGUACAUCCACUGUAAAGGUAUUGGAUAAGAGAAAGAAACCCAUCUUCGAAGAAAGAGACGUAUUACUAUUCCGACGCCACCAACUUUUAAUGUACUUACCCCUGCAUCCGUAAUAGAUGAGGCACCUCUUCGCUACCCUUGCAUUCACCUGCAAUGUUGCCCCGGUCAUCGGAGUCGAAAUCGUCGUGCCUUCUAUUGCCUCGGCGUCAACCUCUGUCCCUCAACUGCUACUUUCUGUAGAUGGAUCUCCCCGUUAUGAUGGUCUUUCGUCAACUGCUGCAUUGAGAGGAAACAACUCAUCCUCCCCUUGUGAUUCGGCCUUCAAUUGAUUGUGUUGCUCUUCUUUCAGAUGCUAGUGGUCUUUAAAAUACGGACUAUGCCCCAGUGCUGCUCAGAGUCGUAAUUGCCCUCGCCGACUUUAAAGAAGAUUGCACCUCUUGAAGACGUCAUGAUACGGUGCUCCGAGAGUCGUUAUGAAGUACCUGACUCCAUUUCCUUCAUUUCUCUUUGUUGAUAUUCAUGAAUUCCCCAUCAUGUACCUUGUAUAUUAUGUUAAUAUGUGGACGAAGGUCGCCUUGUUCUAACAAGUAAGGCGAAUCUAGGAGCUUGAACAGAUUUCGGGCCUUGAAACAGUGGCGAUAAUAGAGGCGGAACAGCGAUUGCUAACCCAAUUAGAAGAACUCAAGAAUGCGCAUGCCAGGUAGCAAGCUUUGGAUUCUGCUCAUGAGGCGGAGUUAAUUCGCUACAUCGACCUGGCUAUUAUUGAAGAUAAAGGCCAAGGAUUACUAGGAAAGUUCUAAAAAGUUCAGAGAAUAGCUAAGGCUGGAGAGACAGGCCAAGGCGGAGUCAGACUAGGCUCUCGUUCCCUCGAAGGGAGAGUCAGAGUGUGCGUUUGCUUCAAAGUGGAAUGCUUGGGCUAGGGAGCGGGAAGCUCUUCAAAAGGAGGUUGAGGAUCUUCACCAAGAGGUCGACCAAAGACAAGAGUCUCAAAUCAAGAUCCAAGAUUCACAUCACGACUUUGGAAUAAGUUACAAGAUGAGCUUGGAACUCGCUUUGAUUUAAGUAUAACUUACCAUCCGCAGAAUGAUGGGCAGUCAGAGCGAGUAAUUCAAGUAUUGGAGGAUAUGCCUCGUACAUGCAUACUUGAUUAGGAAAUGAACAGGCUUAGAAAUCGAGUUAUGAAAUGUAAAUGACAAUACCAUGGGCCUAAAGAAACAAUCUGACAUUUAGAUAUCCACCUACAUUUGUAGAAUAGUUCACUACUUUGGCAUGAUGGGAAAGUAUCCGCUAUCUGUUUCUUUUCUUAUUCAUGUAAUCAUUGUUAUUCGCUCAAGUUAAAGGAUCAACUGGCCACCCGAUCAUUGACACUCUACAGUUGAAUGUUCAUUGAUUUAAGGAAUAAGAAAUGCAAUAGAUAUGAUGCUAAGAAAAUUUUGCAAAGAUACCCAUAAUUUUCUUGAAAGUUUAUGUGUGUUCAACUAAGUGUUAAAUGUAUUCAGUAUGCUUAAGAUUUCGAACUUCACUUGGAAAUGACAGUCCAGUAAAAGAUGAAAACUCUCGACUUGUUAAGUAAUUCAGUGUUUAAAGUAAAUCUCAAGGACAAGAUUUGUUUUAAGGAGGGUGGAAUGUGAGACCUUGAAAUUUUAGAGGUGUUUUUAUGAACUUUGGAUUACCUACGAAUUUUACAAUUUCUAGUUCCUUUUAAAUGGGUGAUGAUUUUACUUGAGUUCAAAGAUUAUUUUGUGGUAAAAAGAUGAAAGUGGAUGAGAUUACGAGCUCGUGGCAUCUUUUGAAUUAAUUUUCAAAGCUCGAACGAACUUAUAGUGGAACUUUAAAUAUGACAGAUUGGAUAACACCAUGUGGCAACCAAAGAAUGGCUGACUUUGACACAUGGCAGCCACAAGUGAUGGAAUCAGCCACGUGGAGAUCAAUUUGACAGCCACCUUACGCAAGAGAACCUAGGAGCUUAUUCAUGGUUGUAUAUUGAUAAGCUCCACCAUGUUGCUAAUUUAUAAGAAUUAUCAUGAAGCCUUGUUGUCAACUUAGCAUGGCAUGGUGAUGACUAAGCUUUUAAGUUGGAAGGAUUAAGGUGGAGCCAUCAUUAAGGUUAGAUACAAUAGACAAGUGUGUUUGUGACUCAUACUUUUACAAGUAAGAGUUGUCAAAGUAGCAGGAAAGGUUAUCCAAUAUAGAGUUAAUGCUGCCCAUUUCAUCCAAUGAGGAAUAAGAGAUUUCAGAUUAUUUCACCUAUAAAUAGGAGCAGCAUCUUCUUAGUUUCAAGUGCAGCAAUUAUAUAGUCGAGAAUUAGGUGAGCUCAAUGUAUGAUAAUGGCAUACAAUGCAUGCGAUAAGAGUUCAUGUCAAGCUUGUUCUUGCACAAAUUGAAGGCUUUGAAGCCUAUUUGAUGACUGGAAAACGAUUAAUAAGAAAUUAAGGUAAAGAUUUACACUUGAUCAGAUUUCUGAGAUUUUGUACAAGUUUCAUAUGGAUGAGAUUUAGAGAAAUUUGAUGUUUGACUCGAAAUUCAUCAAAUUUGGUUUUUAUACGACGUUUGUAUGGAAGAAGUGAGUUAUACUAUUGAUGGAUUGUGUUUUGCCUUGAAAUAUAUGUUUGAAUUUCUAGGAAAACAGACCUCAAAGCCGCUGGUUUCAUACCAGGUAUUGAAAUGUGAAAAUAGUUUCAGUUUUGGGGUAAGUUUGUAUAUUACCAAAAGUUCAGGGGCCAAAGUGAAAUUAUCAAUUGCUUGGGGCCUAUUUGAAAUAAUAAAAGUUCAAACACAGAUUUUUUAUUCUAGUUAAGUGAAGGUCCCUAUUGGAUAUAGUUGUUAUAAUGGGAAUAAAGUUUAGUCAUUAUAUAUGGACAUAUAGUGACAUAUUGUAAUUGUUGAACUAGGGACUCCAAUUACUCGUGGUGCUUACGUUUAAUCAAUGUAUUGGUGAGGAAUAUUACUUGCUUGGCUUGGAGACCAGAUAGGGGGAUCCUUAUUUACCCUAGUUAUGGAUUUUUGUGCAUAUGUAUACGUAAAUAUACGAAUGCCUGUGAAUGUUGCUUAUAUUUUGCUGAGAACCAUGAAGAAAAAAGGUUUUGUUUUUAUAUCAUGAUAUGCAUGUUGUUUUAUGCUACAGUUAAAGUGAUGACUUCAGAGUGAAGGGGGCAUACUGACCGCCUUGGGUUUCGAUCCCCUAAACCUCCGGAAGGGCCACUACGAAGGGAUUAGUACCGCUACCUUUCUAGGAGAGGUACUAGGAUAAGUAAAGCAUUAAAGGACACUCUCGCUACACCUUACCAUAAGUAUAUUCAUUCGGAGUUGGUGCAGGUAAAGGGGUAGUUGGUUAUUAGACCGAUCAUCAGGCAUGUAGCAAUUUAUUGGGAUCCCUGUUUUCUUUUUAAAAGGGAAUUGUGCAAGCAUACAAUCUAUUUUCAAAACUAAACAAAGAUGUUGUGCACCAAUCAUUUUCCAAUAGUAUAUAUAGUGACGUAUACUAUUUUUAAAUCUAGCUGGGGGUGGAUUCCCUGAGGGGGAGCUAUGAAAUAUUUGUGAUGCUCACCCUUACUUUAUUACAGGACCAGUGCACGUACAAAAAGAUGUUCUGGACUAAAGUCGGGACUAGCAUUGUUUGUUACUUGUCAACUUCUCAGUCGUUCAUUGACUCUUUCUACAUAUUUUUAUCUAUACAUAUACUUGAUUGCCUCACCAUCUUGAAGUGAUUUUUGUAGCCAAACUCAACAUUUUGCAUUUUCAAAUCGUACUAAAGAGUUGGUUUAGUAUGAUAAUUACUUUAAACUUUUUGGUUUUGUUGUAGAUUGUGAAGUUCUUUUCCUAUGUAAAAAUUUUAUCAAAAUUCAGUUACUCUUUUAUUCUUCAUUUUAUCAAAAUGAUUUCUGCUUCCAUACUGCUUAAAAAUAAAUUAUUUUAUUCCCCUCAAAUAGCCUUACGUUCUAUUAGGAAUGAAGUGCAAUAGUGUUGGAUUUUAACACUAUAGUUUUUUUUUUUACAAAUAGAGCGUGGCACUGUUACGUGAUUAUUUUUGGGGUGUGACUGAAAAAUGGUAUCAGAGCGACGGUUGAUCCACCUCUAAAGAAUUUUGUUGUUCCUCUUUAUUUUAAAUUGUUUUGGUUCGAAAAAGAGUUUUGAAUUCCACCUUCGAUUUGCGUUUUGGAUUGACUUUGCCAUGUCCUUUCAAUUCAAACUUCUACUUCAUUUGUUGUCGAGUCAAAUCUUGAAUGAGUUGUUGAGUCAAUAUCUCUCAUUUCAAUUCAUACUCUGUUGACAAGAUGCCUAGUCCUUCGACAAGUCCAAAAGAAAAUAGGGCACCGACAACAAAUAGCUAAAAUGUCUGGGGCUUUGCAAGCAUCUACGAAUGCUUAUAUGCGCACUAAUGAGGAACGUACACAUAAUCGAUAGAUGUCUUAUCUCGAUCGUUUUAUGAAAAAUAAGCUGCUCAAGUUUUAGGGAACGCCUGAAGCUGAGAGUUUGUUGGAACAUAUUAAGAAGAAGAUGAAAACUCUUCAUGUACCACCAUAAAGUUAACCUAGCUUCACAUGUUCCUAUGUAGCGGAUUUAUGAUGGGCUACUAUACGUGCUCAGUAUAACAUUGAAGAGAUGAAUUUUGAUGAUUUUGAGCAACUUUUUCUCAAGCGUUACUUUCUUGAUGCCAUGAAACAUACUAGGAUUCAAGACUUUCUUGAUCUUAAGUAAAGGGAAUAUGACUGUGGCUGAGUAUGUUGCCAAAUUUAGUGAGUUGAGUAAGUACUCUGAUGGUAUUGCUCAUGAUUAGAAGACAAUGGAAAUUAAGUUCAGAAAAGGGUUUAGAGACUUUAUCUGAAGGCAUAUUGUAGGUCAAGGACCUAAAACUUAACAUGAAAUUGUGGAAGCAACUUAUAAGUUAGAGCAAGAUUAAUAUAAAGGGUCAAGAUCGAGAAAAAUGAUUAGGAAGUUUUUUAGGAACAAAAAUGGAGUAGGAGUGGCAAUGGUGAAUAUAGAUUUAGGAGGCCAGGGCCUAUUGAAUGUUAUCAAUGUCAUGAAUUUGGAUCUACUAGAGAUAAAUGCACCAGUUGCAUUUAUGGAUCUCAUGAAUCGAGUAUUCCAACCUUAUUUGGAUAAGUUUGUUAUUGUUUUCAUUGAUGAUAUCCUUAUUUAUUUGAAGACUAGGGAGGAACAUGAAAUGCAUCUCCAUAUAGUCUUACAGACUAUAAUGGAUAAUCAGUUAUAUGCUAAGAAGUCGAAGUGUGACUUCUAGUUAACACAAGUGAAAUUCCUUGGACAUGUUAUAUGUGGAGACGGAAUUUGUGUGGAUCUCAGUAAGAUAGAAGCAGUAUUGAACUGGGAGCAACCUAAGAGUUACUUGGAGAUACGUAAUUUUCUUGGAUUAGUUGGCUAUUAUAGAAGAUUUGUUCGGGAUUUCUCAAAGAUUGCAAUUCCACUAACCUGACUCACAAGAAAAUGAGUAAGAUUUGAAUGGAAAAAUAAGUGUGAGUCGUUAUUUGAGGAAUUGAAAACAAGACUUACCACAUCGCCGGUGUUAGUAUUGCCUAAUAACCAAGAUCCAUUUGAGAUAAACACUAAUGCAUCGGCACAAGGACUCGGAUGUGUGCUAAUGCAAAAUGGAAAAGUUAUAGCUUAUGCUUCAAGACAGUUAAAGAAUUACAAGAGGAAUUAUCCAACACAUGACUUGGAGCUAGCUGCCAUAGUACAUGCAUUAAAGAUUUGGAGAUGUUAUAUGUACGGCCGUAAGUUCAAUAUUUAUUCAGAUCACAAAAGUCUUAAAGCAUAUAUAGUUUCAAUGUGAUUUGAAUUUGAGGCAAAGACGAAGGAUGGAGUACAUAAAGGAUUAUGUUUUUGAAUUGUCCUAUCAUCCUUGGAAAGCAAAUGUAGUUGAUGAUGCUUUAAGUAGAAAGACGAGGAACACUUUGUCUUAUCUGAUGUUGGUGGAUAAAAAGAUGUUUUAUACAAGACAAGAUUAUGAUCUAGAGGAACAACAUGAUGACAUAAGUGCUUAUUUGGCAAAUCUUAGUUUAGCACCUCAGUUGGGAGAUGUAUAAUGCAGAAACAACAGGAAGAUCCUAAAGUACAAGAAAUAAGGCAGAAGAUAGUUUCAGAAGAAGCACUUAAGGAAUGGAAGCUUCAUGAAAAUGGUAGUUUGAGGUACAAAGACCAAGUGGUUGUACUCGAGAAUGAAGAAGUUAGAAAGAAAGUAUUACAUGAAGUUCACAGAAUGCAAUUAGAUAUGCAUCCUGGAAGUACUAAAAUGUACAAGGAUUUGAAAAGGCAAUAUUGGUGGAAAGGUUUGAAGCGUGAUAUUGCUAUUUAUGUUGGCCAAUGUGUAGUGUACUAACAAGUAAAGGCAGAGGCAGAACACCAGAAACCUUUCGGAAUGCUACAAUCACUACCGAUCCAAGAAUGAAAAUGAGACAACCUCAUGAUUGAUUUUAUUACCGGCUUACCAAGAUCAAAGAAAGAACAAAAUGGUAUUUAGGUGAUAGUUGAUAGACUUACUAAGGUAGCUCACUCUCUGCCUAUGAAGAUGGAUUCGUCUAUCAAUUACUUUGUCAAAUUGUAUAUUGAAUGGAUUGUUCGAUUACGUGGAAUUCCAAAGACAAUAGUCUCAAAUCAAGAUCCAAGAUUCACAUCACGACUUUGGAAUAAGUUUCAAGAUGAGCCUGGAACUCACUUUGAUUUAAGUAUAGGUUACCAUCCGCAAAUUGAUGGACAGUCAAAGCGAGUAAUUCAAGUAUUAAUUCAAGUAUUGGAGGAUAUGCCUCGUACAUGCAUACUUGAUUGGGAAAUGAAAAGGCUUAGAAAUCGGGUUAUGCAAUGUAAACGGCAAUGUCAUGUACCUGAAGAAACAACUUAGAAAUAGGAAUCCGACAGUUAGAUAUCCACUUACAUUUGUAGAAUAGUUCACUACUUAGUGGCAUGAUGGGAAAGUAUUAGCUAUAUGUUUCUUUUCUUAUUCAUGUAAUCAUUGUCAUUCGCUCGAGUUAAGGGAUCUACUGGCCACCGGAUUUUUUAUACUCUACAAUGGAAUGUUCAUUGAUUUAAGGAAUAAGAAAUGCAAUAGAUAUGAUGCUAAGAAAAUUUUGCAAAGGUGCCCAUAAUUCUUGAGAGUUUAUGUGUGUUCGACUAAGUGUUAAAUGUAUUCAAUACGCUUAAGCUUUUGAACUUAACUUGGAAAUGACAGUCUGACCAAAGGUGGAACCUCUCGAGUUGUUAAGUAAUUCAGUGUUUAAAGUAAAUCUCAAGGACGAGAUUUGUUUUAAGGAGGGUGGAAUGUGAGACUUGAAAUUUUAGAGGUGUUUUUAUGAACUUUGGAGUACCUACAAAUUUUACAAUUUCUAGUUCCUUUUAAAUGGGUGAUGAUUUUACUUGAGUUCAAAGAUUAUUUUGAGGUAAAAAGAUGAAAUUGGAUAAGAUUACGAGCUUGUGGUAUCUUUUGGAUUAAUUUUCUGAGCUCAAACGAACUUACAGUGGAACUUUAAAUAUGACGGAUUGGAGAACACCAUGUGGCAAUCAAAGAAUGGCUGACUUUGAGACAUGGCAACCACAAGUGAUGGAAUUAGCCACGUGGAGAUCAAUUUGACAGCCACCUUACGCAAGAGAACUUAGUAGUUUGUUCAUGGUUAUUUAUUGAUAAGCUUCACCAUGCUGUUAAUUUAUAAGAAUUAUCAAGAAGCCUUGUUGUCAACUUUGCAUGGCAUGCAGAUGACCAAGCUUUUAAGUUGGAAGGAUUAAGGUGAAGGUGUCAUUAAGGUUUCAUACAAUAGACAAGUGUGUUUGUGACUCAUACUUUUACAAGUAGGAGUUGUCAAAGUAACGAGAAGGGUUAUCCAAUAUGGAGUUUAUGCUGCCCAUUUCAUCCAAUGAGGAAGAAGAGAUUUUAGAUUAUUUCACCUAUAAAUAGAAGCAGCACCUCCUUAGUUUCAAGUGCAGCAAUUAUAUGGUCGAGAAUUAGGUGAGCUCAAUGUAUGAUAAUGGCAUACAAUGCAUGCGAUAAGAGUUCAUGUCAAGCUUGUUCUUGCACAAAUUGAGGCCUUUAAAGCCUAUUUGAUGAUUGGACAACGAUUUCUAAGACAUUAAGGUAAGGAUUUGCAUAUGAUCAGAUUUCUGGGAUUUUGUACAAGUUUCAUAUGGAUGAGAUUUAGAGAAAUUUAUUGUUUGACUCGAAAUUCAUCAGAUUUGGUCUUUAUACAACGUUUGUAUGGAAGAAGUGAGUUGUAUUAUUGAUGGAUUGUAUUUUGGCUUGAAAUAUAUGUUGAAUUUCUAGGAAAACAUACCUCAAAGCUGUUGGUUUCAUACCAGUGACUGAACUGCGAAAAUAGUUUCAAUUUUGGGGUAAUUUUGUAAAUUACUGAAAGUUCAGGAGCCAAAGUGCAAUUAUCAAAAGUUUGGGGACCUCUUUGAAAUAAUAAAAAUUUCAAAUACAUAAUUUUUAUUCUGGUCAAGUGAAGGUCCUUAUUGGAUAUAGUUAUUGUUAUGGGAAUAAAGUUUAGUCAUUAUAUAUGGACAUAUUGUGACAUAUUGUAAUUGUUGAACUAAGAACUCCAAUUACUCGCGGUUCUUGCAUUUAAUUGAGGUAUUGGUGAGGAAUAUUACUUGCUUUGGCUUGGAGACCAAGUAGGGGAAUCCUCACUUACCCUAGUUAUGGAAUUUUGUGCAUGUAUGUAUAUGUAAAUAAACGAAUGCCUGUGAAAGCUGCAUAUAUUUUGUUGUGAUAGGACCAUGUGGAAAAAUGGUUUUGUUUUUAUAUCAUGAUAUGCAUGUUAUUUUAUGCUACAAAUUCAAGUGAUGACUUGAUAGUGAAGGGGGCAUAGUGACCGCCUUGGGUUUCGAUCCCCUAAACCUCCGGAGGGGCUACUACGAAGGGAUUAGUACCGCUACCUUUCUAGGAGAAGUACUAGGAUAUCUAAGGGUAGAGCAUUAAAGGACACUCUCGCUACACCUUACCAUAAGUAUAUUCGUUCAGAGUUGGUCCAGGUAAGGGGGUAGUUGGUCAUUAGACCAAUCAUCAGGCAUGUAGCAAUUUAUUGGGAUCCCUGUUUUCUUUUUAAAAGGAAAUUGUGAGCAUACAAUCUAUUUUCAAAACUAGACAAAGCUUUUGUUGUGCAUCAAUCAUUUUCCUAUAGUAUAUAUAGUGUCGUAUACUAUUUUCAAAACUAGCUAGGGGUGGAUUCCCUAAGGGGGAUCGAUGAACGUUUAUGAUGUUUACCCCUACUUUAUUACAGGACCGGUGCACCUACAAAAAGACGUUCUAGACUAAAGUCGAGACUAGCGUUAUUUGUUACUUGUCAACUUCUCAGUCGUUCAUUGACUAUUUCUACAGAUUUUUAUCUGUACAUAUACUUGAUUGCCUCUCCAUCUUGAAGGGAUUUUUGUAGCCAAACUCAAUGUUUUUCAUUUUCAAAUCAUACUAAAGAGUUGGUUUAGUAUGAUAAUUACCUUAAACUCUUUGGUUUUGUUGUAGAUUGUGAAGUUUUUUCCCUAUGUAAAAAUUUUAUCUAAAUUUAGUUACUCUUUUAUUCUUUGUUUUACCAAAAUGAUUUCCACUUCCAUACUGCUUAAAAAUAAAUUAUUUUAUUCCCCUCAAAUAGCCUUACGUUCUAUUAGGAAUGUAGCGCAAUAGUGUUGGAUUUUAACACUAUAAUAUUGCAUUAAUAAUAGAGCGUGACACUAUUACGUGACCCUUUUUUUGGGCAUGCCAAAGAGUUUCAUAUCGUACCUGAUAAUAUUGUGUAGGUAGGGGUUGACUUCUUCGUGCCUUGCCCCAGUUCGUAGGGUACUGACAUCAAUACUUGCCACAUGGUGUCAGAAAGAGUUUUCCCUGUUCUGAAUUGCAUGUUUGUUUCCAGGGAAUCUCAAGCAAAAGUUCUUUAGAAACAUAGACAUCAGCAUGUGGGUUAUAAACACUUUUUGAAUCUUUUUGUCAGGCUCUAUGCGUUGGACCUGAGCGUUUAUGAUCGUACUACCUUGGUUGGCUUGACUAAAGCAUUUCCGCGAAUCGAAGCUUCAUUGGAAUAAAUUCCUCUUGGGAUUUACCUAGUUUGAAUUCCUCAUUCGAACUUGCUAACAUUUGGUGUUACAGAGCUUACUUGACUUAGUAAGUUGGUUCGAGAUAGAAGCUGUCAUACUCAGGGUCGGAUGUUAGAACCACCCUCGAAUGAGUUUUGGCUCGCUCUUUCGACUAUUCCCUAGAAUGGCGAGCUCGGGUUUGAAUGUUAUAACCCAUAACCUUGCUGGUUGCAUAAACUUUCCGAUGGCCGGAUAGUGCAUUAGACUUUCGGGUCAAGGCUCUAUGUGUCUACAGCAGUAGCCUGCCAAUUGUUAUCGCGCUUAUUACAGUUCAAGUCUCCUAAGCUGCUAACCGUUCCAGACGUAUUAGGCUAAAUGACGCUCAUAUGGCAGUGUAACUUUGAAUGUCUUUAGACUUGCAUUGUUGCGAAGUUUUUAAAGUUUGGGCCCUGUUUUCAACGAGUAAGGUGCUCCAUGCAUCAUUGAAAUAUAAAGAAAGAACACGUAUUUAAGACAAAUAGAUGUUUCUAUAUUCAUGAUCAAGGUAAAAUUAAUUGACAAUGGGGCGUGAAUCCGAGAAGGAUAACCUACAUAUCUUAUGGACGAAGAAACAAAUCACUAGUAUAGUUCUAAGGAAAAUAUGAUAUGAUGUGAAAAAUUAUAUCAAGUAUCACUUUUGACGAUAUGCCUAUGGUGAGGCAUUGGGAGAUGAGUUCUUCUCGAACUUGUCUUCACACAGACGAUUGCUUUGUGAUUGGGUCUGGAAAUGACUGCCUACAUAUCCCGAGAAGGGUCGCGUGUAGUUUAUGUGAGAUUCACUUUGUUUUAGGUCACCUGGAGUGGUCUACAAGGGUUUCAAUUUUCUUCAGUAGAGAUUCUAUCCUUUUACAUAAGUCCUCCAGUUUCUCUGAUGUUAAAUUCUUCUCUGUUUGGAGUCAUUUGGGAUAACGAGGCGAGAUUCUAUAUUUAAAGGGGAUAUUUCCCGUGGCAUAUAACCAUUCUCGGCCUAGGAUAACGUUGUAUAGAGAUAGACUAUCCAUCACAUGGAAAGUCAUCAUAUGUUCAGCUGGUUUUGCUCAAACCAUAAAGCGUUAUGGUUUUGCUUAAACUAUGAGGCGUUAUGGUUUUGCUUGAACCAUAAGGCAUAUUGUCUCUAUGGUGUUGAGCGGCGUCCCCGUAAAAGUUCGGACAAUAGACUUUCUUAAGUUGACUUUGUUCAGGAUGCUCAUCCUUACAGUUAUCUCUCUGAAGAUGAUGUUGACUUCUAACAUGUCGUCUAUUAGGGCUUUGCUGACCAUGGCAUCUUUGAUUUGUAGCCUGACAACAAGGGUGCCAUUGGAAGAUAGGUAAGCAAUAUCUGGCUUGGUUGAAUGACCUUUCAUCUGAGGUUCUCCCCGGAUUGUCUUUCUUAUCUUUUGUGCUUUCUUGAAAUAUUUCUGCCAUUUUUUUAUGCGAUUGAUGCUCGGGAGGAACUUAUUACGUGAGUGUUGAGGGGUAGAGGUCUCAGAGUUUUAUGUAGCCUUGAUAAAUAUGUUGUCGGGAAGGGCUUCUGGAUCAAUGCAUUCUAUAUGGUGUAGAGUAAAACUUUCAAAUUUGGCGAGGGUAUUUCUAUAGUUUUCAUUCUCUCAUUCAGCCCGGCGAGCUUCAUCCUUUAUCUAACUUGUAAGUUCCUCUUGAGGUCUAUCAUUGACAUGUGUACCUUCGGACGUUGUCCCAAACCUGGUCAAUGAAAAAAGCUUCUUCUUUAUUCGGGCUUAUGGUUUGUCCAAACAACUAUUUUCUAGGUGUGGCCUCUAUAGAGUAAAGUGGUAUGGCUGAGAGGAAUAUGGGUUCACUCUCAAUGAAAGCACCAAUUGUUGAAUCAAAUAUUUUUACCUUUGUUAACGGCGAUUGAGCACAAAUUCGAGUAACCUGAGCAACCUGCAAAAUUGUAAAACAACAGUAAGCAAAGCUUAGGUCCGCUGGGGGAGGGGGAGUGCGCCCGCCAAAGGCUCUCCGACGGUCAAGUUAGUGAAUGAUCUUUAGGCUUAAGCAGUGGGCAAGAGAAUUCAAUUGUAUAGAUUGUGUUACCGUAGAUAAACCCUAGACGGGUGUAUUUAUACCGACGGAAAGAAACCUUUUUAGGAUAAAAUCCUCGUUUUAAGCCAAGAGAAUCCUAGAGGAUAUCUAGUACGUAGAUAUUGCAUCUCUUAGGCUUAAGAAUUAUGAUUACUUACGGCGCACAUCUAUCCCUGGACUAUAGGGACUCCAAGACUUAUAGGUCUGGUUGUGUUCUAUCUGGAUCAGAUCGCGUAUCUUGCAGAACAAACAUAAUCAUCCAACAGAGUCGCUAGGACUCCACCUAGUGCCCUAAAUAGAGUGAUGGUGGAACCCUGCUCCGUCUAAUACAACUACGCGCGCAAUUGGUGAGUCUAUGACUGGAUUUCUGAGGUAACAAUAUUCAAAUCAGCCUUACUCCAGCCCUGGAAAAUCAUGGUCCCACAUGCUAAAUAUCAAAGAAACAAAGACCACAAAUUGAUUAAAAGAGACUUCAAGUUAGUCAGCAUUCUUUGAGUAAAAGGAAAAUUGCAAAAAUAAAGUCCAGUGAAUGAAACAAAGGAAUAUACUAGCAAACAUUCAAGAAACAUUAAUAACAUAAGUGAUAAACAAAUCAUAUAAUAACAUGAAAAUAAUGGAAAAUACAAGCGAUUGGGCAAGUUUAGACAUAUUCGGGCAAGUUUCCAAGCAUGAGAAUUCUACAUAAGAGAAUUCUACAAGUUUAGACUUUGCGGUUGCAAGUGAUGUACUAUUAAGAGAAUUCUACAAAGGAAAUCGUUGCUACAAGAGGGAAGUAGCAGAGGUACAAAUACAAAUGAAUAUUUGAGAUACAAAAAGAAUAAUUGAAAAGUAGGCUGUAGAGCUUUUAGAAGUCUUUUUGGCUUGAGUUGAGUGACAUUUUCUCUAAUCCCUAUGCUACCUUUUAUAGAAGUUUCAUCUUCCAGAAUUAAGAUUUCUUAAUUCGGUUCAUUCCCUUUCAUUCAAGUUAGUGAUGUGAUGUUUGUCAAACGAUGUGUCUUCUUGGAUACACAAGCUUUGAUCAUCUCGAAUUUACAUAUGUUGCCAUAGUAAAACAUUUUUCCUGUGAAACUUGGCUGAGUAAGCUUUCUUUUUGUGUGAACGAGGGUGAACUUGCCGCCCAAAAAUGCCAUGUCAAAAGUACUUUUAAAUCUUGGACUAGCCACUAUUUAUUUCUGCCAAAAUAAAUAUCCAAAAUCACGAGCAUGAGUCAAAGAAUAUCCUAGCCCUUGGUCAGGCCCAAUUUGUUUAAUUAUGGUCCAAGCAUGCAGUUAGCUCCAAGCAGAAAGAAUGGUUAAAUAUUAAUCAUAUAUUACUCAUUGGUCCAAAACUUUCGUUUGUUUUUAGGGGUGAGUUCAAAAAAUCGAAAGCUGAAAAAAAAAAAAAAAAAAAAAGGGACCAAACACCUAAACCGAAAAAUCAAAAAACGAAAAAAAAAUCAAACUUGAAAAGGAAAAACCAAACUGAACCGAACUUGAUUGGUCCGGUUUCAGUUUUGAAGGUUCAAAAACCGAAUCGAAACGAACCAAACCGAAUUCUUUUACACUUUAUGAAUGCAUGCCCAUGAUGUUUCUUUUUUAAAACUUUGUUGCCAAGUUUAAAAGUAAGCCUAGGAUUAAGGAGCAUACUUGGUUCAAUUAGAAAAGAUAUUCCAUUGGUUAUAGAAGAAAGUUUGGGAAGGUUUUGGAACUUAGAAGAGCUUUUUCUAUUUGUUUGCUUUUGAAAUGGAUACGGUGAUCAUUUUUCUUUGCAAUUGAGGUUGUUGAUAGAAUAUGAUUGGUUAAUAUGAUCUUGUAUAUGUACAACUAACUACCUUCCCACUUUCCCCGUUUUCUUAUUAUUAGUCUACCAAGGCAAGCCUCUUUUCUAAAGUCCAUGUUAAAAAAAGAUCAACAUUUAUAAAAUAAAAAAAUCAAAACCAAACCGAAACCAAACCGAAAAAAAAAAACCAAACUGAAAAAAACUGAAAGAAAAUCGAACCGAAGUUUCGGUUUUGGGAAAAAACCGAACCCACCCCUAUUUGUCUUUAUGCUUUGUCGCCUUUCGAAACAUACCUUUGGUUUGUAAAUUUUGUUUAUAAAAUUUGGUCUCCCUAACAUUUUUCACAAAUUAAUUGGAUAAGAAACAAUGUUUUCUGAGAAAAGUACAAAUCUGGUCGGCCUCUACCUGCAAGUUUCCUGGUUAAUUUCCAAGUCCCCCUCCACAGUCAAUCAGUUAUUGCUAAAGUCAAUGCGCUCCAACUCCGAAAUUUCUUUCGAGCUUCAAUCGUAAAUAGUAAGUACUUAUGCUAAAGCCCAGACAGUUUGGAGAAGAAAACCUAUUUUUGUUAAUCCCAUCUUUAUUGAUCACCAACAACGUAGGACUUAACGUUAUCCAUUAUACUUUAGAGCAAAAUACACAAAAAGCAUAAUAGCACAACAGAAAUAACACAAAUAAAAAUCAAUUAGAGUAUGUGCAUACUUAAAAAACCGAAUUGGCUUUGUAAGACUCUCUCUAAACCUUAGGUUAAAACCUACAAUUUUUACCCCAGAAUAUUUAGGUUUUAACCUAAAAAUAAUUUUUCUACUCCAACUCUUAAGGAUUAAAUUUUUUGCCUAAGAUUAGUAAAGAAUGAAUUUUGGAUAUUUUUUUUUCUUAAAGUAAAUGAUUUUUUUUUAAAUUAUGUAAACUAUCCUAAUUUAAUUUUAUGAACAUUUGAACCUAAAAAUAUUUAGAUUCCGAUAAAUAUUGAAAAUCACUAAACUGACAGCAUGAAACUCAUGGAACAAAAGAAUAUGAAACACAUAAAAGAUAUUUUUUUAAUUACUUUAGCCGUUGGAUUUAAAUUUGAACUGUUAGAUAUUCUUCCUUUUUUUUACCGUUGGAUUUGAUCAUAUUAGAUUUUAGCCUUUGGAUUCAAUGAAUGUAUAAGUAUAAAACUAUAAAAAUACACAUAUAUGGAGUCCACUAACCCAGGCGGAAUUCUGGCCUCAAUUUGCUUCAUAAUGGGUUUGGGUUAAAACUCAUAUUUGCCCCAAGGGUUGGAGCAAGUUAGGAGAGGUUUAGAACCCAAAAUUUGAGUUUUACUCUAAGGAUUAGAGUAGGUCUAAUGAGUAGGGCAAAAAGAAAUUUUAAAAAUCAAGGGUGAAAAUUAGGUAAAUGAUGAGGUUCUUUUCUGUAAUUGAGAGAUAGCUGAUAUUUUCAAUAAAAAGAGAGCUGAUUUUUAGUAAACAACACUGAAUUUUUUGCGUAUAUUCUAUGGGAACAUAAGGGAAUUAUACUAUAGUCUCCUCACAUAAAAUUCUAAGCUCUGUCAUUUUUUCGUUAACCUAUAAUUCAUGCAAACGAGAUUAAUUAGUUCAUCAGUGGAUUUAUGAUCAUGUAAAUGAGAUAAAUUCAUAUGUUCGUUAAACAUGAUAGAGCUCAUGUGAGUAGGGAAGCAUAUAAUUUCCUUAUGUUUUCAUAGCAUAUGCACACAAAAAAUUUAAUUAUAUGUGUAUAAGUAUAUUUUUCAUCAUCUAGUAUACCAAAAAGAAAUAAAAAAAAUGUAUAUGUGUAUAGUAUUCAUCAUCUAGUAUACCAAAAAGAAAUAAGAAAGUAGCAUCUUCACAAUAAAUUCUCUUAAAUAACUUACAUUAGGCUGAUGAAUUCACUCACAACAAAAUUUGCACUAAAGAAAAUCAUGUUGCACUGCUUUCUAAUAAAAUAAAGGUAAUGUUAUCCACAUAUCUAUUUUUACUUGUUAGUUCUCACUCUCUCAAUUUUCAGUCAUUGGAUCAAAUGAAUAGAAUAAAAUCAAAGGUAAACUAAUGAAAAUGACUUGAAAACUUUGAGUUUUAACGAUAAUGACAAAAUAAAGGAUAAAGUGAAUAGUACUAGGAUUGAUUUUUGGGAACUUUAACGAAAAGCAUCCGGUACUGUUCAUUUUAACGAAAAACCACAUUUUUACACUAAAAAGUCAAUCCUGGUACUAUUCACUUUACUCUUUAUUUUGUCCUUAUCAUUAAAACUCAAAACUUUCAAGCCCUUUUCAUUAGUUUUCCUUUGAUUUUUUAGUGUAAAAUAUGGUUUUUCGUUAAAGUGAACAAUAUUUGGAGCUUUUUGUUAAAGUUCCCUAAAAUCAAUGACUAAAAUUUGACGAGAGUGUGUGGGAGGAAAUAACAAAUGUGUGGAUAUCACUAAUCUAAAAUAACAAGGUCAAAAGGAAGACAAAGUGACUUUCUUUUAGAGCUAAUACAAUUCUUUUAGAAAGAUAUUUGAUUGCAUGAACAAUAAAGUCCUUGUACAAUUUAAAUUAAAAACUCAUAGAAAAUUAUAUUCUUAAGAAAAGAAAACUAUACUUAUAUGACAUAAAAAAAUUAUUAAUCAACAUUGAAGCUUUUGUGCAUAUUCUACGAAAAAAUAAAGAAAUUAUACUAUAGUUUCCUGAAGAGAAAUUUCAACUCUAUCAUUUUUCGUGAACUUGUGAUACACGCUAAAAUGAGAUGAAUUCUUUGAUGAUGAAUAUUUGAUACACGUAAAUGAGACAUAUUCCUAAGUUUAUUGAAAAUGAUGAAGCUCAUGUGGUAGGCCAAAAUACAAUUUCCUUGUGUUUUCAUAGCAUUUCUCCAAAAAAAAAUUGUUGAAUUUUUUUUAAUAUAUAUAAAUAUAAUAUCUUCUCAUCUUCUGGUUUUGUGCAUAUUCAACAAAACCAAAAAUAAAAAAAAAAAACUUGCUUUAAGCCUAUGAAUUCUUUUCUUUAAAAAAUGGGGACAAUUGGUGGUAAGUCACAGUUAUCCACCUCUUCCGGGGGGUUGGGAAGACUCAUAGAGGCAUUUCAGCCUCCCCCUAGCCACAGUUAAGCAAUUCAGUCACAAUAAAAUAAAAAACACUUUGUGUGAUAAAUGUAGACGUAUUCAUAUAUUCUACGAAAAUAUAAGAAAAUUAUACUAUGGUCUCCUAGCCCACAAGAAAUUUCCAAUUCUGUCAUUUCUAGUUAACUCGUUAUUCACGCAAACAUGUUUAAUUUAUCAAUGGACAUAUGAUACACAUAAAUGAGAUUAAUUCAUAAGUGCAUAGACAGCGACGGAGCCAGAAAUUUAUGCUAAGAGGGGCCUUUAAGCUAAUGAAAGAAAUUAGAAAAAAAAAAUUAAGUAACAUCAUUGAAAAUGUUAAUCAAACAAGAGUGAUGGAGCUUUAAAAUUUGUAUGAAAAAAUUAGUAUUGAGAGAAAUCAUAGUAAAUAGAAUUUGUCCUCACAUCUUAAUCAACAUUGAUAAUAACCUUAUAACUAGCUCAAACUAAACUAUUAUUAUGAAAUUUUUCUUUUAAUAUUAUUGAUCUUCCUCUCUCGAAUGUAUAUACCUUGUUUUAUAUAAACUAAAAAAGAAGGAAUUAGUUUAAAAGAUAUCAAAAUGUUGGCAGAAGAGUACUUAUAAGUUAUAUAUGGUAAACUUUAUUUUAGGUGGGGGGGUUUAAAAAUCAUAAGGUAGUUUUCCAUCUGCAUGUGUCGACCCCAGGACCUCAUGAUAGGUCUAAAAUCUGAUCAACCUAUACACCACAUUCUCAUUCUUGCAAAAGUCAGUACACAAUUAAUAUAAGUUUAAAUUCCAGGCCCUGGACUGCCCUACUCUCCAUGUGGCUCCGCCACUGUGCUUAGAACAUGACAACCCAUGUGAGUAGAGAAGCAUAUAAUUUCCUUAUGUUUUCAUAGCAUGUGCUGAAAAAAUUUAUAUGUAUCUAAGUAUAGUUUCUCAUCGGUUGAUAAUCUAACAAAUCGUUUGACAAAAAAAAAGUAUAGUUUCUCAUCUUCUAGUAUACCAGGAAACCUAUAGUAGCAUCUUCAAAAUAAAUUCUCUAACUUACACUAGGCCUAUGAAUUCACUUGCAACAUAAUAUUUUCUCCCUCAAACAGAGGGCAAUUGUGUUAAUUUUUGAAAAAUUAACCAUAACGUUUCUCCCUUAAAAAUAUAGGUAAAUAUUAAUUUAUUUUUAUUUUUUAUCUUCUAGUAUAAAGUUUGUGCAUACUAAAAAAAAUAAAAUAGUAAUCUUCAAAAGUUUAACCAUACUUGUAUAUAUUUUCUCAUAUAUACUUUCACCCAGCACCCAUAUUUUUUUUUUUCAGUUCUAUAAAGUAUACUUUCUCCGAAGUUUUUGUCUAACAAAAAAAACGAUCAUUAUCAACUUCCAAAAAUUAAAAGACCACGUACAUAAUAAUUAACUGAAAUAUAUUGAAUUAGCUAAGGUAGUUGCAUGUUAGUUCAACUUUUUGUUUUCUCUUUACCAUUUCUUCGAAGUUAGGAAUGGAAUUAUGAAAAGAAAAAAGGCCAAAAUAGUCUUUGUCAACUUUCUUGAGGUCGCCCACUACCCCUUCAAUACGCCUUUCUAAAUAUAAUUUGUUGUCGUCGUCGUUAGAGCUGCACCUUCCAAUACUCUUUCAUUUACUUUAAUCCACCGUGUGCUUUGGCUCAGAUUCCAGGACGUUUCCAAGAAACGAUACUGUAGAAUAGUUGAAGGGUCGUUUAGCGGUUUCGCAACCACUUCGGAUACAAUUUAAUGGCAGUGUGAUGCAUCAACAGCUUUGUCAAUGCAUGAUUUUUGAAAAAUGUUACCGAGGUUACGUUUUCAGAUUAUAUUUUGUAAACUAAAUGAUGUGGCAGUUGAUGGUUGAAUAUUUUGUUAAUGCAUGAUUUUUGUUUAUGCAUGACUUAAUAUUACGGAAUAGUAGUAUUCAUAUUCACUUGUUAGUGAGAAGUCUUAAGUUCGAUCUCGUCAAAGGCGAAUUUGAACUACAUUGUUGUUAGCUCAUUGUAAGUCUCAUCCCAUCCAUUGUCUUUUAGUAUAGAAAAAAUCGUUUGUUAAAAAAAAAAAAACCCAUGAAUAAAGGAGUAGGAUCAUCUCCCCUCUUAUUCUCAUCCUAUUUCUUUCCGUCCUCUCACGUAUUAUUUUUUGUCUUAUUAUCUCUAUAAAAAAAUCAAUAUAAAAUGUUAACGUAGCUUAAUCAUAACCGUUCAAGUAGGAGUGAAGAGAAUAAAAAAGAGAUAAGGAUGGAAGAGAAUCCUCAAAAGGAAAAAAGUAAAAAACUUUUGGUCUAAUCAAGAUAUGCCAAUAUUGUAGAUUCACAAAUAAAAAACCCACGAUCUGAUCGUACAACCCUAAGGCCAUCUCCAACCGAAGGGUCCAGAGGGCCAGAGGGCCGAAAAUAGCCCUAAAAUUGUCUCCAACCGAGAGAUAGGCCAGAAGGCUGUGGAAUCUAAGAGGGCCCCACGGAAUCGGAAAGGGCCAAAGGGCUAAAGGGCUAACCAUAAUUUUUUUAAAUGUGUCAUUUCCUGUCGGUUAUAACCGAUAGGAAUACAUUCUAUUACUUAAUAUAAAUGUAUUACUGUCGGUUAAAUAAUAUAAAUGUAUUCCUGUCUCUUAAGAAAAAAUUCAAAUGCAACGGCUAGCUCACUAGCCGUUGCAUUUGAAUUUAUUUUUUUUUACAGUUUUAUUAUUAUUUUUUAUUGUUUUAUUAUUAUUUUUUAUGUACAAAAUUUUUCAUAUAACUUCUAUUUUUUCCUAUAACUUUUAUUUUACAAAAUUUGUUUCAUAUUUUUUUUUUAAAUUCCAUUUUUUCCUAUAACUUCUAUUUCACAAAAUUUGUUUCAUUUUAUUUUAAAUUCUUCUUUUUUCCUAUAACUUCUAUUUCACAAAAUUUGUUUCAUUUUAUUUUAAAUUCUACUUUUUUUUAAUUCCAUAUUUUUUCAUUUUAUGUUUGGCCUUAUUGCCCUCUGGCCCUCGGGUUGGAGACGUUUUUUUGUGACAUGGCUAAAACGAGCCCUUUGACCCUUUGGAGACGGAGGUAAAUAUGAUCUUAUACUGUUCAUUAAAAUAUUAAUAUCUUGGAGGAUCUUGGAGGGCCAGAGGGCUAAAACGAGCCCUCUGGCCAGCCAUCGGUUGGAGAUGGCCUAAACUCUCUUCCGAAAUACGUAUCUCUCACAUUAUAAUAGGGAUGUGGCUGUUGUUGAAAUCAUUACAAGAAUGAAAAAUAUGAAGUCUUGCCUAAUGUCAAGUUUUCGAAAUGUAGAUUUCGUGUUUCAUUUGUCAAAAAUAAUUUUUCUCAUUCAAUUUACUUGUAGUUUAAUUGGUUAGGGUUUUGUUCUACAACAAAAAGUGAGAGGGGUUUUGAGAAUUGAAUAAGAUAAAUAAUACGAUAAAAGUGAUUUAAGGUAUAUGUAGAAAUCUUUUAUUUUUAAAAGAAAAAAAUCUUAUAAAGUCAAAAUUGUAGUUGCAUAGUAAGGUAUAUAAGUAUAAUUUUUUCUUUUAAACCUCAUAAGAUAGAAAUUAUCAUUACGUAUGUAAGUUGUUUAAUAUUAUAUUUAAAUAUGAGGUGUAUUCAAUAUAAUAAAGGGAAUUUUAUCGAAAAAUUUCAGGUACUAUUCAUUUUAACGAAAAACUACAAUUUUAUACUAAAAAGUCAAUCCUGGUACUAUUCACUCUAUACUUUAUUUUAUCCUUAUCGUUAAAACGCAAAACUUAAAAAAAAAUUUUAUUAGUUUUCUUUGUAAUAAAGGCCGGAAGGAAUGUCUAAAUAUUAUUCGUUAAUUGCAUUUUGGUUCAAAACUUUCGUUUGUCUUUAUGCUUUUGGCUCUUUAUGCUUUUGACUCAGAAACUUACCUUCGCAAUUUAAUUGGAUAAAAAAAUAUGUCUUCUGAGAACAGUACAAUAGGUUGGUCGAUUAUCUCUACCACUCUCACCAUGAAGUUUCCCAGACAUGGUGAUGCAGUUUCCUGGUUAAUUUCCAAGCGCUUCACAGUCAAUCAGCUAUUGCUAAGGUUAACGCGCUUCAACUCCGAAAUUUCUAUCGAGCUUCAGUAGUAAGUAUUUCUAUAUUAAAGGCCAGAGAGUUCGGAAAAUAAAAUAUCUUGCAUGAUCACCAACAACAUAAAAGAAAAUCGACUUUAUGUUGCUUGUUUUCUGAAUCUCUUUGUUUUGGGUUCCAAAUGUAAGAGUUUCUCACUUUUCCACAGUUUCUAAUCUGUUAUUGUUUUGGGAAAGUAGCUAAAAUGGUCCGAAAUCAAUUCUCAAAUUCCCAAUUCUGAACUUGUCAAAAUCAAAUAUCGAUGAUAUACUGAAAAACUGAUCAUUUCAGCUAUUGGGCGAAAAAUGAUCAUUUCUGCCAAUUUCCCUGUUAUUUUCUGUUGUCGUAAAUUUUAGAUUGAAACUUUUGUAAGUUUUUCUAAUUUUGGUGUUGGUUUUUGUUGUUAAGAAUCAAGGAAUGGGUGGAGAAGGCGGCCUUAUCGGCGGGGCUGGUCUCGGAACACUAUUCAAUGCGCUGUAUGAGGGCCUCGGGGAGCUGAUUGCCAAGAAUCUAGUGUUUAAGCCCCUACUCAAAAACAUCAGGUUAGACUCUUUGGAGCCAUUGUUGAAAGAUAUAGAAGAAUCCAACAAGAAAUUGGAUCUUCCGGUUGUGGAACUGGAAAACUUAAAAGCACAUUUGGAGGAGGGCAUAGAGCUCCUUCGAAAGUGCAAAAAGAUUCGAUGGUGGAUCGUCUACAAAAGGUACAAAUACGCCACUAAGCUGAUUCGAUGGGAUAAAUCUCUUCAACGAUUUCUGGAAAUACUAAACGUUCAGGGAAUAAGGGAUGUGAAGGACAGCACGGUUUCGGUGAAGAAUAUAGAGAAGCUGGUCAGCAGAAUUGAAUCGAAUAUGGGGAUACCAAAACAAACCGACAGUGAAGCUUGGUGUGCGGUACCUGAACUUCCCCCGCUAGUGGUUGGAUUGGAUUUUCCUCUCAAGGAAUUGAAGAGGAAGCUUCUAAAGGACGAAAACGUGUCAAUGGUUGUGCUGACUGCUCCCGGAGGAUGUGGAAAAACCACUCUGGCUACAAAGUUUUGUCAAGACAAGGAUGUCAAAGGUAUCAUAUAUUAUAAGUUGGCACUCGGAAUUGUUUAUAUUUUUUUUCUUUGUACAUUCAUGGCAGAUUUAAAUGACGCCCCAAUGACUGAUUAUUAUGUUUUCAUUGGACAGAUACAUUCAAGGAGAAUAUCUUCUUCGUCACGGUUUCAAAAAAGCCUAAAUUGGAAAAUAUUGUUCAAGAUUUAUAUCAACGCAAGGGUUUCCCGGCACCUACUUUCCAAAACGAAGGCAGUGUAGUGACGUGGCUGCAACAUUUUCUGAGGGAAGAAGGGCAGAAUCCUUUACUGAUUGUCCUGGAUGAUGUUUGGUCUGGAUCAGAAUCCCUUCUGGAGAAGUUUGAUCAAUUCAAAACGGAAAAUUUCAAGUUUUUGGUGACAUCUAGGUCUGAAUUUCGGGGAUAUGGUUCCCCUUAUUAUUUGCAAUCAUUGGAUCAUGACAAUGCGAUGAAACUUUUUCAUCAUUCAGCAUCCCUUGGAGAUAAGAGCUCUCAUAUUCCAAAAGAUCUUCCGGAAAAGGUACUUUUUAGUUGCAAUGCACAACAUGUAUAGUAAAAAAUUGGUUGACUUGGUUUAGGAAAAUUAUGAACAAAUUAUGUUCACUUUACGCAAACCAUCCACAAUCGAGUGAAUGAACACAUCCAUUUACCAUAAUUACUUGUGGACUAAAACUAAAAUUAGAAUACUGUAUAUAGUUAUUUAACCAUUUUCUCAUCUUAGUAACUUGAAUUUUGGCUCUGCAACUUAAAAGGUAGUUGACUUUGUUUUGGAAAAUUAUCCUGCAGAUAGUUGAGCGUUGCAAGGGAUUUCCACUUGCUAUUACAGUGGUGGGGAGAUCACUUUGCGGGGAGCCUAUUGAGAUAUGGCGCGAAAGAGAACUCGAAUGGUCGAAAGGAUUUUCUAUUCUUGAUUCAGAGACUGAAUUGCUGCUCUGCCUUGAAAGAAGCUUGGAUGCCGUUGAUAAAGAAAUCAUCAAGGAAUGUUUCUUAGACUUGGGUUCAUUUCCUGAAGACCAAAGAAUCCCUGCUGCUGCCCUCAUUGAUAUCUGGGCAGAGUUAUAUGAUGUGGAUACAGAUAUAGAGUGCAUUGCAAAUCUCUACGAGCUAACCAAACGAAGUCUAGCUAAUCUUGUUGUUACAAGGUAUAGAGUGCAUACUUUCUUUUUUCUUGUACGAUAUUUUUGCUCGAUUUUCCCUUUUAUAUUCAGGACUACUUGAUGUUGAUAACUUGUUAUUGCAAUAUGUUGGUUGAAGAAAUCUCUUCUAAGAAAAUUAGUUUUGAUCAUCACCAGGAAGGACAAGACUGAGGGGGACUGGUACUAUAGUGAGCACUUUGUUACCCAGCAUGAUGUUCUUAGGGAGCUGGCUAUCUACAACACAAAAACAGGACCGGUAGAACAUAGAGAAAGACUGAUUAUUGACAUAUGUGGAGACAAACUUCCAAAAUGGUGGAGAGAACAGAAGCAUCAGCCGAUGAAGGCCCGCUUAUUAUCCAUAACAACUGGUUGUUCCAUCGCUCCCUUUCUCUUUAGCAAUUAUGUAGACGCACACAAAUAAAUAGUCAUUCUUACACAUGCACGUCCAGCCGACCCCACUUAGUGGGAAAAGGCUUUGUUGUUGUUGUUGUUACACAUGCACGCCCGUGUGCAUUUAGUCUUAAUAGUACUUUCAUUUUAGUUUCUCAUCCCGACACUCACAGUUGUUACUCUGCAGAUGAAGGGUUUUCUUCAAAAUGGCACGACAUGCAAAUGCCACAAGUUGAGGUUUUAGUGUUGAAUUUCCAGACAAAGAACUAUGCCUUACCCAACUCCGUGGUGAACAUGGAUGAAUUGAAGGCUGUGAUAGUCACAAAUUAUGGUUUCUUACCUGCUGAAUUAAGUAACUUUCAACUUUUGAGUUCAUUACCAAAUCUUAAGAGAAUCAGAUUAGAACGCAUCUCAAUUCCUUCCAUAACCAAGAAUCCCAUACAUUUGGCGGGUCUGAAGAAGAUAUCCUUGUUCAUGUGUAACAUUGGUGAAGCAUUCAACAACUGUGCCAUCUCAAUCUCAUCAGCAUUCCCAAAUCUAGAGGAAAUGAACAUCGACUAUUGCAGUGAUUUAAUUGAAUUGCCCUCCGAGGUUUGUGAUCUUAUUAAAUUAAGGAAGCUCAGUGUCACUAACUGUCAUAAGCUAUCUGCCUUGCCUGAAGGGAUUGGAAAUUUGGAAAAUUUAGAAAUGUUGAGGCUAAGAUCCUGCACAGAACUGUCGAAGCUUCCAACCUCGAUGAAGUACCUUGGAAAGGUAAACUUUCUUGACAUAUCUGAUUGCUUCAGCAUCAAGGUGUUGCCCGAAGACAUUGGUGAAAUGAGUAGUUUAAGAAAGAUCAACAUGAGACAAUGCUCAAGGUUGCAAGAGCUGCCUCCAUCAGUCAUGGGUCUUGAGCAGUUAAAGGAAGUGGUCUGUGAUGAAGAAACAAAAUAUUUAUGGGAACCCAUCUCAUCGUAUCUCAAGAACGUAACGAUAAUUGUGGCCAAAGAGAAUAUGAACCUAAAUUGGCUCCACAAGACUCGGUUCUGAUGUGUUUCCCCAGUGAACCUUGCUCUUCAACCUCUGUGUUGGUUUGUGUUUUUAAUGAAACUUUUAAACUCUACUGUAACAUGUACGAAUAAGAUCAUGACCAUAAGUCCUAAGGCCUGCUAUUUGUUUCAGAUUCGUAUAGUAAAGUGCUAAUGUAAAAAGAUAUACUUAAUCCUUAUUUGUGGAGGAUUGAAUAAAAGUAUGAAAACUGGUUUUACAUUUUGUAUACAAUAAGGUAACUUAUUCAGUAUUGAAUAAGGAUUCUAAUAGGAGAAUUACAUGGAUUGAUUGUGUAUAAAUAGUAGCCUAUGUUCUCACAAAACAUACGCUCAGUAUUUUGGGAGGUAUACUAAGGCAGGUCAAUAGAAAGGACCUUUUGCUCUUUAUCUGGAGAAACAUGGCAUCGUGGCACAAUAUACGACACCUAGAACGCCACAACAGAAUGGAGUCUCAUAAAGAAGGAACAGAACUUUGAUUAGGAUAGUAAGGAGCAUGGUGUCUAGAGCUAAACUUCCAGCAUUCUUAUAGAGAGAAGCACUCAAAACAGCAACUUAAAUCCUCAACAGGGUGCCAACCAAAGCUAUUUCACAAAUCCCUUUUGAAAUUUGGACUGGAAGAAAACCAAAUUUUGAUUAUUUUCAUGUUUGGGGUUGCAAGGUUCUAUAAUCCACAUGAGCAGAAAUUAGAUGCAAGAACUCAAUCUUGCUAUUUUGUUGGCUACUGCGAAAAGUCCAAAGGGUUCAAGUUUUAUGAUCCACAAGCUCAUUCGAGAAUUCAAGAGUCACACAAUGCUGUUUUUCUAGAAGAUCAAGAUGUGGCAUAUUUGAAUCAAGAUGAAUUUAAUUUUGAGGAACUAAUCUCGGAUGAAUAUGUCUCUCCUGCAGAAAAUUACAAGAUUCUUUCCAUAUUCCUGCAAAAGAUUAGUCCAAAUGAAGAAGAAGAUCAUCAAAUGGCAGAUUGUGGACUUGAAACAAAAACUACAUUUGAUCAGACUCGGUUGGAAGAUCAUGUUGUGCAAAAACAACAACAAAUUGAAAGUUCAGAAGCACCUCGAGCUGAACCUGAAUUAAGAAAAUCAACAAGAACAAAUAAGUUAGCCAUAUCAAAUUAUUAUGUCUAUUUGCAAGAAUCUGAGUAUGACAUAGGUGAUAUUGAUGAUCCCAUCACCUACAAUCAAACUAUAGAGAGCUCACAAUCAAUCUUAUAGGUCAAUGCAAUGAAGGAGGAAUUAGAAUCGAUGAGCAAAACAAAGUCUGGACAUUGGUUGAAUCUAAUUCCAAAAUCAAGCAUAUAGGUUAUAAGUGGGUUUAUAAAACCAAAUGAGACUCUCAAGGCAAAAUUGAAAGAUACAAAGUUAGAUUAGUUGCAAAAGGGUUCACUCAAAGAGAAGGUAUUGACUACAACGAUACUUUUUCACAUGUAUCAUCAAAAGAUUCCAUGAGGGUCACAAUGGCUUUGACUGCACAUUUUGAUUUGAAGCUGCAUCAGAUGGAUGUCAAGACCACCUUCCUUAAUGGAGAGCUACACGAAGAUAUUUAUAUGAGGCAACCAAUUGGAUUUGUUGAAAGGGGGAAGGAAGAUAUGAUUUGUAAAUUAAAUAAGUCAAUUUAUGGUCUCAAACAAGCUUCAAGGCCAUGGUAUCUCAAAUUUGAUCAAGUGGUUAAACUCAUGGUUUCACUAAAAACAAGUUAGACGACUGCAUCUAUCUCAAGUUCAGUGGAUCAAACUUAAUUGUUUUGGUGCUAUAUGUCAAUGACAUAUUACUGGCCAGUUCUAGUUCUAAAUUACUGCAGAACACUAAGUCCAUGCUUAGUGUUAAUUUUGAUAUGAAGGACCUUGGUGAAGCUCACUAUGUUCUUAGAAUAGAGAUUGUGAUAGACAGAAGGUGGAGACUUUUGGGUUUAUCUCAGAAAGGCUAUAUUGAUAGAGUGCUAACUCAGUUCAACAUGGAGCAUUGCAAUGGAGGCCACGUUCCUGUCAACAAAGGUGAUAAAUUCAUUAGAGCACAAUGUCCCAAGAGUGAAACUGAAGUGAAAAAGAUGAGAGACAAACCUUAUACCUCAUUGGUGGGUAGUUUGAUGUAUGCAAAUGUUUGUACGAGACCUGAUAUUGCCUUCAUUGUUGGCAUCUUGGGUAGGUUUCAAUCAAAUCCUGAUGAAGCUCAUUGGACUACGGCAAAUAAGGUAUUGAUAUAUCUGCAACGAACCAAGUCUUUCAUGCUCAUGUAUGGCAGAGAUCCACAGCUAGAAGUCACUGGAUAUAUUGAUUCAGAUUUGGCUGGAGACUUAGAUAAAAGAAAAUCCACUGGAGGCUAUGUCUUUAUGCUUGGAGAUUGAGCUAUUUCAUGGAAGAGUUCUAAGCAAUCUAUUAUAACAACAUCUACCAUGGAAGCAGAUUUUGUAGCCUGUUUCGAAGGCAGCAAGCAAGCUAUUUGGCUCAAAAAUUUCAUAAGUGAGUUGAAGAUAAUGGAUUCAAUUCAAAAACCGAUGAAGAUGUUUUGUGACAAUACUUCGACUGUGUUUUUCUCUAAAAACAAUAAGAGGACUUCUGCUAGUAGACUGAUGGAUGUAAAAUUUUGAAAGUUCAAGAAAUGGUGAAGGAAGAAGCUAUAGAAGUACAACAUCUGAAUACAAAUCUCAUGGUUGCAUAUCCUUUGACUAAAGCUUUACCAAUUGGAGUUUUCAAAGCUUAUGUUACUCGAAUGGGAGUGCUGGAAUCUUUUGAUCAGUUGGAGUAGUUGCUGGUACAGAAGUAUUGAAGGUGAUGACAUCUUUGUAGGUUUAUAAGUUGAGUUAUUAGUUAGUUUUGCUUCAAUUAUUUUGUUUCAACUAGUUUUAUGUUUUAGCUAGUUUUGAAUAAUUGAAUGUUUUCAUUUGGGUUCAAUUUUUCCAGAUUAUCUGUGAUGAAUUGUUCUAGAAGACAAAUUUUGUUUUAUGGUUCUUAUAAUGCUUUAAAGUCAGUCUUUGAUUUGAUAAAGCAGUUGGUGGAAUUAUAAAGUGUUGUUCAUAGUAUUACUUAUGAUCUUUCGAGAUUUUGGUUUGAGUAAUUACUUGGAUUAUGUAUCAUGUUAUUCAAGUGGUUUGAAUAUUGAGAUGAUUACGAUUUAGUAUCAUGUGUUGAUGUUAAAUGUUUUGGCUUCAAAAGUGGGAGCAAACUUGUUUUGAGUUUGUCUUUAAUCAGUUGGUUCACAAUGUUACAAGGGUGCAGAUUUAGUAUUUGUGAUUUUGAAAUUAGCCCUAUAUUGUAUCAAGAGUGUGAAUUUCUGGAUUCAAUACUUUGAAAUGCAUUGAUAGAUUGUUUGUGAUGUAGUAAUUUUUCAUUGAGAUUUAGUGAUCACUUCUAUAAUGAUAUGAAUUAUUGUGCGAUGGUUUUGGGUCAUGAUCAAGUGGGAGAAUGUAAGAAUAUGAUCAUGACCAUACGUCCUAAGGCUUGCUAUUUGUUUCAGAUUCGUAUAGAAAAGUCUCAAUGUAAAGAGAUAUACUUAAUCCUUAUUUGUGAAGGAUUGAAUGAAAGUAUGAAAACUGGUUUUAACACUUUGUAUACAAUAAGGUAACUUAUUCAUUAUUGAAUAAGGAUUAUAAUAGGAGAAUUAUAUGGAUUGAUUGUGUAUAAAUAGUAGCAUCUGCUCUAACAAAACAUACUCUCAAUAUUGAACUAAGAGUCUAAGACCUAUUGUUAGUUUGAGUAUUAUUGGUUUUGACAGAGAGGAGAAGAUCUGCUACUUGUUUGCCCAUGGCUCCAUCUUCUACUGUUGCUGCAGGUUAGUUUAUAUUCCAUCUUCUCUAGGAGGUUUAUUCAUUCUUACAUAACAUGGUUUCAGAUUCAAUCUCUUUGUACAGUUUCUUGACUUUUUUGUUUAGAAAUCUGUUUCUGUAAUUCAACACCGCAAUCUCAUUCAUGCUCUCCCAAAAUAAAUUCAAUACCACAAGGUUGAAGAGUCUUCGUAAGAUAAGAACUUUCAUGUCACGGGAUCAGGUGUUAAUCUGAUUGUGGGUAAGUUUAUGCGGUAUCUAUACUAACGUCAACAGGUCAAGUUUACAGAACUGUUCACAUAUGGUCUAGAUGAAUUGCCAAAUCUAGAGGAAUUGAUUGGUUAUCGACUUCUAAUCAACAUAGAAGUCAGUGACAAAGUAGAUAAUGAAUAACAAUAUACUUCAGAAGAAAAUACUCAAAUUCAAUACUAUAGAGAAUUAAUAACAUCCAUUAUACAUUAAAAAAAUACACAAAUUUAAUACUUUGUAACAUAAGAAGAAGGCACAACUGAAAUGUCACAACUAAUAAUCCAUUGAGUAAAUUGUAACAAUGGUCUCUCAACUUUAAUCAAAUUAGAGCAAUGGUCCCUUAACUAAAAAUUCAUUAUCAUUGGUCCCUCAACUUAUCAAAAUGUGUAACUAUAGUCAUUUUCAUCAAUUUCGUCAAAAUUUUGUCAAAAUAAGUUAUGUUGGAAUAACCAUUUAUAUAAUUAGGGUCCCUCAACUCAUCAAAGUGUAAUUAUGGUCCUUUUCGUCAACUACAUCAAAAAUUUUGUCAAAACGAGUUAUGUUAGAAUGAUCAUUGCUACAAUUGGGUUAGAGUUAAGGGACAAUUUCUGAAUUAAAGUUGAGGGACCAAUGAUAAUGAAUUUUUAGUUGAGAGACUAUAGCUACACGUUGUGAUGAGUUGCGGGACGAAUGGUAAUGGAUUUUUAGUUAAGGGACCAUUGCUCCAAUUGAGUUAAAGCUAGGGACUAUAGCUACAAUUUACUCUAAUCCAUUAGAGUAUGUCAAUACUAUAAAAAAAAUUAAAAAAAAAAUUUUUUAAAUGACUUGGCUUUGUAAUGGGAGGGACACUAAGAAAUUUCACAGCUAAGAAUCAAUUAGAGCAUGACAAUUAGGUAAAUGAGGAGGUUCUCUUUGUAUAAACUAUAACAAAUAAUUGUACAUUAGAAAGAUAGUUGAUAUUUUCAAUAAAAAGAGGCAUAUUUGUCGAUUUGCCAUCUGAACUUGUAUGGAGCUGCCAAUUUCCCCAUAAACUUUAAUUUUAGCCAAUUACGCUCUUAAACUUUUAUAAUUAGCCAAUUUUCCCCUUGAAUUUUAAUUUUAGCCGAUUACCCCUAAACCUUAAUCAAUAGACAAUAUUCCCCCUAGCGUUAGAUUUUAAAAAAUUUCAUCUAAUUUUCCAUCCAUCUUGAUAAUGGAAACAACACAUAACAACUGUAUAAGGGUAAGAAGGAUGAAAAAUUGAAUAUAAGUUUUUAAGAUCUAGCGCCAGGGCGGGAAUUGGCUAUUUAUAAAAGUUCAGGGAGAGUAAUCGGCUAAAAUUUAAGUUCAAGGGGGAAAUUGGCUAAUUAAAAAAUUUUAAGGGCGUAAUUGGCUAAAAUUAAAGUUCAGGAAGAAAUUUGGUAGCUACAUACAAGUUCAGGGGCAAAUCAACAAAUACCUCUAAAGAGAGAGCUGAUUUUUAUUAAUCAACAUUGAAGUUUUUGUGUAUAAACUAUGAAGCCAUAAGGGAAUUAUGCUAUAGUCUCCUCACAUAAAAUUCUCAACUCUAUCAUUUUCCGUGAACCUAUAAUUCACACAAAUGAGGAUCAGUUUAUUAGGGGAUAUAUGAUACACCUAAAUGAGAUCAAUUCAUAUGUGCAUUAAACGUGACAGAGUCAUUGUACAAUUUAAAUUUAAGAAAAGAAAACUAUACUUUCAAGACAUAAAAAGUUUAUUAAUCAACAUUAAAAAAUGUAUGCAUAUUCUAUGAAAAAAUAAGGAAAUUAUACUAUGGUCUCCUCAUAAGAAACUCUCAACUCCGUCAUUUUCGUGAAUUUGUGAUACACGCUAAAAUGGAAUGAAUUCUUCAAUGAACUUUUGAUCAUGUAAAUGAGACAUAUUCGUAAGUUUAUAAAAAAAAGGAAAACUAAUGAAAAGACUUGAAAAUUUUGAGUUUUAAUGAUAAGGACAAAAUAAAGGGUAAAGUGAAUAGUACCAGGUUUGACUUUUUAGUGUAAAAAUGUGAUUUUUCGUUAAAGUGAACAGUACCGUGGGUUUUUCGUUAAAACUCCCUAUAAAAAAUGAUGAAGCUUAUGUGAGUGGACCAGAAUACAAUUUCCUGGUGUUUUCAUAGCAUAUGCACAAAAAAUUAAUGUCGAAAAAUAAGUUUUUUUUAAUGUAUAUAAGUAUAAUAUUUUCUCAUCUUCUAGUACAAGUUUUGUGCCUAUUCCACAAAAACAAAAACAAAAAAAAUAAAUAAAUAAACUUACAUUAAGCCUUCGAAUUCUAUUUUCCAACAUUAAGCCUAUGAAUUCACUCAGAAUAUAAAAAAAAAUUGCCUAAUAAAUAUAGACUAAUCAUAUUAGCUAAAACAAAUAUACUUUCCCAUAACCCUCAUUUUUGUGCAUAUUCUACCAAAAUGAUAGAAAAUUAUACUAUGAUCUUUUCACAAGAAAUUUCCGACUUUGUCAUUUAUUGUUAACCCAUUAUUCACGCAAACGGGUUUAAUUUAUCAAAGGAAGUAUGAUACACAUUAGUGAGAUUUGAAAGCCCAUGUGAGUAGAGAAAUAUAUAAUUUCCUUAUGUUUUCAUAGCAUGUUCACAAAAAAAAUUAAUGUUGUUGAAUAAAUUUUAUAUUGUUGCAGUCCUAUUGAAUAGGAAUGUGAUUGUAUAAAUCCUAGUAAAUAUGGGAAUGUAUUUUAUAUUCCUAAUAGGAGUAUAUUACCUAUUAAAUGUUGUAAAGGGAAAGGUUUUUACCUAUCCUACUACUAUAAAUAAAGGCAUAAUGGGGUGGAAUAGAACACACCCACAAUUACACACAUCUCUCUUCUUCUCUCCAUGUGCCGCAACCCUUCUCUCUCUAUGGCCUCCAUAAUUGUUCAGUAAAUUAUGUCUACAACACGUUAUCAGCAUGCUCUUGACGUUGCGCUAAUGAGAGUUUAUUCUUCAAUCAGGGGAGUAUUACGUUUUAAUCAUUCUUUUUUAUGAUUAAUUUAUUAUUUUGAAUUAAUCUACAUACUAUUGAUUCAAUUUAAUUUUUCUGUGUUGAACGUGAUACAAUGCAUUGGAGAUGCAAUUCCGGCUUUCCGAGAAGAAACUUCUACAAAUUCAAAGGCUUUUAUUUGUUUUCUGCCAAUCAGGUACGCUUAAAAUAAAGUAAGAUAUUUGAAUCAACCUUGAAGCAUGAAAACAUUCCCCAUGAUGCAUGAACGCCCCUAUGUUUAUAUUUUCCUUCCAAUAUAUAUAUAUAUAUAUAUAUAUAUAUAUAUAUAUAUUGUAUAUAUUUAUAUAUCUGUAAAUAUAUAUAUUUGUUUCAUGCAUUACGCAUAUAUGCUAUGUGGAAUUUGUGAGUUAAAGAAUCAAAAUAAAUUAGAAGCAUAUUAGGGUUUGUAGAACCCUAACAAUUUCGAAAAAAAAGGGGAACUUGGAUGCAAAAACCAGGCCUCGGCCUGGACGUCACCUCGGCAAGGCAUGAAGCCCCACGCCCCAAUUUGCUGUCUUGGUCCGAAUACCAGCAAGCUUAUGCUUGCUGGGCUCUGUGAAGCCCUAAACCCGUAUGCACCCUAAACAUAUGGCUUGCAUGCCGCAACCUUUUGGUUGCUGGGAUUGUGCAGCAGCAAAGGGCAUGUAGCCCUGGCAUUCUGUCUACGCCAGCAAGCCAUACAGCUUGCUGGGCCUUGCAGCAACCUAGCCCGUGUCUUCCACUGCCAGCCCAAAUUGGUUGGGCUUAAGUCCUUGCGGCCCGUAUCCCUGCAUGACGCCAGCCUUGUGGUUGGGCCUCCUAGGCGCAACAACCAACAGGUCAGCUUUGCUAGACCUGCACCGUGCCCCCUUGGUCCAAGUAUGAAACCCAGCUGUGGUUGGGGUUUCUCCCAUCCACCCCGUGGCCUGCAGCCACCAUCCAAUGACCUUUGGGCCGUGUCUUAUGCUUAAGACACCCACCCAUGCCCACAUAUUUUUGGGGCAUAUUUUUUAAUAAAAUGCUAUUAUUUAUCAUUUUAAAUAAUUUUAACCCGAAUGUUAUUAUUAUUUUUGCUUCUACAAUUGACCCUGUUUGGUCCCGAUUUAUUGAAUUAAUUAAAGUGACCUGCAAUCCAUUAAUUUGAUAAUGAAUCCAAAAUUAUUGACCUGAAGAUCACUUUUGGAGGUUAACGAUUCAAUAAUUUAUUUGUAUACUUUGAACCGUUGACUUACUUUCUUAGUCCCGAAGCACUUACACUUGAGUUCCCGAAGAACCUCAGAUCCACUACACUUAGUUGUAUAUUGCAUUAUGUGUUCUUCCAGGAACCUCUCUUUUAUGAACUAAACGUUCAUAAACUAAAUUGAACCUGUAGUUUCAAAUUUAGUGCCUUUGAAACUCGAAGAUUUCAUAAAACAAUACACCCAUGAAAACCCGACGUUUUCAUGAAAACCAUGGCUUAGAACUCGAAUGUUCUAACUUUGAUGCUUAUGGAUGAUUCAUUCCCAUAGCACCAAUCACAAUCUUGUUAUGUCCAAUUCAGUGGAUUAUCGAACCGUAACAAAUUCGAUUUUCCUGAUUUGGACGUUUCUAAAAGAAAACACUUUAUGUGGGGUACAAGACGUGAAUCUCCACUUGACUAUCAAGAAGCUAAGAAACCAUUGAAGCCAACAAUGGCAUGGAAGAGCUGAAUAAGCCUCUUCCAUGAUCUUCAUUCGAAGACUUAUGCCCAAAGCAUUACAAAUGGAAGUACCUCUUGCAUGAGGAUUCCAUGGCUCUUUGGCUCGCUCCUACAGACUGUUUAAUCAUGAAAGACAUUGCCUGAAGCACAUCAUGAUUAAGUCCAUGAAUGAAUACAAUUCUGAAGUUUAUAAAUCCGAUCGAAUUUUGACUGGAGAAUACUUUUCUCGUCCUUCCAUGUUUCUCACUCGCUCCUGAGGCAGCAGUGUAGAAAGCGGAAGUUUACCAAAUUCUCGGAUCUGAUUACUACCACAAAUGUGAGAGAACGGUAUAGAACCAGUUAGGUCAAAGCCUAACUAAAUGGUGAUGCACUGCUUCGGCAAGGGAUACACCAAAUGGCAUACUCUUUCACAUCCAAAUUCGAGUUUGUUUUUACAACAUAUGGUAGAAUCAAGGCCUGCCAAGGUGUGGCAUCAUGCCCGAAGCAUGAUCCUUGGUACCUUAGACCUAAAACUUCAAGAACAAGGGAUAUUAUUCCUAAACUUUAACCCUGCAUAAUCUACUUCCGUCUUACUGGAAUAGAUCAUUGGUUAUGCACAUGUUCGUGCCCCUGUUGUUGAGGAGUACCAUUCUAGUAGUUAAUAUGUGAGACUAAUUUUGCUCCACCAAACACCGUUGGAAUAGCAAAAUUUUGACAUGGAUGACCUUGUUGGCCAAAUCCCCUUAAUAAACCAUUUACUUUGUGAACAAUUUUCCAUGUUCUUUGAUUCACGUUUGGUGUAUGUUUUACUUAUGGAUAAUCUUAUUGAUAUUGUCCUCGAAUAUGAGUUAAUUGAAUCAUGUUUCUUAAUACAUGUGACCGAUUCAACUAAACACGUGAUUAGGUAGGAAUGUCAGAAAAUUAGUUGUCUGGAUGAAUCCGUACUACGCACACUAACUUUACACCUAAAUCACAUCUCUAACAACGACUUCAAGUCUAUCCAACCUGAUUAAGAGCAUUGGCACGCUCCUCAUUGUAUGAAUGGUACUAAAUCACCAUUUAAGGGACUUUAAAUUCUCCCUAACGUUGAGUUUUUAAGGAUAUUCGAGAUGACAAUGAUCAUAAAUGAAACCAAUGAAGAAAAUAGAGUGAAAUAUCUUUGCACCACCUCUAAAAAUGAGCCUACAGCUUUGAUUUAGGGCCAAUGGGUUGUCUCCCAACUGGGAACACGACACAUAUGGCCAGCCCGGAGCCAGGUGAUUGAGCAGUUUACUUGCUUUGGCACGAUCUUUUGGGACACUUAGGUCGAACAAUGAUGCUACAACGCAUCUCCUUACUUAAAGUAAGGAUCUUGUGCCUACAAGCACACUUUGCGAAGCCUGCUCAUUAAGAAAAUUGAUUUUCUAUAUCAUUCCUUGCAAAGAUACGACACGACUCUCUUUUCGUAGUGGAUUCAAGGGAAUAUUUGUGGACUAAUCCAACCAAAAUGCGGACCAUAUAAAUACUUAUGGUUUUGGUUGAUGAAUCGACAAACUGGUCACAUGUUUGUCCACAAACAUUACUGCUAAACCUCAUGGCCGAUUAAGAGUUCACCACCCUACUUAUCACUUAAGGUCCGGGAGACUGGAUAAUGUCGGAGAGUUUAUAUCGAUGGUUUUCGAUAAAGUAUUGCAUGUAUUUUGGGUUUAUAAUUGAACAUCAAAUUCCCAUGUUCACCCUAAAAUAGCCUCACCUAGCGAUCAUAAAGCACAAUUUAAAUGAUCACCCGAAUUUUGGUAAACGUGCCAAGUUUUCGGUUUCUACCUAGGGCUAUGCAAUCCUUGUACGCAGUUAUGUUGGCCGCCUUGAGGCCCAUUGCCACCCAACCUAUAUGACGUUAUAGUUGGUUACUGGGUACGAACCUGACAAUUUCGUAUUUAGGCAUUUGGGUGUGCAUUCUAUGUGCCAAGUUACGCCGCCGCAACGUACCACCAUGGGUCCUCAAAGAAGGAUGUGUAUCUUUUGUCGAUCAUGAUUCUCUUUCACACUAGCUCUCUUCGAGCCCUUGCAUGUGAUCUUUUUACCGUUCAUUUGCGGGUUGUCACUUUAAUGAGACAGUCUUCCCACCGUUAGGGGGAGAUAAGAACGUCAACGUUCAUGGAGAACGGCACGAAUUUGCGUGGACGUUGCCCACUAUGUCUCAUCUCAGUCCCCAUACCGCACAAGUAUGAUAAGCAAAUGCGAUGACUUCUAGAUUUCAGAAUCUUGCUCCAUAUGCAUUCAUCUGAUCUAGCUAAAUUGACGAGAUCAUAUACCAGCAACAAACAUGCCUACAAGGAUAGACGUACUUAACGGACGUCGAGUCAACAUCCCUGGAGGGUGUGCCACCCCUGUUGGACAGUUUGGACGCCUCUGUUGGACAGUCCUGUACACCGACGGAUAGCCAAUCAAUCUGUCUUGGCCUGGAGCACGACAGAUCAUUCGGUUCGUAGGAUUCACUUCCCUAAAAGAGGAAGAUAUGGCACAAUAAUGAAUCUAAACUCGAUCGCUAUCUCAAAUCAUUUCCAUCUUAUGAGAUUAAUCUGGAUUUCUCCCAAGACUUAAAGUUCUUGGUCUAGUAUACUAGUUUGGAUGAGCUAAAUGGAAUUGAAAUGAGAUUAUCAUCGAUGAUUUUUUCACUUAUAUGGUAGCUACCGACAUAAAUGAAAAGCGACGAUAUCAAACCGUGUUUCGUUGAUUAAAUGACAACGUAGAACUGAUUGGACAACUGAAAUUACAAUCUAGGUCAAAUUCCUUACCAAAGUGUGUAUUGAACCUGUCGUUCCUACACUGCCCAAGGUAACCCUAUUAUAUUACAAGUGGGAAAGGAAGCGUUAUGAGAUGAAUGAAAUAGUGCAAUAUGAUGCACGUCCUGUGAUUGAUAGCAGCAUUAUGAAAUAUGGUUAGUGUUUUCUCCAUGGGGAUAUAGAUAUGGAGAUUUACAUGUAAGUUCCUGAAGAAUUACAUGGACUGUUUCAAAUAGUUCCAAAACCGCGGAACACAUUCUUAACUCGUUUUAAGGCGUUCACUUAUGGAUUGAAAAAUCUGACGGAUGUGGUAUACCCGUCUAAGUGAUUAUUUGAUCAAUCAGGGAUAUGAAUUAUGCCCUUACAUGUUAAACUAUGAAGUCUUAUUCCAAAUUGCUAGAGUUACAUUUUAUGUCGUUGACACGAAUUUCACUAAGACUUCGGAAGAGCUUGAGAAAACUGCCUCGUACCUGAAUAUGGAAUUUGAGAUGAAGGAUCUUGGGAAAACUCGUUUUAUGCCUUGACUUGAAGUUGAAGCAUUGUUAUGACGGUAUUUUGAUCUACCAGUCGAACUACACCCUGAAUGUGUUACCUUUGAGUAUACCUAUGAUCGUCCAUAUGUUAUAAGCAAAUGAGACCCUUAAAGAGGUUAUGGAAUCCGAAAUUCCAUAUCUAAGUUCAACUUUGCGCUUCGUUGUACUUAGCUCAUUUUAUUUAGACAUAACAUCUCCAUCAUUGUUGAUCUUGGUAAAAAUGCAGCACUGUGCCUACACGCAACCACUGAAUUGGUAUUAAAGACGUACCCUGAAGGUACUACAUGGGCAAAUCCCAACGCAUCUUAGCAGAUCCAACCCCUCUGAUCCUCGAAAUGAUGUUUGCCUUGUUUGUUAUACUGAUGCAGGUUACUUAUCAAACCCGCACAAAGUAUUUUGGUGAUUGAACUAUUUGAUGUUUGGGGUAUAGACUUCAUGGGACCUUUCCCUUCUUCACAUGGCAAUCUCUACAUCUUGGUGGCGGUUGAUUAUGUCUCUAAGUGGGUGGAGGCAAUAGCUUCUCCAACAUGCAAAAGUUCUGUGGUGUUAGGUUUCUUGCAGAAUACUAUUUUUCCCCGAUUUGGAGUACCUCGUGCUAUCAUCAGUGACGAAGGUACGUAUUUCUUAAACCGCACCAUGGCUGCCCUUUGUGCCAAGUAUCAUAUUCACCAUCGCAUAGCCACCCUAUAUCAUCCACAAACAUCUGGACAAGUUGAAGUAUCUAAUCGGGAGCUCAAGAGGAUUCUUGAGAAAACUGUCAGUUCAUCUCGAAAGGAUUGGAGUUUAAAGCUUACUAAUGCUUUGUGGGCAUAUAGGACAGCUUAUAAGACACCAAUUGGGAUGUCUCCUUUUCGUUUGGUGUAUGGGAAAGCUUGCCAUCUGCCUAUGGAACUUGAGCACAAGGCAUAUUGGGCUAUUAAGCACCUCAAUUUUGACUACCAAGCAGCGGGAGAGAAGCGGAAGCUGCAGUUGAAUGAAUUGGAAGAAAUAAGGAAUGAUGUUUAUGAGAAUGCAAAGAUUUACAAGGAUAAGACCAAGAAAUUUCAUGAUGCUCACAUCCUUCGUAAAGAGUUUCAACCGGGUCAGAAGGUUUUGCUUUUUAAUUCGAGACUAAAACUAUUCCUAGGAAAGCUCAAAUCACGUUGGAAUGGUCCAUAUCGUGUUGUACAGGUCCAUCUUCAUGGGGCUGUGGAUAUCCAAAACAUGCAAACUGGUUUUGUCUUCAAAGUUAAUGGACAUCGCUUGAAGUUAUACAAGGAGUCUCUAUAUGAUCUUGCUAAGGAUUCCAUCACUUUGAAGGAACUUGUUAUUUGAAUCAAAUUGCCAACAGAAUGUCUAGCUCUAGACAGUAACUAAAGCGCUUCUUGGGAGGAAACCCAAGCUUUCUAUCUUUCAUCUUUAGUUUGAAUAAUUUUAAAUGUUCUUGUUCUGUUUUUUUUCUUGUUUUCUGGUUUGUGUGUUUAAGUCCUACUUUUGCUCCCUUAUGCAGGUAAUGAUUUUGCAAUCUCUACCACAACUUCUUGCAAAGUUUCUUAAUCCCACGGGUUACUCACACAUUUGUUAUGCAUAAUGGGACGUGUUGAAACAAGUUUGGGGAUGAUUUGGAAUUCUACCAUGGAACAAAAAUGCAUUUUUACUGCUGCUCUCCUCACCUACACAAAUUGGUGUGUUCUUUCCUUUUCUUUAUGUGUAUUGAUUUCAUUUUGUAUUUCUUUCCUUCAAUUUUUAUGUCUUAUUGUUAAAAAUUCCUUUCAUUAUCAUUGGGGACAAUGCUAUAAUUAAGUUUGGGGGUGGAAAUAUAUUUCAUUAGUUUUCUUCUUGUUUAAAAAAAAAAAAAAAAAGAAAAAAAAAACUAAUUAAAAAAAAAAUUGUAUUUUUGUUGUUGUUUGUGGGUAGUUCUCAAUUCAAUGAUGAGAUUUGAUCUUAAUUUCCUUCUUACUUCCAAGAAGUCUAAGUUAUUUUCGUUGUCUUUGUGUUAACUGUGAUUUCCAGCAAUCAACUUGAAAAAUAAAUGUGCCUAGUCUUGUCAAUGUGAAACUUGAGCAUGAUUUAGCGUUUCAUAUGUGAAUCAUGUGAGAUUAUGUAAACCUUGUGAGUUUUUUUAGUCUAUACAUGAUUGAACCAUUAUGCAUCAAUCUCAUUCCUUCUUGUGCGUAUGAUCUCACUGUACAUGUAUCUCUAGAACUUGCUUUAUAUUUCUCGAUUCAUUAAUCAAUUCAUGUAAUAACUUGGAAGUGAUAUAGGCCAUCUUUGGAUCGUUUGAGCCUUUCAUGCCUACCUUAUAUGUUAUGUGUGUCCGUAGUAGCCCGUUGAGCCUUUAACUAAGCCAUUUCUUUGUUAGCCACAUCUCUUUACCAUGCUCCGAUAUUGGAGUUGAGCCCAUACACAGAAAUCGAUUCCUAUUUGUUUUGAGAAAGUAUUACAUGGGUUGUGCUCUUGGGGGUUUCAUUUAUGUAGAAAGAUGGAUGGAGCAUGUGUAUUACAAUGAAAUGUGAAUUUGAUGGGUGAUGUAGCUUUUGCAUAUUUAUACAUAGCUUUGCAGAUUUGUUUCUUAAAAAAAAAAAAAAAGAAGAAGAAGAAAAAAAAAAGAAAAAGAAAAUUUGAGAGUGUUGAUUUGUUGAAAAUGUGUCUGCAGAGUAUAAAUUUCCUUUUGAAGUUGAAUUUGGGGAGUAACAAGUGCUCGAAGUUUUAUUAUUUUGCUUUCAAUUUGAGGUGGUGUGAUAUUGAGGUGUUGGAAAACUACUAAAGUGUACUUUCUCAAAAUUUUUGAUUUCCAUAUCCUUUCUUUCAUAUGCCUAUCACCUUUAGCCCCAUUACAACCGUAAUAAAGUCCUAUUGAUCCAAGGUAUUACUUAAAUAUUGAUAGCGAGUUAGGUGGACAAGCAAGCAUAUGGCGGCAUGUACAAUGAGAUCACUUGAGUGAAACACAUUAACCAAAACUUAUGAGUGAAUGAGCGUAUGUCUUGUGAGAAACUCACAUGUUUGCAUAUGAUGAUUUAAAGGAGCUUGGAAUUGCAUUGACUAGACUAGCUCACACAUGACAUUUCAAGUUUUGUUUGAAGGAAAUUUGGUUAACUAUUGGAUGAUGUAUUGAGCACUUGUUACUUACUUCUUGGCAGUGUAUUUCAUGGUUGGCACUUAUCUCUGAAAUCGAAUUUGAGAAGUUGCCUACUAAGUUGUUGAGUCAAGUCUUAGUUGAGUAGUUUUGUUUUGUUUUGUGUUUUGUUUUGCUAGAGGACUAGCAAAAAUGUAAGUUUGGGGGUAUUUAAUCACUCAUAUAUUUCAUGCAUUUAUACCAUCUAUUUCUAAAGUCUUUGUGAUGUUUUUGUGUUAAAAUGGUUGCAUUUUACCUUACCUUGUGUUAAUGUCCAGUUAAAUUUGCUUUAGGAUCAAUUUCAAGCAAAAAGGAGAAAAGAAAAUAAUAAAAACAAACAAAAGAAUUGGAAGUGAGGCUUGUCUUCCACUUGUGGCCUUAAUAACUUGGAAAAGAGGAGGGAACACACGGAAGUGGAAAAAAAAAAGAGAAAGGAAAAGGAAGGGGGAUUAUUCGGUUACCUAUAAAUAAUCAUCAUUUUAGUAGCCAUUGGUCUACCAUAAUUAAAUGAACAUAAUCCCACUAAGUUUCUCACAGAAUACUGACCCAAAAUUCAAAGUUGAAGAGAUCAUGUGAUGAGAACAAAUGAUGUCGCAGACCCAACAGAAAAGAUUGAAUAGAUUUUAAGCAUCAGUGAUAAGUCCACUAGCUAUUUUGGUUCAAUGCAGAUGGCUACACUCCUACUUUUUCCAUAAGCUUAAGCUAUUAGAAUGAAUUCUAUGUGUACGAAGGCUUGGACAAAGUGAAGAGCAACAGACGGACAGGAGAGCAGAAAAGAAGGAGAGGAAAAAGGAGAGAGUUGCAGGGAGAAGAAGAUGGCAGAAACAUAAGGGAGCCGCAGCUCCACAUGGAAGGAGGAGAAGGGCAGAUAGCUUCUUUGUAGAAAAAAGGGUUGUCUCUUUCUUUGUUUUUUUUUCAUGGAUAAUUUCUUAUGUAUUAAUACAAGUAUGUGUAACUAAUUUCUUUUCGCUAGAGUGAGGCCAUGAGCCGCAACAUGAAUACGUAGAUUUAUCUUUCAAUUGCUUAAGUGUUGUUACAUGCUUGCUUUGAUAUUUUCAAUCAUUGAAUUAAACUAUCUAUGUACCUUGAUGCUUGAUCACCAUUAGGAUGCUUAGAAAAGUUAUCGGAUGCAAUUUUGAACGAAUGUCACGUUAAAAUUGGUUGUGCUUCUUGUGAUUGAGGAUUGUACUCUCCUAAGGUAAAUAUCAUGCUCUUAGGGAUUACAUGGUUUAACAAAAGGAUUUUCACCAAGAUUAAUGAAUCAUUCAUGUUUAUAUUUAAUCCAAAUGUCAUGGAUAAGUUGCAUGUAGUGGUAUGUGUUUUAACUUGAAUGUCACAAGUAAAACAUACACAAGGAAAAUCCAACCUUCAAAGCAUGUGUAUUUUCAAUUAUUUAAGCAAUUGGAAUAGCUACGUAUGAGUGUUGUUGGUAAAGGUUGAACUCUAGCAUAUUGUCAAUCUAUUUUUCUUCAAUCAUUUAUUUUAUCUUGAAUUUCCUCAUUUACUUGUUUUGUUUAGUUGAAUCACUAUUCCUAUAAGCCAAUUCCCAUUUUAGAUAUUUGUUUAAGUCACAUCCAGUAGUAUUUAGUUUCGUCAAAUUAGUGUAGUUCUUAGAGUUAAAUAAGUUAAAUACACAAAAACUCGUAAAUUGUUUAUAUCAGUCCCUGAGGAGAUCGACCUUGCUUGAGCAAUUCUAUACUACAAACACUUGUUCUCUUGCAAGAAUUUUCUAUAGUUUAACCCUUGUUUUACAAGUGGAAAAAUCAUCAUCAUGCAACUUCUCACGUUUCUCCUUAGACUAUGGGUUUUUCUCUCACCUUAGGUUUUACCAUAGCGAGGUUUUGUGAGUUUUACUUUUUAUACAUUCUUCCGUUGAUUUGAGACUCGCAUUUGCUCAUUGUGCUAACAACUUCAUCAACUAUACUUGCUUCAUCACUGAAGACCAGAUGCGUCAUUUACUUGAGUAUUUACACACUCAAAGCGGAGUGUUGCAGUUCUAUUGGAAUAGGAAUGUGAUUGUGUAAAUCCUAGUAGAUAUGAGAAUGUAUUUUAUAUUUCUAUUCGGAGUAGAUUACCUAUUAUAUGUUGUAAUCCUAAAGGGAAAGGUUUUUACCUAUCCUACUACUAUAAAUAAAGACACAAUGGGGUGGAAUAGAACACACCCACAAUUACACAUAUCUCUCUUCUUCUCUCUAUGUGCCGCACCCCUUCUCUCUCGAUGGCUUCCAUAAUUGUUCAGUAAAUUAUGCCUAUAACAUAUAUGUAUAUAAUUAUAAUUUCUCAUCUUCUAGUAUACCAAAAGAAAACCAUAUAGUAGCACCUUCACAAUAAAUUUUCUAACUUACACUAGGCCGAUGAAUUUACUCACAACAAAAUAUUUUCUUCUUUAAACAGAGGGCAAUUUUGUUAUAUUUUGUCGAGUAUACUGCCGAUUUGCCCCCUGAACUAUCACCCAACUUUCGAUUUCCCCCCUGAACUUUUUAAUUGGAAAAUUAAGGACUUAAACUAAUUUUUUUGGCCGAUUUGCCCCCUGCUGUCAAUUUUUCAUUCAUUCCAUCCAAAUUUUUGUUAAAUAGAAGCAUAUGCACAACAUGUGUGGGUAGUUCGGUCGCUUCAUUCUUUAAAAUAAUUGAAAGCCUUAGAUUUCUAAAAUAUAAACCUAUGCAAAUAUGUGUGAUUCUAUAGCUUUUGUAUCUAAAGGUCUAGUGAAAUGACAUUUUUGUCCACAAAUGAGAGUUACGUGGUUUGCACAUGAUAAGAGUUAACAUUAAUUUGGAUGAAAUCUAUGAAAAACUAACUGUAGGGGGGAAAUUGGCCAAAAAAAAUUAGUUUAAGUCCUUAAUUUUCCAAUUAAAAAGUUCAGGGGGGAAAUUGAAAGUUGGGUGAUAGUUCAGGGGGCAAAUCAACAGUUUACUCUAUUUUGUCCCAUGCCAUGCCAUCAAUACUAAUUUCACAGGCUUGAGAAAUACGAGAGAGAAAUUUUCCAAAUUUCAGUUUUAGACUUAGUUUUAACUACGCCCAGUGGAGUUUGAUUUUCAUCUUACUAUGCUAUUGUAACUCAAAAAUCGUAAUUUUACUCCUGAAACUCAAAAUUAGCUCCACUUUACCCCUUGAGACUCGAUUUUGGAUCCCAUUUUACACCUUGAAACUUAAAAUUGUUAUUUUACUUUAUAAACCUCAAAAUUCGCUCUAUAUUACCUUAAUUUUGUUAUGUGAGAUGUUACUACACAGUGGAGAUUAAUUUUAUUUACUGUUGGUUUCAUUAUUUUACUAUAUAAAUUUUGAUUUUAAUAUUUUUUAUUUAUUAUAUAUUAACACAUAAUGAAGAUUUAUAAUCAGAGAUGGAUCUCACUCAAGACACUAUAGUUUUUUGAAUUUUAAAGUAUAAAAUAGUGACUUUCAAAAUUUCAGCAUGAUAAAAUAAGACCAAAAUUAAGUUAUAAGGUGGCUUCGUGUUUGUCCAACAUUUUGUUUUUUUCUUUGCAAUUUCAUCGAAGAAGUCGCUUUGGAAUCAUGAAAAGAAAAAACGCCAAAUCGUAGUUGCUUGUUAUUUCAACUUUUUGUAUUCUUUCCACCUUUCAACACACUUUCAUUUAUGUUACUCUGCCAUGCGUUGUCUGGGAUUGCAGGACGUUUCCAAGAAACGAUGCGGUAGAAUAAUUGAAGGCCGUCAGCUGUUUCCCAACCCUUUUUUAUGAGGACAAGGAUUGUCUGCCGUCCACUUCCGAUGUCCUUUUCGUGUCUUUUUAUUUUUUGUAAUCAUGGUUAAAUCACGUUAAUAUUUUAUAUUUUUUUUAUAGAUAUAAUAAGACAAAAAAUAUAAAAUGUUGACGUAACUUAACUGUGAUCAUACAAAUAAAAGGGCACGAAGAGGACAUCGAAAAUGGAGGAUAGACCAUCCCUAUCAUUUUUAUGGAUGUAUUUUUGCUCAACAUCUUCGAGUGAUGCUACGGAGACUCGCUCGUAAUGCAACUCUUCACCGAUUCACUAGACACGCAAGGAUUAUUUUAGAAUCUAUUGUGAUGUAUGGGUCCCACUAAUAAAAUAUAAAAAAUGAAGGUUAGAUUGAAAAACUAAGAUUUAAAUCCUCACCGGAUUCCUUCUUUAGGAAUCUAGGAAUCAACGCACGUUAACCGUUGGUAAAAAAUUAUAUAGAAAACUUCAUUUUAAUCCUUAAAAAAGAUAAGAUUUAGAUUAUAACCAUAUAUAAGAUUAAAAUCCAAUUUUAGUCCCUAGCACAUUUAAUCAUAUCAUUUAUUAGUUGUAUUUUGAUGUUUUAUUUUAUCUUUUUAUUUUUAUUUUAAUGUAUUAGUUACAUUUAAAUUUAAUUUAUAUUUCAUUCAUCAUAAUAUAUUUUAAUGUCUACAUUUAGGCAACUAAUUUUUUUUAUAAUAUAUAUUCCGAUAACAAUUUUGUAUGUUCUUCAUUUAGGUACAUUAAUACAUUUGAAUAUUUUGGUAUAUCCAUCGGUACAAACAUGUAGUUACAUUGAUUCAAUAUAAUGCAUUUUGGUCAAUAUAAUGUAUUUCGUUACAUACACUUUGGUACACAUAUUUGAGUAUUGACUUUUAGGUACAUUAAUUCAAUUAUUAUAUUUCGGUAAAUUCAUUUAGGUACAUACAUUUUGGUACUAAUAUUUAGCUACAUAUAUUUUUGGUAUUGAUAUUUAGGUAUAUACAUGUUGGUACAUACAUUUUAGUAUUAACAUUUAGCUACAUUAAUUCAAUAUAAUAUUUUUCGGUACAUACAUUUAGGUUCAUUAUAAUAUAUUUCGGUACAAUCAUGUCGGUACAAAUAUUUCAGUACAAAAAAGUCAAUUUUAUAUAUUUUGGCACAAUCAUUUCUGUACACUUAUGUAUUUAUAUAUUUUUGUAUCACAAAUUUCUUUUAAUAUUUUCUCAUUUACAUUCAUUUCUAAUUCAAAAAAACUAAAUAUGAGCAUAUUAAUAAAAUUAAAAUUUAAUAUGGAGAGAUUAAAUAAAAAUAAACAUUAAAUAACAAAAAUUGAAUGUAAAUUUUGAUAAAAGUACACUCAAGGGAUUAAAUUGAAUAUUUAAUCUAGCACCAGGUUUUUUUUUUUAAUUUUAAUCUUUUGCAAUGACUAAUGUUCAAAAACCCCAAAAUUAUAUGGCUCCAAUUAAAUGUUUUUUAUAUUUUUAAAAGUAAAAUAAUCUUGUUUUGCGUAAAAAAUGUAAGGCUUAAAUAUUAAAAUGGUCAAUGUGUUUUAGUCAUUAGGUCAAUCCAAUCCUUGUGUUUUCAAUUUGGCCAAGCUUGUCCUUGUAUUUAUCUUCGUUAGCCAAUUAAAGACAUUUUCAUCUAAUUUCAGUAAACUUUUUUUAUAAAUUAUGAUAAACUUAUUUAUAAAACUAUUUAUUUGAUUUAAAAUAUUUAAAAAUGAAAUAAAACUAAAAAUUUAAAGAAAAAUGAUUCUUCUUCCAAUUUUCCCACCUCCUCCCUAACAUUACCCUCUCUCUUUUCUAUGUCAAAACCUUAAUCAUUUUUCAGAUUGGAAGUUUUAUCUCUUAUAUGUGUUAUUUCUAAUUAAUUUGCAUUUUUAUGUAAAGAUAAAGGGUAAUAAUAUAUAAUAUAAUUGUUCUUAUGAUUUUUUUAAAAGAUAUUGAAUAAAAUGUCCUUAAUUGGCUAAAAGAGACAAACACGAGGACUAAAUUAGCCAAAUAAAAAACACGGAGACUAAAUUUUCCAUGUGACUAUAGCACAAGGAUCAUUUUGACAUUUAAGCCAGAAGGAAAAAAUUGUGGUCGCAUGAUUUUUUAUCAACGGUCUACAUGCGUUGAUCCCUAAGAUCCCCAGGGAGGGGAUCCGGCGAGGAUCCAAAUCCGAAAAAUUGUAUCUUUUGCCAUUUCCUUCUUCUGUGUCUUCCUCACCUCUCAAACGAUAAAUUUUGUUAGAUUAGAUGUUAGAUUAGUCAUUGUCAAAGUUCGACUCACGCCAUAAUUAUUUUCUCUAAUUGAGCUCUUGAAGUAUUUUUGUAUAAAACUAUAACGAAUAUUAUACAUUAGUAGUUGAUUGGCCUAAUUGGAUUAAUAGUUUCUGUAGUGAUAUGAUAGUUGGAAGAUAGCCUAUGUGGGGAAAAAAACUAGGAUUUAAGCCUAUGUGGUAAAGUCUAUUAGGAUUUAUGCCUAAAAUUGAAAGUUUUGUCAACUUUAUGUUAAUUAUUAGCACGUUCCACACAUGUUAGGCUAAAACGGAACUCUCCAUACACAUACUAAGCUAAAACGGACGUGCUAAUAAAUAACAAAAAGUUAACAGAAUUUUCAAUUUUAGGCAUAAAUCGUAACAAACUUUACCACAUGAGCUUAAAUCCUAGGUUUCGGUUUUAGACUUAGUUUGUAGCUACACCUAGUGGAGUUUGAUUUUAAUUUUAUUAUGCUAUUGUAACUCAAAAGUCACAACUUUACUCCUGAAACUCAAAAUUCGCUCUACUUUGCCCCUUGAGACUCUAUUUUGGAUCCCAUUUUGCUCAUUGAAACUUAAAAUUGUCAUUUUACUUUAUAAACUUUAAAAUUCGCUCCAUAUUACCUUAAUUUUGUUAAUUUUGUUAUGUGAGAUGUUACUGCACAGUGGAGAUUAAUUUUAUUUACUGUUGGUUUCAUUAUUUUACGCUAUAAAACCCGAUUUUAAUAUUUUUAUUUAUUGUUGUUAACAUAUAGUCAAGAUUUAUAAUCAAAUUUAUUGACACAUGUAGCGUAGUUUUAUUCAGGAAUGGAUCUCACUCAAGAGACUAUUGAGGUUUUUGAAUUUUAAAGUAUAAAAUAGCGACUUUCAAAAUUUCAGCAUGAUAAAAUAAGAUCAAAAUUAAGUUAUAAGGUGGCUUCGUGUUUGUCCAACAUUUUGUUUUUUCUCUGCAAUUUCAUCGAAGUCGCUUUGGAAUCAUGAAAAGACAAAACGGCAAAUGGUAGUUGCUUGUUAUUUUAACUUUUUGUAUUCUUUGCACCUUUCAAUACGCUUUCAUUUAUUUUACUCUGCCAUGCGUUGACUGGGAUUGCAGGACGUUUCCAAGAAACAAUGCGGUAGAAAAAUUGAAGGCCGUCAGCUGUUUCCCAACGGAUGUAUUUUUGCUCAGCAUCUUCAAGUGAUGCUACGGAGACUCGCUCGUAAAGCAAGUCUUCACCGAUUCACUAGACACGCAAGGAUUAUUUUAGAGGACAAGGAUUGUCUGCCCUUCAUUUUCAUGUCUUCUUUAUGUCUUUCUAUUUAUGUGGUCACGGUUAAGUUACGUCAACAUUUUAUAUUACUAUUCAUUUUUGUCUUAUUAUAUAUAUAAAAAAAAUAAUAUAAAAUGUUGAAUUAGCUUAACCAUUAUCACACAAAACAGAAUGGCACGGGAAGGGAACCGAAAGUGAAGGGCAGACAAAAUGUGUUGUGAUGUAUGGGUCCCACUAAUAAAAAAAAAAUGAAGGUUAGAAUUGAAAAACUGUAUCUUCUGCCGUUUCAUUCUUCUGUGUCUUCCUCACAUUUUAAAAGAUAAAUUUUAUUAGAUUAGAUGUUAAAUUAGUCAUUAUCAGAGUUCGAAUCACGCCAUCAUACUUUUCUCUAAUUGAGCUCUUGAAGUAUUUUUGUAUAAAACUAUAACGAAUAUUAUACAUUAGAAUAGAUAGUUGAUACGCCUAAUUGGAUUAAUAGUUUCUAUGGUGAUAGAGUAGUUGGAAGAUAGUCAUGUGGUGAAAAAAACUAGGAUUUAAUCCCCUAUGGUAAAGUCUAUUAGGAUUUAUGCUCAAAAUUGAGAAUUAUGUCAAAUUUCUGUUAAUUAUUAUCACGUGCCACACAUAUUAGGCUAAAACGGAACUCUUUAUACACAUACUAAGCUAAAACGGACGUGCUAAUAAUUAACAUAAAGUUAAUAGAAUUUUCAAUUUUGGGCAUAAAUCGUAACAAACUCUACCACAUGAGCUUAAAUCCUAAUUCUUUUCUACGGAGGUUAUCUUCCAACUGUCAUUUCACCACGGAAACUAUUAAUCCAAUUAAGCCUAGUUGAUAUUUCCAAUAAAAAGAGAGAUGAUUUUAUUAAUCAACAUUGAAGGUUUUGUGUAUAUUCUAUGAAGGCAUAAGGGAAUUAUACUAUAGUCUCCUCACAAAAAAUUCUUAGCUCUAUCAUUUUUCGUUUACCUAUAAUUCACACGGACGGGAUCAAUUUAUUAAGGGAUAUAUGAAACACGUAAAUGAGAUAAAUUCAUAUGUGCAUUAAACAUGACAUAGUCAAUGUGCAAUUUAAAUUUAAGAAAAGAAAAUUAUACUUACAAGACAUGAAAAAUUUGUUAAUCAACGUUGAAAUUUUUGUGCAUAUUCUAUGAAAAAAAAUAUGGAAAUUAUACUAUCAUCUCCUCAUAAGAAAUUCUCAACUAUGUCAUUUUUCGUGAAUUUGUGAUACACUCUAAAUGAGAUGGAUUCUUCAAUAAACUUUUGAUAAACAUAACUGAGACAUAUUCAUAAGUUUAUUAAAAAUGAUGAACCUCACUGAGUAGGCUAGAAUGCAAUUUUCUUGUGUUUUCAUAGCAUAUGCACAAAAAAUUAAUGUUGAAAAAUAAGUUUUUUUUAUAUAUAUAUUUUUAUGUAUAUAAGUAUAAUAUCCUUUUCAUCUUCUACUACAAGUUUUGUACAUAUUCUACAAUUUCAAAAAAAAAAAAUUAUAUGUAUAUAAGUUUAGUUUCUCAUUUUCUAGUAUACCAAAAGGAAACUAUAUAGUAGCAGUUCAUAAUAAAUUUUCUAACUAACUUACACUAGGCCUAUGGAUUUACUCGCAGCAAAACAUUUUGGACUUGGAUUCUCUGCCCUCCCAUUUCGGUGCCCUCCCCGUGUCCUCCUGUUUUGUGUGGUCACGGUUAAUACAUGCUAACAUUUUAUAUUGUUUUUUAUAAAAAUAAUAAGACAAAAAAAAUAGUAAUAUAAAAUAUUGACGUGGCUUAACCGUGACCACACAAACAAGAGGGCACGGGGAGGGCACCGAAUUAGGAGGGCAGAGAAUCCAAGUCCAAACAUUUUCACCCUUAGACAGAGGCAAUUUUGUUAUUUUUUGAAAAUUGAACCAUAAGGGCUUCUUCCUUAAUAAUAUUAGAUGAAUAUAAUAUUUUUCAUCUUCUAGUAUAAAUCGUGUGCAUAUUUUAUGAAACCAAAAAGAAAUCAAAUAGUAAUCUUCGAAAAUUUGAACAUACAUGUAAAAAGUAUUUUGAGCUACAUUAUUGCUAGCCCAUUGUGAAACUAAACUCAUUUCAUCUCCUUAGUAUAUAUAAUAUCAUUUGUUAAAAAAAAAUAUUGGUAUAAGGAAUGCUAACUCAUCUCAAGGUUAAGGACUUAAAGAGGGGGUCUUUGUCUUUUUUUAUUUUUUUUAACAGAUCGUUCAUAAAAAAUGAUUGCCGACAAUGAAAUUCAAACCAAACGCUUGAUCUAGCAAACAAAGCGAUCACUAUAAACCCCUAAAAUUAGAACAUUGUGUCCAUAAUAAUCAAUUGAAAUUUAGAGAGCGGAAAAUGCUACAGAGACUCACUCAAAAAUUGAAAUUUAAAUAACAAUUAAACUUAACAUUUUCUCUGUCUUUGCUCUACCUACCCAUAGGAAGUUCAGGAACGCAAAAGCAAAGUGCUUCUGAAAAUUCCAGUCGUUCAUGCCAACUCCGACCAUGAAAUUGGUAACCGUGGCUAAAAGUCGCAAACACACUAUGAAAAACUUCCCUAAAGCCCAGAUCUGAAUCUUGUAACCGGACAAAAAAAAGUGAAGUUUGAAUCGUAACAAAAAAGUUCAUAAUUUCCUUAACUUUGUCUUUUAGAAUUCGAUUUUUUUUAUUGCAUUGUGCUUCUUGAAAUUUAAAAAUUGUCAUUUUACUCUAUAAAACACAAAAUCUGCCUUACAUUGUCUUAAUUAUGUUAAUUCUAUUAUGUGAAAUGUUAAUGCAAGGUGGAAUUUAUUUUAUUUUCGUUUGAUUUUGUUAUUUUACUCUAUGAAACUCGAUUUUAUUAAAAAAAUUAACACAUAAUGUUGAAUUAUAAUCUAAUUCAAUGACACAUAUAGCAUAAUCUUAUUGAGGGGUGGGUCCCCUAUAUAUUUCACAAGGUGACCAUUGAUUUUCAGGGAGAAAGAAAAUUUAAAAGUUAAAAUAGAACAAAUUUUGAAUUUUAAAGAGAAAGAGAUGAUUUUUAAGUUAUACAGAACAACACAAGAUCAAAAUAUAGGGAACUUUAACAAAAAGCAUCCGGUACUGUUCACUUUAACGAAAAAUCAUAUUUUUACACUAAAAAAUCAAUCAUGGUACUAUUUAUUUUACCCUUUAUUUUGUCCUUAUCAUUAAAACUCAAAGUUUUCAAAUCUUUUUCAUUAGUUUCCUCAAAAUUUAAGGUAGGUGCGCGUUUGUUCAACAUUUUGCUUUUUCUUUACCAUUUCUUGGAAGUCGAUUUGGAAUCAUGAAAAUAAAAAAGGCCAAAAGUCAGUUGCGCGUUAUUUCAACCUUUUGUAUUCUCUGCACCUUUCAACACGCUUUCAUUUACUUUACUCGGCCUUGCAUUGACGCGGAUUGCAGGACGUUUCCAAGAAACGAUACGGUAGAAUCAUUGAAGGCUUUAGCUUUCCUUUUCUAUGGAUGUAUCUUUGCUCAACAUCUUCAAGUGAUACUACGGAGACUCGCUCAUAAACCAGGUCUCCAAAAGGCACGGUGCUUUUCUCUCCAGAGCUUCCUUCCUUCCUCUGUGUCUUCCUCACCCCCACCCUUUCUCCUCCCCACUCUCUCCCCUCUCCGAUGAAACCCAGAAGGCACUCUGCUUUUCUACACAGGAGGAUCGGUGAAGAAGAUGGAGAAGGAAGGAUGAAGUUUCGAGGGACCCGUCUGCAGAUGGAAAGACGGAGAGAGGAUUUUUAGUUUUUUAAUGAUUUUAAUAGUGGGGAAGUUGAAACACGUAUUUUAAUUCCAUCUGAAUUUGUGAGGAUUUCAAAAUUCACGUUCAAUUUCUUUAUUGUGAAUCGUACAAUCAGAUAUUAUUUUAAAUUUUUAUUAAAAUUAAAUACGGACAGAAAGUCCUGCGAAAUGACACGACAACUCUAACAAACGCACUAGAACUAUUAAAUAUGUUUGAUUAUUAUUUUCAAAUUCUUGAUUUUUAUUUAAUUUAACGUAUAUAGAGGGAAGGCUAUCCCAUUCCAAGUAAAUGGCAUAUUACAAGUUUUUUUGACGAUUUAUAAAGGGGUAUACUACAAGUUUUUCUGAAGAUUUAUAAAGGGGUAUAUUACAAGUUUCUUUGGAAUUUUGCAGAGCAUUCACCAAUAAGGUGUUUUUUUUUUUUAUCAAAUGAUAAAUUUGUUAGAUUAGAGAACCGACAUAAUUCGAAUUCAUACUAUGAUAUAUGAACAACACUUAUCUUCACCACUGUUAUAAAAUCCACUUAUUUCACUAAGAAAAGUUGUCGGAUGCGAAAUUCAAACUUGGAUUUUGGUCUAAUAAAUGUAGUUGAAUAUACUUUCCCUUAACACCCAAUUUUAUGCAUAUUCUUUGAAAAUGCAAGAAAAUUCUACUAGUCUUUUCACAAGAAAUUCCCAACGUUAUCAUUUACCGUCAACCCAUUAUUCACGCAAUUGAGUUUAAUUGCGUGUUUGUUCAACAUUUUGUUUUUUCUUUACCAUUUCUCCGAAGCGCUCUGGAAUCAUGAAAAGAGAGAAAAGGCCAAAUGGUAGUUGCGUGCUAUUUCAACUUUUUUGUAUUCUCUGCACCUUUCAACACGCGUUCAUUUAUUACGAUUGGGUGAUAUUACUCUACAUUCUAAAUAUUUAUUUAAUUUAAACUAUAGAGAGGGAGGCUACCGCAUAUUACAAGUUUUUUUUAGGACUUGCAGAUGGAGUUUUAGCAUAUAUUUUGAAUUUUACAGAUCGUUCAACAAGAAUAAUUGUAAGUUGCAAUAUUCGAACUUAGAUAUUGAUCUAAAGAAGAAAACAAUCAUUAUCAACUUUCAAAAUUAGAAUAACGCGUCUAUAAUAGUUAAUUGAAAUUUAUAAAAUUAUCUACAUAAAAUGAGGGUAGCAGAGAUGAAAAUGCUUUAUUGGAUGUGUAGGCACACGAGAAAUGAUAAGAUUAGGAAUGAUGAUAUUCAAUGUAAAGUAUGAGUAGUCGAAAUUAAAGAAAAAAUGAGAGAAAAUCAGUUACGGUGAUUUGGACAUAUGAAACGGAGAUCUAUUGAUACUCCAGUUAGAAUAUGCGAUUAUGAAAUAGAGUUUUAGGGCCAAAGGGGUAGAUGAAGAGACUAUAAAAAAAUACUUAAAGUACUUGAAUCUAACGGAAGACAUAAUACAGAAUCGAGCAUAAUUCGUAUAGCCGAUCUCAUUUAGUAAGAAAUUUUUUUAUGGGUAAAUUACAUAGUAGCCCAUCAAGUUUGAGGUCUAUUACAACCCCAUACAACAUUUUUAAAACAUUUCACUUUCAUACCUCACUUUCUAUUUUAUUUCAAAAUACAUUUUUAAAACAUUUCACUUUCAUACCUCAUGUUCUAUUUUAUUUCAAAAUAAUACAUCCGUUACAUUUUUCAUCCAUUGAUCCGUUAAGUGCUGACGUGGCUGUCAUAUUUAUGUCACAUGGCUACCAAAUGUGUGCCAUGUGGCAAAAAAAAAUAAUUUAAAAAAACAAAAAAACCCUAAUCUUCUAAAUAAAAAAAAAAAAAAAAAGGUUAGAAAAUCUAAAUCUCAUCACCCCACCCCUACCCCCAUACCUGAGCCUUAAGGAAAGAAGAAGAACCAGGAACAUGGAACCAUGAUCUUCUUCCAUCCGUCGUGCGCAUCCAUCCUCCACCUCCUCCUCUGCACCCAUCUCCACCUCCUUCGUGCACCCAUCUUCCGCUCCCCCAACCCGAGCCUAACCUGCAACCCAUAAAGAAGGAAGAAAAAAUAAAAUAAAAUAAAAUAAAAAACCCAGCGCACCCACCCUUCGCCUUAAAUCCACUCAUUGGGGAAGACGGGAUCUGGGUUGCAGGGAAAGGGAGAUGGGUUUUUAUUUUUUUUCUUUUCUUUUCUAGGUUGCAGGUAGUGGGUGCAGAGGAUAAGGUGGAGGAUGGGUGUACUGUGGGUUUGGGGAAGACAGGAGGGGGAAGAAAGGGGUGGGUUGCAAGGAGGGGGGGUUGGGGAGGAUGAAGAUGCGUGUUUAUUUAUUUUUAUUUUUAUUUUUUGCCUCUUCUCUUCUUCUUCUUAUGGGUUGCAAGUUGGGUGGAUGGGGGUUGCAGGUUCAGCUUUUGUUUUUUAUUUUUUUUGAUUUUUUGUAUUUUUUAGAAGAUUUAGGUUUUUUAAAAAAAAAAUUAAAAAAAAAUUGCCACUUAGUACAAAUGUGGCAGCCAUGUUAGCACUUAACGGAUCAGAUGGAAAAAGUAAUGGAGUUAUUAUUUUGAAAUAAAAUAAAAUGUGAGGUAUGAAAGUACAAUAUUUUAAAAAUGUUGUAUGAGGUUAUAAUAGAUCUCAAAUCUAAAGAAUUAUUAUGUAAUUUACCUUUUUUUUAUUGUUAUUCUUGUAGUUGCGUGUUACGUCAACUUUUUGUUUUCUCCCUACAAUUUCUUCGAAGUUGCGAAAUAUAAUGGAAUCAUAAACAAAGGAAAAAGACCAAGUCUUCGUUUACUUUGUUUAGGUCGCCCACGAGGGCCACUACCCCCUUUAUUAUUCUUAUUAUUGGUGCUGGUGGUUGUGGUUGUUGUCAGAUCGCAUUUCAAAUGAAUCUAUACGUUUUCUUUUACUUUACUCAGACGUGUGCGUGGGCUCAGAUUCCAAAGAAGUCUUUAUCUGAACCCACGCAUACCUAACCAUUUCAUACAAUUUACCGUAAAUUCUGUCCCUUUUUAUACAAUUUACUGUAAAAUUCCCCGUGUCUCUUUCUUACCUCGUUCGUUUAGGUAUAUAUAAACCUGUGCUAACAAUAUUAUUCAUCAGCCAAGAAGAGAUUCCGUAAGAGAAAAUAAAGUUUUGAGUCGUUUUAUUCACUUAAAUAUGUCUGUGGCUUCAGUCGGCGUGGGUGCCCUGAGAACGGCAUUUCAAAUGCUGUUUGAUGCGGUAAAAUCAGUGCAGGAGGAGACUACUAUGUUCAAGCACCUCCUCGGAGACAUCAAAUCCACACUGAACUCUCUGCAGCCACUCAUCCAAGAGAUUGAAAAAUAUAACUCGAAAGAGGGACUGGAAUAUUUUACAGUACAAAUGGAGAAGGGAGCAGAUCUUGUUCAAAAGUGCAGCAAAGUUGGCGUGUGGAAAAAAUGCAAAUACACCAAGAAGCUCCAUCAACUGGAAAAAUCUCUUCGAAGAGUGUUUGAUGAACUCAAACUGCAGGGCGUAAGGGAUGCGAGGGAGACGUUGGUUUCUCUCAGGAAUAUCGAGACGGCGUUCUCUCGAAUAGAAAAGAAUUUGGUGAUGAAAAGUAAUCAACCUGAAACGGUAAAUGUUCGUAUGCGGUGCCUGAACCCCCAUCCGUUACAGUCGGGUUGGAUUUGCCGUUGAGGGAGUUGAAGAUGAAGCUCCUUAAGGAUGAAAAGGUUUCGAUGCUUGUGCUUACAGCUGCUGGAGGAUGUGGGAAAACAACCUUGGCUAAAAAGUUUUGUCAAGAUCAAGAAGUCAAAGGUAUGCUAUCAAUGAUUUCAAUUUUUUUUUUUUGUGAAGUGUUAACUUCCUAGAUAGUUAAAAAAUUAUGUAGAUGAUGCAAUUUAGUAUUACGGUAUGGUGAUAUUUAUUUUUAUUGAUAAUUGAUAGGUUUUAAAUUAGAUUCUUGUUACAGACGAAUUUAAACUACAUUAUUGCUAACUUAUUGUAAGGUUAAAUCCAUCAGUUUAGAUUUUUCUAAAAAAGAAAAAACAUAUAGAGGAUUAGACGAGCAAAAGUAUGCACUAUGGCCAAGACCCCUAUAAAACGCCCGCUAGUCCCUCCAAGUAUCCACACCAACCCAAAUUUGUUCAAGAGAAUACAAUGUACAACGAAGGGGACAUGAAACUAAACCAUGCGAAAGCACAAAGCCGGUCCUUAAGGUAGUCUGUGCAGGUGCCGCCUAAGGCCCCACUUCGGAAGGAUCCCUAAAAAAUUUAUAUGUUGUGUAAAUAACAUAUAAAGAAAAAGUAAAAAAAUAUCAUAAUUCAUUUGUUGGUAUAGUGAAAAUAUUCAGCUGCCUUUUUCUUUGUGGUGGGAAUCGAAACAUAGAGUUGCCGUUUUAUGGUCACUAGUUUUUUCUUGUUUUUCAAAUUUACUCACAAUUCAUUUGUCCAAAUGCAUAUAAGGUAUAAAACUCAAGUCACUAUGCAUCUUUUUUUUUUUUUUUUUUUUUUUUUUUUCAAUUUCCCAAUCUCUUCAUUUCUAUAGAAUGUUUAAAUCAACUAUCACAUAGUCUUGAAGAUUGUACUUUAAGGUAAUAAAAAUUUUGAAUUAAUAUUUUGGUUUUUAAUAAUUUAUUAUUCAAUGAAGUAUUUCAAUAUCCGAUUCAUUAGUAUGAUGUUGUAGAAAAAACAAAAGAGAAACAAUUGACGUUGUUGAAUUUAUUAUACUCGUCAAUCAAGUUUUAUUGUUCUUUACUCUCCUGAUCAUCAAGUUUUAUUAUUUUUCACUCUCAAUCUUAAAACUUUUAGACUUCAAACAUUUAGUACAUUUGCGUUUAAAAAUGUGAGACGUGUAAUAUUUAAAUAAUGUUUGUAUAUCUAUUUUCUUUUGAUAUUAAUUUUUAGGGGCUUUUAAAUCCAGGUCCAAAAAUAUAGAUGGUUGUUAGGAGUGAGUCCAGUUAUCCAAUUACAUGCUUUUAUUUUUUUUUAUGCUCAUUUUAUAUUUGCUAAAAAUAUUAAAAAUCAAUUAAAAUCUUAUAAUAUUAUGUAUUUUCCAACUCCAAAAAAUCUAAUUAAUAUCUUAUAAUGAAAAAAAACUAACAUACUUAACAUAAAUCUAUCUGGUAAACAUUGUACCUGAACUCAAGUAACAAAUAUAUGAAGAGUGUUGAUAUUCUCACCCGGUGUCUUAUUUCCUCACCAUUUAACAAAAAUGUUAAUGACAUGUUUAACCUUUUUAACGAAGACUUUUAAACCUUAUUUAAUUAAUUACUAAAAUAUUUAAAAAAUUAUAAUAUAAAAUAAUAUAUAAAUAAUCAUGGGUGGGGUGUGAUAUCUGCAGUGGAGAGAGGCUGGGAAAGAUUUGGGCUACAAUGGGUAUAAAGGUUGGGAGAAGGAAUAGGUGUGUGCUAGAUGGAGGCGAGAAACUUCAAUGGAGUCUCUGCGGUGCGGUGAUAGGUGUGAGUACUAGGGUUUGACUCGGGGGAAAUGGAAUAUCGGUGAAAAUAGAGGGUGGGGAUCUGGAAAGAGAUCCGGGUGGUAUAUUUGAGUGGGAAGAGAUAUUGCGAAAGCGAUGCAAUGAUUUUAAUGACAUGCAUGAUUUGAAGGAGAUGAUGAAUGUCCAAGUUUGCAUUUUUUUUCUACUUCAGUUCUCCGUUUUUAUUUAUUUAUUUAAAUAUUAUUUAAAGAUAUAUUAGAGUUAUUUAAAACAAAACAUAUUAGGGUUAUUUUGAGAUUAAUGGUGGGUGGGAUUUACAUUUUACUUUUUUAACUUUUUGUGAUUGUGAGUGGGAAAAUAGGACAUUAGGGUGGGUCUAAUAGGACACUGGGUGGGAUUGUCAUUUUUAUGAAUGUGUAUUAUACUCAUAAGCGAGAUAUGAAAUCUAACUAAAAGGUUAAAAAAAUAAUAAUAUACAUAAAAGCAAGACAUAUUAAUCUGUGACGGGCUGAUUAUAAAAAAGAAUCUUUCAUAUAGGUGGAUAAAUAUUAUUAACCUGUGAUAUAUGUUGGUUAUAAAAAUUAAAAUUAAAAUUUAUAAAUGGGGUUUAAAGUAGGAGGAAAAACAAGAAAUAACAAAAAAAUAAUAAAAAGAAAUAAUCAAAGAGAUAAUUAGGAAGAAAUUUGAUUUUUAUAAUAAAUCUCAUCAUUGACGAGAUAAUUAUUAAUAAUUAAUAAUUAAAUAUAAGGAAUUGGACUUAUUUUAAUAAAUUGGACUAAUAUCAAGUUUUCCUUGACUUUUAAUGAUAUUUGAUGUGGAAAUAAUUUUUUUAUGUAUUUAGCGAAUUUUUUUUUUGUACAUAUAAAAAAUUGGGGGUCAAAGAACUUUAGGGUCCCACUUUGAAAGCUCGUCUAAGGCCCUCAAAAUCUCAGGUCCAGCCCUGUGAAAACAAAUUAAGAAAGUUCAUAAAUUCUUCUACAUAUAGCUUCAUCUCAGGGCACAAAUCUUGCAAUGAGCUCUUGCUUGACUACUUAAUUACUUGUUCUGAGAAUUGCAGACAUAUCUAGUCAACCUUUUUAUUAACCUCCGACAUUCUGUUUGGAUAGAUACAUUCAAGAACAAUAUCUUCUUUGUCAAUGUGUCGAAAAAGCCCAACUUGGACCUUAUUGUACAUGAACUAUAUCAACUGAAGGGGUUUGAGCCGCCUGUUUUCCAAAACGAAUUCAUGGCAGUUAACUGGUUGCAACAAUUUUUGAAGAAAGCAAGACACAAUCCUCUGUUGUUUGUCCUGGAUGACGUUUGGUCAGGAUCAGAGUCCCUUCUUGAUAAGUUUGAUCAAUUCAAGUUUUCAAAUUACAAAAUUUUGGUCACAUCAAGAUUUGCAUUUCCGAGAUUUGGUUCUCCAUACCAUUUGGCAUUAUUGAAUGAUGAGGAUGCAAUGGCUCUUUUUCACCAUUCAGCAUCCUCAGAGGAUAAGAGCUCUUAUACUUCCGAAGAUCUUUCAAGAAAGGUGAUUUCUUAGUCUGCAAUACACAUAUAUGCUUAUUUAUGCCUCAGAGAGUCAGAAGAGGGCAAAGAAAUAACGUUGAGCGUCCACGCAUGUCAACACAUCCAUUUACCGUCUUAUAAUAAGAAUGAAAGAGUAGACAGUUAAACAAUUUUAUCAUCUUUAUUGAAACAUUUAGAUGAUUUACAACAAUUUAAUCAAAUAAUAACUGAAUUCAUUCGGGAUAAUUAAAUUGCAGAUUAUGAAGCGCUGUAAGGGAUGGCCACUUGCCAUUGCAUUGGUCGGGAGGUCACUUCGCGGCCAGCCUUUAGAAAUCUGGCAGAAAAGAGUACUGGAAUGGAGCAAAGGUUCAUCUAUUCUUGAUACUGACAAGGAUUUGCUUGCUUGCCUCCAGAGCAGCUUAGAUGCCUUGGAUAAAGAAAAGACUAUGAUCAUGGAAUGUUUCCUCGAUCUAGGUUCAUUUCCCGAGGACCAAAGAAUCGCUGCUGCCACCCUCAUUGACAUGUGGGCGGAGUUAUAUGGUCUAGAAGAAGAAAUUCUGACCAUUGCCAACCUUCAUGGGCUCACCACCCGAAGUUUGGCAAACCUUGUUGUCACAAGGUAUGCACCCUACUCAUAAUUUUCUAUUCCAUUAUGUAUACCAAACAAAUCAUAAAAGAAAUUAUUAUUGAUCAUCCAGGCGUGAGAGGGAGGCGGACGGCUAUUACACCGAAGACUUUGUCACCCAGCAUCACAUGCUUAGAGAGUUGGCGAUCCAUCAGGCGAUUCAAGACCCAAUAGAACAGAGGAAAAGGCUAGUUAUAAACAUAUGUGGGGACAACCUUCCUAAGUGGUUGACAGAACAAAAGUAUCAAGCGUCCAAGGCUCGACUAUUAUCUAUCUCAACAGGUUCCAUCAAUCUCUAUAGUAAAUACGUCAUUGUUAUCUAUAUAGUAAAUACUUAUACGUGCACACAAGUAUGUGUGCAUGGACACGCUUGUGUGCACACACACUCGCUCAUUCAUAUUAAGACCUCAAUAGGACUUCAGAACAUUUAAUUUCAACCCACACUAACAUCUUAAAGCUUAUGGUUUGCAGAUGGAGCCUUCUCAGCAAAAUGGCCAAACAUGCAAGUACCUGAAGCAGAGGUUCUAGUUUUGAAUUUUCAAACAAAGAACUAUGCCUUACCUCAGUUCGUGGAGAAAAUGGAUAAACUAAAGGUUCUAAUAAUCACAAAUUACGGUUUGUCACCUGCUGGACUAGAUAAUUUUGAACUACUUGGUUCAUUAUCAAAUCUUAAGAGAAUUAGAUUAGAACGUAUUUCAAUUCCCACCAUAAGCAAGGUCCUCAAACCGUUGAAAAGUUUGCAAAAGAUAUCAUUUUUCAUGUGUGAUAUCGGUCAAGGUUUCAACAACUGUUCCAUUUCAAUCACAUCAGCAUUCCCGAAUCUUGAAGAAAUGAACAUCGACUUUUGCAGUGAUUUAAUUGAAUUGCCUUCCAAGCUUUGUGAUCUUAGUAAACUAAAGAAGCUCAGUAUUACUAACUGUCAUAAGCUAUCUGCCUUGCCUGAAGGGAUUGGAAAGUUGGAAAAUUUAGAAAUGUUGAGGCUAAGAUCCUGCACAGAACUGUCGAAGCUUCCAAUUUCGAUGAAGAACCUUGGAAAGGUAAAAUUUCUUGAUAUAUCUGAUUGCUUUGGCAUCAAGGUGUUGCCCAAAGACAUUGGUGAAAUGAGUGGUUUAAGAAAGAUCAAUAUGAGACAAUGCUCAAAGUUGCAAGAGCUGCCUCCAUCAGUCAUGGAUCUU